rnacentral:lncRNA from 1 species
GAAAGAGCCGAUCAGAAUUGUAGAAACAGAGAUGAUAUGCAAUGCUUCCUGGUCCCUCGUACGUGUUUGUGGCUCUCCUCUUCACCGUUUAGAACAGACUGCUUAGAGGAUAUUUCUGAUUGCAAGCUGGACAAUGCAGCAAUCAAGCUGGAGAAGCCACCUGGAAGUUUUGCUUGAGAUGCUUUCUAACGGGGCUUCGGAUCCCUGGGAGAAUCAUGCCUGCCUUUAAGCGAUGUGGAGGAGGACUCGAGUUUCUUCUGCGGGGCCUGUCAGGAAGGGAGGGGGGGCAAAAAACGGCAGCCAGCUCUGUAGAUUCAAGCCUGUGCAUGCUCCACUUCUAUUUCUUGUAAAAGCCUUGCUGAUUUGCUUGAGGAUUUCCACGUACUCCUGGAGAGCUUAUCGGAAUGGAUUGUCUGUGCAUUGUCACUACUAAGGUAGGAACUGGAAAAUGUUGCCGUUUGCUUGUCUUUCAUUCCCCGCCUGUGAUUAAACAGACGGAAGAUGUUCUCAGGCUCAGGUUGCGAGAUGAAGUGAUAACUAAAAGCCUGGCUUCAGCCGGUAUUCAAUUCCCCUGACAUGACUGUUAAGCUCUAUCUAUGUUCUGAUAUACCUCCUUUCUAAACAAUGUAUUAAUUGCCUUUAACCAGAAAGAGGCCUGCUUAGUGUGUGUGUCUUUGUGUGUUUUAAUCUUAGAUUUUGCUUGCAUCUAUUAAUAACUCAGGUACUAGAGGACAUGCAGAAAAAAUAGCCUCUGUGCACACAUCACUGCAGAUUUUAAUGAAAAUGAGUUAGCUGCGGUUCACCAGUUGUUGCUUUUUGAAACUCUGAGCAUUUCAUACACUUUUGCCUUAAAAGCCAAUCAUGUGAAGUUUUGAUAAGGACAGGGUUUCUGAUUGGAGAAUCCAAGUUUGCAUUAGGUUAGCAUGAUGGCACAGUGGACCCUCCAUAUUUAGGGGCAGUUUACCUCUGGGGAACAAAGCAACACUCAGUUUGCAAGCAUCCUGGAGGGAUCUGGCUGGCUGUUCUUGGCAGCAGAAUGUUAGUCUAAAGAUGGACAUUUGGACUAACCUGGGCUCUUCUUGACCUUUCUAAUAUGUUGUAAACCACUCUGGGAUGAAGGGUGGAAUAUGAAUUUAAUUAUUAUUAAUAAUAAUAUAUGCAUGUUAAAUAGGACAUUAACCUCUCUCUGUGUGUGCAAAAAAUAUUUCAUAUGGCUCAUUGCAACUAUGCUUAUGUCAGACCAAGCUCCUUUUUAAGUUGGAGGUGAAGCAAGGCAAAGCAGAAGGAGAAGCAAGCUAAAGGAGAAGUGGGUAUGCAGACUUGCUAAUGAAUAGAAUCGUAGAACCGUAGAGUUGGAAGGGACCCUGAGGGUCAUCUAGUCCAACCCCCUGCAGUGGAGGAAUCUCAGUGAGCAGAGUCCCCCAAGUGGUUCAGAAGAGUGAUGCGACCUGACCUGGAACAUUUUGCAAGGGACCAUGAGUAGCAUCUCAUCCUUUCUGCUGUUGUUUCCCCUGUGUUAAAUGGUAGAUUGUAAACUCAUUGGGCCAGGAGCCUGUUCCUUUGUACUCUACAGCACUGUGCACACUGAUUACGUAAUACGAACAUAGAAAGCUGCCUUAAACUGGAUCAAACUACUGGUCCAUCUAGUUCAAUGCUGUCUGCACUGAGUGAUUAGCGGCUUUCCAGGGUUUCACACAGGAGACAUUCCCAUGAGUCCUACCUCUGGAGAUACCAGGAACUGAUCCUGGCCCCUUCUACGCAGAUGAUGGACCAUUGAGCUACAGCUCUUCCCCAGUCAUCAUCACGUAAUCUGUCCUGACAUUUCGUUGGCCGCCAGUGGGUGAUGAUGCACAAGCUGCAUCCUUGCUGGACACCCCAUGUUCAGAAGACACAACAGCCUCAAAUCCCACCAACCUGCAAGUCGCUUCCUUUGUUCCAGUCCCUAUGGCCAGGAUACUAAGAUGGGGGCAUGAAUGGGGAGUUGGAGUAGCUUGUGCAACCAGAGUUCCGCUUGCCGUUCUACCCCUAGCACUAGUAAAGGUAAAGGGACCCUGACCAUUAGGUCCAGUCGUGUCCGACUCUGGGGUUGCGAUGCUCAUCUCGCUUUAUUGGGCAAGGGAGCCGGCGUACAGCUUCCGGGUCAUGUGGCCAGCAUGACUAAGCCGCUUCUGGCGAACCAGAGCAGCGCACGGAACGCGUUUACCUUCCCGCUGGAGUGGUACCUAUUUAUCCACUUGAAAUUUGUGCUUUCGAACUGCUAGGUUGGCAGGAGCAGGGACUGAGCAACGGUAGCUCACCCUGUCGCCGGGAUUCGAACCGCCAACCUUCUGAUCGGCAAGUCCUAGGCUCUUUCGUUUAACCCACAGCGCCACCCGCGUCCCCCUAGCACUACACAGCAUCAAAGAGGCAAGUCUUCUUCAAAGCUGAAUAGUGGCUAAUCUCUUUUGCAGUGGGAGCUGCUGCAGAGAAGAAGGAAGAACACACACACACCCAAACUCAGCAAGCAAAGCUGUGGCUGGGUGUUCUGCUUUAGUUAUCAGAUUAUAUAAUGUACCUUUUUGCACUUGGCAAUUUCAGAAAUGGAAGGAGUGCAGUGACAUUGGUCUCUAAAUAGUAUGAUGGUGCAGUUGUGGCCGCCUUUAAGUGACAGAUGUAAAGCAGGGAAGGCAAGAUGCCAAGAAAGGGAUGGUGACAUGAUAAUAAUUGAAAAACUGGCCCCAUGUUGCAGGUCUCCAGUAUUGGAAAGGCAGAAGACUGUUGUACUUGGUCACUCGCUGAGGUAUGCACAGACCCACAAGAAUUUUUUUACCAUUGCCACUUGGUUGCCGCAGAAGAGGUGACACAAGUCUUGUCAAUAAACUCUUGUGGGAGGUAAAUUAUGGAGAGUUAGCGUCCUCUACCGUUUGUGUACUUUGUUGAUUGUGUCUCAUUUGUGUGUGGGUUGGUCAUUCCCUUCCCCUCCAUUUGCAGUCCUUCAUCUUCACUGAUUCAGAGAGAGGUGUAGUUACAGGUAGGUAGCCGUGUUGGUCUGCCGUAGUCGAAACAAAAUAAAAAAAAUUCCUUCCAGUAGCACCUCAGAGACCAACUAAGUUUUUAUUAGUUAUUUCAGUGUAUCUGAAGAAGUGUGCCUGCACACGAAAGCUCAUACCAAUAACUAACUUAGUUGGUCUCUGAGGUGCUACUGGAAGGAUUUUUUUUAUUUUGUUCAGAGAGAGGUGGUGUAGCACAGUGGCUAAGAGACUGGGCUCCAGAUCAGGAAGUCUAUGGUUUGAAUAUCACCUCUGCCAUAAACUCACUAUUUAUUUAUUUUAUUUAAGAUAUUCAUACACCACCUCUGAGUGCAAAAAAGCUCCCUCAAGGCGACUCCCGUAAAGCACUAAUACAGAAUACAAUAAUAUUGCAAAUAAAGAAAGAAUUAAUAAGCCAGAAUUAUAAUACAGUGGUACUUCUGGUUAAGAACUUAAUUUGUUCCAGAGGUCCAUUCUUAACCUGAAACUGUUCUUAACCUGAGGUAACACUUUAGCUAAUGGGGCCUCCCGCUUCCGCUGCACCACCGCUGCACGGUUUCCGUUCUCAUCCUGAGGUAAAGUUCUCAACCCGAGGUACCACUUCUGGGUUAGCGGAGUCUGUAACCUGAAGUGUCUGUAACCCGAGGUACCACUGUAAAGCAAACACUGAGCCCAAAAUUAACACCAAUUUAACCAAAGCAAGCUUUAGCAGUUUGUUAAGGGGGUUGAGGGUUGUUAAGAGAGACCCACCAAUUCCGUUAACUGAGCUACAGUUCCCAGAAUGGUUUUACAAUCAACCCCUCUUGCUAGGGUUUUCCAGGAAUUCUAGUUUUGUAAGGGCAAAAGGAGGUCUCCUAACACCUCUCAGCAUCCUAAAAAACCUACAGUUCCCAGAAUUCCUUGGGUUGUUAUUUAUUUCACCAGUUUAUAUGCUGCUUGCACUGUAGGCUCUAAGCAGUGUACAGCAAGACUAAAAAGACACAGUAAAUAUAAAAUCAGUUAAAACUAAUAAUAAAAUCGGCAAUAUUACCUGCUGCAAUAAGAUCUUCAUUGGUGCUGCAAGUUCCGCUGUGGUUCCAACUUGAAAAUGCUUGUAAAGUGCUUUGAGCACCUGAAAGCCCUAUACAGUACAGAUAUUAAAAAUAAUUAUUUUGUUACCUUAAUGAGAAGCGACUUGCCGAGUAGGGUGGAGCUGCUAGGCUACCUUCCCAGCAGGUGGGGUGCUGUUGCUCCAACAUCUGAAGGGCACCUGGUUGGCCAAUUGCAUGAAAGAUUUUUUAAAAGUAGUUUGCAAGUGGGACCCCCAAUCUGCAUUGCCUCUGCUCCAAGGUACUGGAUAGGGGGAUUUAACCCUGCAAUCCAAAUGCAAAUCGGGGGGAGGGAGGGACUGUACCUGUUACCUGCAAUGGGGGGAAAGCUCAUAUUGGAGCCAAUGAGUGCUCCUUAUCCUGUACAGUGCGUUUAGUAGGCUCUGGGGACCUGAUCAGGGCUAAAGGAUGAAGGACCGCUUACUCCUGGGUCAGGUCUCCUGUGCCUGCAAUUUACUUUGAAAAAUAUAUCCACAAAGCUGUUAAUUGCAUGAAUGGCAUCUUGUCUAGUUUGGCCCAACUGGUGACCACCACCAUACUUUGGAGCGGUGAAUUCCCCACGUCAGUUACACAAUUAGGAAUCUAUGCCCUGAACUUACUGCCAAAGAGUCAGAAGGAUGAAGAUUCAGAACUAGUAAUUGGCAAGGCACUUAGGGAGCAACCCCAUAGCAAGCUCUGCUGGGAUGAAUGGGUUAGGAUCCAGCCGUUCUCCAGCUGAGCCGAGAGUUUCUCAGCAGGCUAUGCCGGCUUGUCUUUGGAUGACCCAACUGGAUGUGCCAAGACUGCUGCAUUUUAAGCCUGCAUAAGCCCCGGAAAGGGUGUGUUCUUGGGUGCAGGACCAGAGAAGGGGAACUUAGGCUGGAUCAUAUGCCCAUUCAGUUUGGUCAUGUGACCUGGUAACCUAGUGAAAGUUAAGCUGCCCCAAAGGGUGGUUACAGGUAGGUAGCCAUGUUGGUCUGCAGUAGUCGAAACAAAACAAAACAAAACAAAACAAUUCCUUCCAACUAAGUUUGUUAUUGGUAUGAGCUUUCGUGUGCAUGCACACAUCUGAAGAAGUGUGCAUGCACGCGAAAGCUCAUACCAAUAACAAACUUAGUUGGUCUCUAAGGUGUUACUGGAAGGCAUUUUUUUUGUUUUGUUUCGCCAAAGGGUGGUGUAACUCAAACACUAUUCGUUGGCCAGGCUUAUCCUGGCUCAGCCAGCAGUAGCCCCGCUGCUGAACCAAAUUUGGAUCUGGUGUAACUUUAUAUCAGUUGAGCUUAGGCUGGCUGGCUUUAUCCCAAUUUCUUGUGCAUAGGAUUGCUUCCCAAGUUCUAAAAAUCUUGUUGGCAGCUGUCUGUUUUGGGGGACAAUGGAAGAUUGCACCUUUGGGGGUAAAGUCAAACCGCUGGACAGCUACAACACCUGCCAUGGCUGUAGAAACCGAUGCAGGAGAUACAUGUUUAUUGCAGGUGGGGCAGAUGAAGGUGUCUUGCUGCUACAGUUACCAAAGAGGUCAUUGGGACAGCUCCAUUGUGGCUGCCUCCAGCAUUGGAGGUAGUAUGCCUCUGAAUACCCAUCGCUGAGGCUCACAAAUGGGGGGAGGGCUAUUGUGCUCAUGUCCUGCUUGUGGGAUCCCAUUGCUUGCUGUGAGAACUGAGGACUGGACUGGACUGCCCAUGGGAUGAGUGAGCAAUUUGAUCCAGUUUUGCAUGUAAAGACAAGCCAAAACCCAGCCAUCCUUUGAAGUUCAGCCUUCUCUGAAUUUUGCAAUGCAGUUCUCCAGCCAAGUAAUGUGUGCAAGAAUGCAUAUACUGAGGUAAGGUAUCCAUAGAAAUGCUGAAAUUAGUGACUAUAACAUUAAAAAAUGCAUUACUUUAGGGGAAGCUGGUUUGCAAAAAUGUGCGUAUUAGGCUGUAAAUAUGUGAUUAGGAGAAAUUCGUAUUAAAUGCCGGUGAAUUUUCGCAAGGACUUCUUCAUUUAAUUGUAAACUGAGGUGGAAAUGUGUGGAAUUGAACAUAAGAUUGGAAAAAUGAGAAAAGGAGAGAAAUCUAAAUUGACAGAUUUGCUGGAUGGCCCUUUAGCAUCAUCCAACAGGGCUCUUCUAUUCUUAUGGCACUUGGGAGAAUUGAGUUCAGCGUUAGAAUAUACAAUGCAGAGAUUACACAGCUGUAUAUGGCUGUACCUAGCAUAUGUUGGGGAGAAUGUGGCAGUUCCUGUGUCACUGGAGCAACCCACCGGAGCAGUCUUAACAUGAGUAUGGGAUGUCAGUACUUGUACCCAUUAAUUAUGCAUACAGCUCAGAGGUCAAUCAGUAAACAACUGCUAUGGGCAUGUGAGGGUAAAUCCAGAUUCCUCUGAAGAUGAUGAUGGUGGUGGCGGCGGCGGCGGCAGCGGCAGCAAAAUGUUCAGGUUCAAGUCAUUCUGUGCAGUGGAAUUCAUCUUUGCAAUAUAAAUGAAGUAAGUGCCAGGGACAGCUCCACUUUUGCAUUGAUGUACUUUCUAGAACCUUAAAAUUCAUGCUCAGGAGCCGCAGAUGCUCUUCGCCUGGAGCAUCUGAGAUUGAGAUCAACGUCCUUGGCGUCAGAGAAGUAAGCAACAUCUGUUAUAUUUGCAAAUGUUAGAUGUAUGUGUACUAGGCUGGGCCUGAAUUCUAUAAAGCUCUGAAGUAAAUGACGUGCGCUGCUCAUUCACACCCCCCCUCUGAACUUUGUACAAAUAAAUUAGCAUUGGGUAUUGCGGCUAAGAUUUAGCUGUUUCCAGUUGUAUUUAAAGUGUGUAUGUGUGUGGUUAGUUUAGUUUAUUAACUGCAUUUAUUGCUUCAGUUUAGACUUUAGGGGAAGAGUAAUAAGAGAAAAGGGAUUCCUUAGGUUGAGUUCUAUCCAUGCAAGUAAAUUAUUGAUUAUUGCAUCUUCAUUAUUUAUAUAGCACAGAAAAUGUUGAUAACUAAGUUCUGUGUGCAAAACUGAAACAACCAGCCAUGCUGGAAAACUCACAAUCUACUUGAUGUGAGCCAAGAAGCAAAAGAAAUGGUGGAACAAUCAUGUGACAAAGGAAUUUAAAAUAUUUAGCAUUCAUAUAGAACAGGGAUCAUGAGGUAGUGCCUUUUAGAGGUCUUUGGACUCCACUUCCCAUCAGCCCCAGCCAUCAUGGCAAAUGGUCAGAGAUGAUGGGAGUGGCAGUCCAGCUUUUGGAGGCCACCACAUUGGCUACCCUGAUAUAGAACUUCCUAAUGUUCAAAGCAUCACAUGCAUAAUCUAUCUUUAUAUACUGCUGUCAGUGUACAUGGCAUUCUACAAAGUAUGACAGGUCCCCGUUCCAAGGGCCUUAAAGUCUAAAAUAGACACAACACGGGAAGGGAAGUGGGAGGAGGCAUGGGCAGGCAGCAGGGGAAUGUGUUGUUGUUGUUGUUGUUGUUUUAAUUCCACCUACUUUGCUAAGUUGUGUAUUUAUUACCUGCCCUUCACCCAAAGGUCUCAGGGUGAGUCAAAGCAUUAAAACACUGUGUUAAAAACAAUUUAAAAGAACUGUCAAGCACAGAAAUAAGGUGAGUCCUAAAAACAUAGGAGAGCCAGGGUAAAAAAAGUGCAUCUUCAGCAUUCUGCAGAAGCUGUAUAACAAGGGUUCCAGAUGUACCUCUGUGGAAAGGAAGUUCCAUAGCUUAGGGGCUGCAAAAGAGAAUGUCCUCUACUGGGCCACCACCCCUGGGGCUCCAAGGGCGGUGGAAUGGACCAAGAGGACCCCUCUGCUGAUCUCAGCACUUGAGGAUCUGUAGGGAAGGAGGCAGUCUUUCAGAUAUUUGGGGCCUGAGUCAUUUAGGACUUUGAACACUAGUGGGAGGACUUUGAAUUGAGUCCGGAAACGAACUGGCAACCAGUUCCGCUGUAUUAAAACAGGGUUUGUUAUAUGGGAUCUAAAUGGAACCCCAACCAGUAAUCUGGCUGCUGCAUUUUGGACCAACUGAAGUUGGUCACGGUCAGCAUUAUACUAAUCCAGUCUGGAAGCUAACAGAACACGGAGUACAAGGUGUUAUACCUGCUUUGGACCAGAGUGAUGAUUCGAAGUUGGAGAUUAUAUGUGGAAGGGUUGUAGUCAGGUCUGGUACCAGAUUAUGGGAGGCCCCCAGCAAGGUAUUCUCUGAGCUCCCCAACUGAGGUGUUGUGGAAUGGCAGGGACGCCAGGGCUGUCAGGAUGAGGAGGACCCGGAGAAGGGCACCAUCAGCUACUGGGGGCCCUCAGGACUCAAGUCAGGAGACCUCAGCGCUCCUGUGGAACAUGAGGAUGCUCCAGAUGGGCUGGGGGACUAGGGCCAGCAGACGAGCAGGAAGACAGCAUGGAAUAUAUAACUGAAGUGGGCACCAUACUCUUUCUCCCAAAAGCCUCUGGAUUCAAACACAGUGUUUGUACUUUGGUGGGCAGCAGAUGCAUUUCUGUGUGUGUUUGAAGGGGGAAUAUGGCUACUCAGUUUUUCCUUUCAGCAAUGGGGCAUUAAAAUGGAAAUAGAAAUCCUGACUUCUCCCAGUGUGCGCCCUUCUAGAGCUUGUGGACCCUGGUUUAUAAAUCAUGGUAAGAGCACAUGCAUUGCACACAAAUACAAAGGGAAAAAACAACACAGCACAGUAUAUCUGGAAGAGACCUAAAUCAGAUAAGGAGAGUACUUUUAUACCAAAACAAGAGCCGCAAGUCCCGUAAGGUUUCCAUUUUGGGGAAGUUCUGUAACACCCAUGUCAAGAAUUCCUGAGAGUUGAACCCUUUCAGUUUAUUAUCCCAGUUCACAAAUUCAAGGAAGUACUUGGGUCUUAGCCUUAAGUGCAGUCACUGCCGACAUGCUAUCUGCCCUUUUCCAAAUGAUUUCACCGGCUUCCGAUUUGAUCCCUGAACCUGGCAUGUUUUAGCACGUUAACCCCACAGUCCCCAAACAAGCCUACAUGCAAUAUCUGCAGAUUAAUUAAAAGGAGUCCGUUUCCUUCAUAAAGUUUUUCGAUUUUUAAUGAGUUGUCCUCAUCAAAUGAAGGAGAUGAGAGUGAGGAGUUCAAAAUUCAAUUAUAAAAAGGACCACUGUGAUAAGAGAGUUAAAUCAGGCAGAAGGUUCGCAAUUACACGUGAGCAAUCCCAUUAGGGUUCAGAGUACACAUGCAAGGCCAGUGCCUCAGCUGCUAUAUGUUGGCAUAGCUCUAUGAAGCUGUGGGAGCUUUGCUGAUUUCUGCAGUAGUAUAGAUAAUAUCGCACUGGAGAACAUAAACAGUAUUUAGUAUCGUAUAUCAUCUCCAUUCCUUAGCAGCAAAAGAUGUUCAAGUGCGGUCAAAAUACAUCUUCUGACUUCCUCUAUUCUGAAACAGCAAAUAAUUGUUUUUGGAAUGACCGUAUGUUUUCCAUGUAGAAGGUCUCAAGUUCUGUCCUGACGUCUCCUGGUAUAGGGUUGGUAAAGAUCCCUGUCUGAAACCCUGGAAAGCCCUUGCCAGUCAGUGCAGAGUAGAUAAACCAAUGCUCUCAGUCCAUAUAAUGCAGCUUUCUAGGUUUAGCCUUGUAGCACCUUAAAGACCAUUUGAUUUAUUAUGGCAUUAGCUUUUGUGGACUAGCGUCCACUUCAUCAGAUGCUUGGUGGUUACCUACUUCAUCAUUUGACAAAACCUGGUGCCUUUCAUGAUGACAAUUUACAGAACAGACUCUAGUCUAUGAAAACUUGUGCUCUUUUACACCUACAUGCACCUUAAAGACUAAUUCAAGGUGUCAAAAGACUCUGUUUUGUUUUUGUGGCAACAGACUAACAAGACUACCUUUCUAAAAAUUGCAUCCAUCCUGAGAUCCUUGUGGCCAGCUUAUCAUUGAUGCACCAGAAACCUACAUGGAUUCAUGCUGUGUGUUUUGAAUGAUAAAUGCAGAGAAAACAUGGAUUCUUAUGGCCACAUAUUCUUCAGAAAAUUGAUGGGGGCAAUUCAUUCAUGGUAGAAAUGUAGAAAUGUACAUGUGUUGUUGAAUUGUUCAAAAAGCUGCCAGUCAUGACAUUAUAUCAUGCAGGCACCUGGAAUAACCCUAGUAUCUGAGCAUAACAUAAACCGCAAUCCUAUUCAUGCUUCUUUGGGAGUAAUUGAGCUCAGUGGGGCAUACUUCUAAGAAAGAAUGUGCAAGAGAGGUUUUUUGGGGGGGAGGGGGGUUGUAAAAUUGCUUAAAGCAUACGGCAUGAUGGUUCAAUCCACUGGGGGAAAUCAAUUAUCUGUAGCCUCUGAUCACUUCAGGACAUGACUCUCACUAAAUCUCCUCUUCUCUCAAUUUUCAUGCCAUGGUACUUGGGCUGCUGUUCAGAACAUGUUUUUGGACCACCACUUCCUUUCAUGGUUGUUGCUCAACUGUUGUUAAUGGCUGUUGUUUAUAUUCAAUAAAUAUAGCAUGUAUUGCUAUGUUCUUACUCUGCACUGGAUAAAGGUUCCCAGUUAGCUAAGUACUGCAACCCCCCCUAUUUUUCAAGUCAAGCCACAGACCCCCUACUUUUGAAAUUUUUGAUAUCUCUAUGGUAGUUUUUGCUAUAUGAAUGGUGCCACAGACCACUAAUUGGGAACUACAGAGGUAGAGUAUUUCACUCUGGGUCCCAUGACUACCCCAUGUCUAUCCCCCUUCCAUCAUGUACGCAUUGAACAUACCAUUUUGGCUUCCUUGACUUCAACAUACGAUAUGAAGUGGACCCCCUGCAGCCACAGUCACUGAGACAACCACUGUUUGUCUGCCAUUGUCACCACGUCCAGGACCAUGGACAGUUCUCAUUGCUGUUCCUCAUGUUGCCACCAAGUCUUAGGGUGGAGCCGCACAACACAUUGAAGUCCAUGAUUCCAACCCACCCCCCAGCUAAUUCUGGAGCUUGAAGUAGAAGGUUUUCCUGUUGUGGCAUCCAGAAUGUGCAACUAAAUGCCCCAACAAAUUCGGUUGUCUGCAUUCACUUUACAGCCAGGCCAUUGCUGUCUUAAGAUGUUUCUUUUAUGACCUGCUUUUAAUUUAUCUGCUGUGGAGGAUUUCCCUUGUUUUAGCCUUGGCUCUGUUCAAUAUUCAUUUUAAUGUUUUAACUGCUGCUUUUGUGUGAGGUGUGGGUUUGCUUUGUAUUUCUUAAUUAAAACUAUUGUUUUAAUGGCCCCCCCCAAAAAAAACCUUUGUUAGGUAAUACUCCCUGGAGAAUUUCUGAUAGAAUAUAAGUACAGGAAUGAAUGGCUAAGUCUGGCAUUUUCUGCUAAAAGUCAUUCCCCCAAAGGAGCUUCCCCCUUAACCAUCUAGCAGAAAAGAUACCGUAUUGUUCCGUGAAUAAGAUGCCCCCAUGUAUAAGACAGCCCCUAUUUUUUUGUGCCCUGAAGGAAGAAAUCAAUAUUUUAAAUACUUGAGAUUGCUAAAAUUGUUGAGCUUUCUUGGGGAAUUUGUCCAAAUUUGCCACCGCUGAAGGAGGCAGGCAGGCAAGGCAGGAUGGGUAGGCAAGUGAGUGAUUGACAGUUAGCAACAAGGAGCAGGACGAAUAGCUAAAGUGCUGGACCAUAUUUUUAUGCGUAUAAAACAACCCCCGUGUAUAAGAUAAGCCCCUAUUUUGGACUAAAAAGCUAAGCAAAAAACAUUGUCUUGUAUGCGAAAAAACACAGUACAUGUACACAUAUUUUUUUCCUAGUCCUGUCGAAGCAGCUGGGGGUUGGUUGGGGAAAUGGUAUGAAAUGAAAAGCUUAAGAAAUUCCUCUCUCUCAGUACCAGUCUUUCAGAUUACAGCCUCAGCAGCUGCGCGCGUGCGCACACCCCCCCAACCCAGAAAAACCGUGGAAUUGACCCUAGGUACUUCAUGGGACGCGGGUGGCGCUGUGGGUUAAACCACAGAGCCUAGGACUUGCUGAUCAGAUGUCAGCGGUUCGAAUCCCCAUGACGGGGUGAGCUCCCAUUGCUUGGUCCCUGCUCCUGCCAACCUAGCAGUUCAAAAGCACGUCAAAGUGCAAGUAGAUAAAUAGGUACCGCUCCAGCAGGAAGGUAAACGGCGUUUCCAUGCGCUGCGCUGGUUCGCCAGAAGCGGCUUAGUCAUGCUGGCCACAUGACCCGGAAGCUGUACGCCGGCUCCCUCGGCCAAUAAAGCGAGAUGAGCGCCGCACCCGAGUCGGCCACUACUGAACCUAAUGGUCAGGGGUCCCUUUACCUUUUACUUCAGUCUCAUAUACACACUUUUGCACCUGAGCCAUAAAUUGUGGCACACUGUCAAAAACCAGAGCUACGUCUCUGACUCGCCUUUCUCCUUUUGUUUAGUAAAACUGCCAUGGGUUCCAAUGAUAGUCUUCAGUUCUCCAGCCCAGUCAUUGGGGACCUCUCCUGUCACUAUCUAGUUCUGCUUGCAGAACUGUUAAGAGUUCACACCUAUCGACUCAAAAUUCACAGUGAAAUUGUUCUAAAGCAGUGGGGAGUGGGUUGUCAAGUGCCCCGUGAAGCGUUUGCACACAAAUUAGACAUCAGGAGAGAGGGAGGGAUAGUAGAAGAUAAAUUAAGUCAGUCCUCCAAGGCCAAAAUGGUGGUAAAAAUCUAGAUAGUUAAACCCCAUGACUAAUUCCUCCUUGAAGAAACUGUAAACAGCAUAGAAAUUAAGAAAUCAGUGUGGAGGUUAGUGUGAGACUAAACUCAGCAUUUGUGAUGUACAAGUACACCCGGAAGAAAAUCUAGAGUAUCUAGUCUGCUGUUUUAAUACUUAACACCACUGUUUGCAUCACUUUUUCUGUUUACACCAGAGAUGGCAAGUGUGAUAUAUUACAAAUAAGGCAGCACUGAAUAUUCUCCAGCUUAAAUGUUCACAUGAAGCUAGCAUAUUUGAUGCAGCCAAAUCACUUAAGGUAAAAGUACUCAAUUGGUCAACCAUCUGCAUUGUUUAAAGGUCAUUCAGUCAUUUUUCUCCCUCUCUGGCUGCUUCAUCUGUUCCAUUUUCUUCCUUCUUUACUCUCAUUGUAUUUAGCUUCAUUUGCCCACACUUCUGUUAAAUCCUAUUGGCUGUGGUGACUCACAUGACACCAUCACAUACUUUAUGUGAAGCCAAGUUACAGGGAACCAGGCAGAAGGCCUUCUCGGUAGUGGCACCUGCCCUGUGGAACACUCUCCCACCAGAUGUCAAAGAGAAGAACUACCAGACUUUUAGAAGACAUCUGAAGGCAGCCCUGUUUAGGAAAGCUUUUAAUGUUUAAUAGACUAUUGUAUUUUAAUAUUCUGUUGGAAGCUGCCCAGAGUGGCUGGGGAAAAUAAAUUAUUAUUAUUAUUUAUUUAUUUAUUUAGUGAUGCGGUUGACGGAAUCAACUAGGUUAAGAGGCAGUGAGGGAAAAUGAGGCCAUCAGCAGUGAGAGUAAAACGAAAGAGAACAGCACCAAGAAGAAGAAGUAUCAAACAAUACUAAUUUGUUCAAAAGUCUCAAACAAUACGUAUUUGUACUGUGGAUCAGUAAAGCCGGGAGGUGUUGGUUUUUUUUGCAGAUCAGUGACACUGCUUUGAGAUGAAACAAAAAAAAGAGGAAGUUUGGCUUAACUCCAAUUUCACACCUUUCCUUACCAAUCUUUACAUUUUGGUCCAAUUGUAACAGUUAGGUUUAUGGAACUUAUGGCUCAACUCUUACAACAAAAGUUCCAAAAUGAUUUACAGCAAGAUUUUUUUUAAAACAACAACAACAAGCAAGCAAGCAAGCAAGCAAACAAGCAAGCAAGCAAGCAAGCAAACAAACAAACAAACAAACAAACAAACACAGAAAUAAACUACAUAAGCAUAUUAAAAACUUAGUCAAAGUAAGUCAUUUGGUGCUGCCCAAAUGGCCACUAAAUAAAUGUAAAGAUUUGCCUAGUGCUAAAACAAUGACAAAGUUGGCCCUGGCGGGUCUCUUUGGGGAGAGCAUUCCAUGGAUGGGGAACUACUACAGAAAAGGCCCGUUCUCUCAUUGCCUUCAACCACAUCUCCACUGGAAGUGGCAGACAGAGAGGAGCCUCCUCAGAUUAUGAUCUCUACAUCUGGGCAGUGGCACUUUAGGUAUAGUUCAUUAGUUUAGCCAGCUAAUUUGCUACUUUGGGAGUUUGCAAAAUAUGAAUGCAGACUUUUGAAACCCUUUAUGUGUUUUCCAGGGAUAUUUUUUGCUGUUGUCAAGAAACCUCAUGAAAAUCAUGUGCAUUGCCUAUACAUAUUGCAAGUGGAACAGGUUGUAAUUAUAUCUUGUCAAAAGCCCCUUUUUCCUGCUCUUCUUUAUUCCUGUAAAAAUAUGGUAAUUGCCCCUUUCCCCCUUGUAGUUAAUUUUAAAUUUCUGGAAGAAUUAAGCCUGUUAAAUCUCAUCAUUCUCUCCCCCCCACCCCCCGUUGGUCUCUAUGGUAGCAGCAAGAAUAGAAUUACUUUGAUCUCCAUUUCUAAGUGGCAUCUCGUUCCUUCCAAGCAUUGACCUUGUUUAGUGCGAACGAAAUUUCCGAUAAAACUCCAUUAACUUAUCAUUCGUUGAUCUCAGAGAAACCUCUUUAGGGGAGCAGCUUUAGCUCUGAAAGACAAAAGGUGAUUUGUUUUAGAACAUCAAUGAAAAGCUCCAUAAACUAAGGGAGAAAAUAUGCAAUUAACUGCUCGGUCAGACCCCAUUAGGGCUUUAAUACUGCUUAGCUUCGUAGUGCUGCAUCUUACAAGUUGGAAAAUGAGAAAGCAGCACAUGAAGACUCAGAGGUCUGCUCCUGCAUUUAAAAGGAUCCGACCACCAUCAUUGGUGUGCAGAGAGAAGGGUGUUUGUGUCUCCAGUUUCACAUAACAUAGUGUGGCAGGAUGCAGCCAGGCUUUCUAGCGCAUGAUGAUGUGGUCCUUUAAACUUCACGCAACUCCAGAUUAGGGUGGCCAGAUUGUAAAAUGGGUCGCAUUGCAAGCUUAUUCGCUGUACACUGCUUUGAUUUUAAAUUCAUUCAUUCAUACAUACAUACAAGCUCUUAUCCCAUUAAAUCUGCCACUGAAUUGACAGAACUACCCAAUACACAAUUUCAAACACAAUAUGCAAACUGAAGCAAAGCCGUUCCUCAAAAUCCACCUUUUCUAUAAAUUUUCAGUGCAGUUCUCCUGCCACGUAAUGUGUUCAGAAAUUAAUAUUUUAGGGUAAUGUGUGAAUUUAAAAACCAUGAUAAAUGUGUAUAUUGGGCAAAAUUGCAUAAAACAGGGGUAUAUUAUGAGAAAGUCUCAUUAAAAUGCUGAUGAGUUUUCAUGACUUACUUCUUUUUUUAAAAAUGCAAAAUAAUGUAGAAAUGCAGAGAACUUUUCAGGUUCCUCCCCUGCCUGUUUUGGGUACACAUCUGGGGCCUUGCUGCCUUUAGCAAGGAUGGGGAGAAGUGAAGCCAAAGACUAGGAGCAGGUGGGAAGCAGAGUGGACUCCCAAUUCAGCAAUGAAUUUAAAGGUACAUGGGAAUCUCCAAGUUCCAGCCUGACAAACCUAGUGGCCACCUUUAAAUCCAGCAAAGUAUGGAGCAUCCAUUCAAAAUGAUUACUGCAGUGAUGAAUUUAAUGCAAUGUAAUACACUCUAAAGCUCUGCAUAGAUUUCUGGAGUGAAUCAAACACUGAACUCAGUGGGGACCAAAUGGAUAUGAAUGGGAAUAAGAAAAUUGGAAUAGCCUGCUUGGCCAGACCAAUGCUCCCUCUAGUCCAGCAUCCUGGUCUCAAAGUGGCCAGCCAGAUGCCUCUGGGAAACCCGCAAGCAGAUCCCAAGCACAAGAGCACUCUCCCCUCCUGUGAUUUCCAGAAACUGGUAUUCAGAAGCAGACUGCCUCUGACUAUUGAGGCAGAGUACAGUCAUACCUCGUUACGUUUGCUUCAGGUUAAAUCUUUUCAGGUUAUGUCCCUCAGCAACCCGGAAGUACCGGAAAGGGUUACUUCCGGGUUUCACCACUUGCACAUGCGCAGAUGCUCAAAAUGAUGUCACGCGCAUGCGCAGAAGUGGUGAAUCACGACCCGCGCAUGUGCAAUCGCGCAGACGCAGGUUGCGUUCUGCUCAUGUUGCAAACGGGGCUCCGGAACGGAUCCCGUUCACAACCAGAGGUACCACUGUAUAGUCAUUGUAGCUAGUAGCCCUCUCCUCCGUGAAUAUGUCUAAUCCUCUCUAAAGGCCAUCCAACUUGGUGACUAUCACUACCUCCUGGGAGAGUAAAUCCCAUAUUUCUACUAUGUGCUGUGUGAAGAAGUUUUUUCAUUUAUCUGAUUUAAAUCAUCCUGCAUUCAGUUUUAUUGGAUGUUGAUGAGUUCUAGCAUUAUGAGAGGCAGAUAAGAACUUUUCUCUAGCCACUUUCUCCAUGCCAUGAAUAAUUUUACGAACUUUGAUCAUGUUGCCUCUUACACACCUUUUCUCUGAGUGAAAAAGUCUGUGAAAAAGUUUAAGAAUGAUGGGCGCAAGAUGUGGGGCAUAAUAUUAUGUUUGCUGACUGGGAACGGUUAUGGACCACAGGUAUGAAAUUUACGGCUUGUAACGCCUUAAGAGAAAACAUAAUGAAAAUGAUAUACAGGUGGUACUUAACCCCAGUCAAGCUAGCAAAAAUUUAUCAUCUGCCUGAUAAUAAAUGUUGGAAAUGUACAGAACAUGAAGGUACGUUUUUCCACCUUUGGUGGAUGUGCCCAAAGAUCAAGGCCUUCUGGGAAAUGAUAUAUAAUGAACUAAAAAGGUAUUGAAAUAUACUUUCUUGAAGAAACCAGAGGCCUUCCUCUUGGGCAUGGUCGGCCAAUUGGUGCGAAGGGAAGACAGGAAUUUCUUUAUGUAUGCGACAGCAGCGGCAAGAAUACUCAUUGGGAAAUACUGGAAGACACAAGAAUUGCCUACCCGAGAAGAAUGGCAGAGAAAAGUGAUAGACUAUAUGGAACUGGCUGAGAUGACCGGCAGAAUACGAGACCAAGAAGAAGGGUCGAUGGAAGAAGAUUGGAAAAAAUUUAAAACAUAUCUUCAGAAAUACUGUAACAUAAAAGAAUGUUAGAAAAGGUUGGAGAAGAAUAUUAGACCGUAUUGGCAGACAGAGUAUAAUGGAAUAAGUAAAUAGGUAGUGUAAAAUAAAAAAUAGAGGAGAAUUAAAUAUUUUUGAAUGUUAAAUUAAGUAAACGAAAAGAAGGUUAGAAGGGUUUGCUGGAGAUACGACCUAAAUUAGAAUACAAAGCAGAGAAGUGAGAGGAACUCUCGGAAAUAAGUAAAUGGGAAAAUGAUCUUAAUGGUUUAAUUUGAUUUUGUGUUAUUUUUGUAGUGUGAUGUUUUGUUUUUGUACUUUUUUCUGUAUCGUGUGUUGUUCUUUUUCUGUAGGGUGUAUGUGAUUUGUUUCUCUUUUUGCUUUUUUCUUUCUAUGUAAUCUUAAAAUUGGAAUAAAUAUUCUUUAAAAAAAAAAAAAAAAGUUUAAGAAUGGGGAGGCAGGCAGUGUUAAUGACUUCUGAUGGUAGUGGCGGCAGUAGUAAGUUGGGCAGCCAGUCCUCUCCAGGCAGCCACCAUUGUUUUGCUGAAUGCCCUGGAACUUGUUUCAUUCUGUGGCUUUUUUAUGUGUGUGUGUGUGGGGGGGGAGGGGAAUAGUAGCUGCUGGGGGGGGGGGGAAAGGCAGCGUCCAAUAGCGGCCACCAUUUUGGGCUGUUGUUAGAAUACCUUGGAAAAAGAUGGCACCCAGGGCAUUCUGGGGGUGGGGGGAAAUGGUGACCACAAGGUGUGGUGGCAGUAGUAAAAAGGAAGAAAGGAAGGAAUGCAACUUUAAUGUAUGAAUAGCUAAACGGAUGUGCUUUUUAAUAAAUCAACAGUGAAAUUAAUGAGGUUUAUUUUUUAAAGCGGAAAAUGAAUAGAGUUGUUAAGUGAAAAAACAAAAACAAAAUUUUGCUAUAAUCCUGAGUAAGUAAUAACGUCAAUUUAUUUUAGUAAUUAGAUGUGGACUCAAAUACAAGAUAGCAUGGGCAAAACAGCUAGGCCUGCAAAGGUUGCAUCCUCUAAAAAGCAGCAGCUGCUAAAAUCCCACUAAGUGGCUGUUCUCAGGCGUAGAGGGAAUGCUAAGAAUUGUAUUUAGCCCUCCGCUAUCCUUUCUGAGUAGCUGAUUAGAGGGAAUUUAUCCUUGCCUUAAAAAAAAAAAUGGACUUGAUACUCAGUCCCAGCUUUUGGACUGAGCAGAAGAACUGCAAGCAUGGAACCAGUUUUACAUGCUGGUUUCCCAUUCAGCUGGGGAAGCAAAUGUGGAAGCUUUGAUUUGGCAGGUGUAGCCCCCACCUGCUGGAUUAGCUGCAGUCAGUUUAUUUGUACAAUCUAUACAAUGCAUUUACCACAAAUACGCUGCGCUCCAAGUGCCUCACAGAAAACAAGCAAUCAAAAAUUAUAACACCAGUGUGGUAAACUGAUGAUAGUUCCACAGUUAACAUUUUAAAGCAUAUCAAAAGUUUGCAAUAGUUAAAGCAUACCAAGAGGUCUAUUAACAGCAUCUAGUACCAACAGCAGCAUCAACAUUAUAUCCACAGGAACGGAGGAAGCUGCCAUAUGCAGUGUCUACUACAUUGACUGGCAGUGACUCUCCAGGGUUUCAGACAGGGGACAAUCCCAUUCCUAACUCGAGAUACUGGGUGUGAACCUGGGACCCUCUGCAUGCAAAGUAGAUUCUCUGCCACUGAACUAUGGCCUUUGCAGCCCCAUUAAGUAAUUCACACCCAGCUGUUCACAUUAAGAGGCCUAACAUUAAUAUACCUUGUUUGGUUGUGAAGGAAUGGGUUUCUGUGCAGUCAGUUUAAAACUGACUCAACCCCCCCCCUUUUCUUCUUAGCAUUUCUAAAAUGCAUAAAACUUGAGCUGAUGAGCAAAUGCAUAACAAGGACACAGCUGUAUAAACAAACACUCUCCUUUAUCAGUCACGGCAAGGGAUGGCCUUGGCUGUUCCAGCCGAGUAGGGAUGACAUGUCUAGGGCUUAUCUUACAUGCUGACGCACAGACUUAGUCCGGAAACAGCGCCAGAGUGUGUUCUUGGAGAUGGUUACCUCUUGCUCCAAGAUAACAGUAGGAACAGGAAUAUCCUUUUAUGGUCAGAAGUACCAUAAGAAUAUCAGAGCAGGAACAUGUGUGAUGUCAACCUGCAUGUAUAGGCUGACGUGAUUGGAUUCCUGGGGAAGGAGGGAGAGGGUGCCUGGAGGAUAUAUAUAUACUGCAUGAAAUUUCUCAUUUCUUUGGACUUGCUGUGGACACACCACGCAGGUGCCUUUCUGCUGUUCUGGAGAGCAGAAAUAAAGAACUCUUUCUCUGAACCAACCCUCGGUGUCAUUUGACUUCCUUCCUCCUGUCCGGGAGCAAUGCAGACCCAGUCGGUGAACUCCAAUAAGGCUACAGUUGUAAGUAAGAAGGCAGGCAGGCAGGGUGGCGGUGGUUGAGAUCAGACUAAGGUUGCUGGGGCAGUGUCAACAUUUGCCCUAAUGGACCAGCCUUCAAUGCUUGUCCCGUCCUGUCCUUGUUUUUUUGUUUUGCACCUGACCAACCUGCUACCUUUUCCUGCCUCAUCCUGCUUACUCAGAAUCCCCAAUUCAGCCUUUACCCACCUGGUACCCUCCAGAUGUUUUCCACCACAACGUCUACCAGCCCCAGCCAGCACAGCUAGUCCUAACUAAAACUGAGUUUUGCUUGGUUUCCUAAGAGUGUUUCUCUUUGCUAGGUGCCUUAAUCUCACUCUCUUGCUUGGAGUUCUGACUGCCAUGAAGCUUGACCUUUCCAAAGUCCCUGAUCCUGCAAGAAAGUGCUCUGGCCUUUCAAGGCAUGACAAAAAACCCCAUUAUAUGUUGAUUGCAAACCCUGCUCUUAAAAUCAAAAUUGCUAUCUAGGAUAAUAAAUGGCCAUUAUCGCCACUCAUUAUCCUACCCAGCAAUUUCAAUUUUUCAGAAAGGGAAUUGUAAAUAAAAAUAGCAGCGCUUCUUAAUCCUGCAGGACAACUUGCCCUGCUAGUUCUUCCCCCUUCAAAAAAAGCACACCUAAUGCUGCUAUUGUCUGCCCACAGGAACCUUUUUCUCUCUCUUCUCCCGCCUCUUAUUUUUGAAAUGGAAAGCAGCAUCAAUCGGAGUUUUCUUUGGGGAUGCAAUGCAGCCUCCACAGAAAAUAAGUACUAAAUUUUUAGAUAUAUAAAAAUACAUUUCCUGCUAAUUAUGGGGAAGACUCCUCAAGGACAACUAUCCGAAAUAAAUAUGAAUGGGUGACACCUACAUCCCAUAUUACACAUUAUGGUAACGGCUGGCUGUGAAGGAAGAAAAGCUUUAGCCAUUUUGUGCUUGGCUGCUUUUUGCUUUGAAGGCUCACAUGCACAGGAAGGUCAAAAGUUUAAGGGGAGGUUUUGCUCAGGAUCUUCUGCAAAGGAGGGUCCAAGGUUCAGCCUGGGAACCAGGCAAUUAAGAGGAAAUAGAAACUUUACCAAGAGCCAGCUGUCCUUCUGAUGGACUGAAAGGUUGGAAAGGGAAGUGAAAACACUGUACAGAAGUCAAGUUGGAAAGAGGAGUCAAGUUGGAAAGAGAAUUCUUUUAGAGGGAACUGCAGCAGAAAGGAGCUAGGAGAAAACUCCAAAGGGACCCAGAAGCUGAACUGAGUGAUGUAACUUGAACAUGAACAUGAACAUGAAAUUUAUUACGGCCAUAGACCAGCUUGAGAAACACAAAUGGAACUACAAUCCCAUUAGCAAAACAAACAUUUAAAACAAUAUACAGUAGAUUUUAAGUUUAAAAGUGUGAUAGGCAUAUAAACACAUAAAAACUUUAAAAUAGACUACCUUAGAGAAAUGACCCGAAGUCGCCCGUGGGUCUGGGUUUGGGAAUUUUCUUAACAAACUAGAUUAAAUCAGGGGAUGGUCUGUGCCUACAGAUCUGUGCACAGAAUCUGGCAACAAUCUGGGUUGUCUUGUGGUCUUUGCCUAAGAGGAGAAGAUCAAAUUUUUGCUUUACCGGGAGGUCAGUAAGCCUCACCAGCAAGGGGGGUCAAUGGUUUCUCUACGUGCCUCAGAGUGAUGUGACUUGAUACGCAUUGGCUUGAAUAGGAAAACAGUCUAGAUCAGGUAUAGCUGGGUGUCUUCUUCUUCUUCUUCUUGCAAACUGUAAAGUGGCCUGCAGAGUCCAUGAUGGUCGUUUGGUUUGGAAGCUACAAAGACACGAAGGAAUCUGUCCAGGCUUGUUCAGAAAGAUUUGUUGUCCCUGCCUCUUUUGAGAUCCAUUGUGCUGCUAAGGCAUGAAUUACUGGUCAGGACCAUUCUAUCCAGGUGACAAAUUGUCACAUUUGCUGAGGAGACCCAGGUUUAAGUGGCUAUGAAGAUCACUGGGCGAUUUUGGUCCUGUAACUUUUUCAGCCUAAUCAGAGCCGUGGUAAGGAUAAAUUGAGGGUGGAGGACAACCACACAAGCACAAACUGGAGCUCAUUGAAAGAAGGAUAGGGUAAAACAAAUAUAACUCUCUCUGUCUGUCUAUCUCGGGUCAUUCCACACAUUACAUUUCUAGGUGCAGGCUGCCUUAAAUGUGAACUUAAAAAUGAGAACUGCGGAUGUAAGAAACAAGGCUUGCAGAUAUGUCCAUCAUGUAUGAAACUUGGCAGGGUGCACUCAGCAGGGAACAGUCACUGCCUGGAAUACGCUGUUGACGUGAACCUAGUGCCAGAUCCGAGUUUUCCUCUGUUGAACCUUGAGUACUGAUUCAGGCUUCACACAGAUAUUGGUGCUUUUACUGUAGUGCGUUUAUUAAACAGGUUUCUAUGCAGCUCCCUAGCAGAGCUCCAAAUGCAGCAAUGCAACAUUAACCCGCCAUGUUUGAAUGGAACAGGAGUUUCCAGAGAGGUUGCACAAACUGCCACGAAACACGCCUGACCCUGCAGCAUGGUGCUAAAGGCACGCAUCAAUUAUUCAAGGAUGCAGCACUGAUACAAAACUAGAGCAGAGAUUUAUGCUGGGUGCACACCUGGCCCAAGUUAUAUAAUGGCAAAAGGGUUCCAAUUAUUGAGACGUAAGUGCUCGAGGACAAAGGCCUGCAUUUGUUAAGAGCUGCCUGACAAUGCUUUUUUCUUAAUCUACAUGGUUCCUGCUACGCUGGGGCUCAGCUACAUAAUCCACUAGCUGUGAUCACCCCUGCCCUUUCAGAAAUUGACAACUCCUCCACAUAAUGCCCGGAAUGACUUCCCCAGCUUUUUCUAGAACCGCACGUUCAGCACACUUGUUUAAUAGCACAACGAUCCUUUCCCUGGUCCUCCUUUUUAAGCAGCUUUAGAGGGUUAGAUAUGAAAUGCAGAAACCAACAAUCAGCAAUACUGACUCAUUCAUGGAAUACAUGCACAUUUCAGAUCCCAGUGAAUUUAUCAGUACUGUUAGUUUUCAUAAGAAAAAGAGUGAGAUCCUUUAUCUGCCGGACAGCAAAUUUAGCGUACUUGCAUCGGGCCUGGUGUUGUAUACGUUGUGAAAGUGAAAUCACUGGCACCCCAGAGAGAUGGUACACUCUUCUGCCGUGUGACGCGGCAGCUAAAAAAGCCAAUGCAAUUCUGGGCUGCAUCAAUAGGAGUAUAGCAUCUAGAUCAAGGGAAGUAAUAGUGCCACUGUAUUCUGCUCUGGUCAGACCUCACCUGGAGUACUGUGUGCAGUUCUGGGCACCACAGUUCAAGAAGGACACUGACAAACUGGAACGUGUCCAGAGGAGGGCAACCAAAAUGGUCAAAGGCCUGGAAACAAUGCCUUAUGAGGAACGGCUAAGGGAGCUGGGCAUGUUUAGCCUGGAGAAGAGGAGGUUAAGGGGUGAUAUGAUAGCCAUGUUCAAAGAUAUAAAAGGAUGUCACAUAGAGGAGGGAGAAAGGUUGUUUUCUGCUGCUCCAGAGAAGCGGACACGGAGCAAUGGAUCCAAACUACAAGAAAGAAGAUUCCACCUAAACAUUAGGAAGAACUUCCUGACAGUAAGAGCUGUUUGACAGUGGAAUUUGCUGCCAAGGAGUGUGGUGGAGUCUCCUUCUUUGGAGGUCUUUAAGCAGAGGCUUGACAACCAUAUGUCAGGAGUGCUCUGAUGGUGUUUCCUGCUUGGCAGGGGGUUGGACUCGAUGGCCCUUGUGGUCUCUUCCAACUCUAUGAUUCUAUGAUUCUUUCUGAUAUGAAGAAGACAUGUAUGUGACUACUAGUGUCAUGGCUCCAGUACAGUGGUACCUUGGUUGUCAAACUUAGUCCAUUCUGGGAAUCCGUUCAACUCCUGGAACCGUUCGAAAACCAAGGCGCAGCUUCCGAUUGUCUGCAGGAGCUUCCUGCACUCAAUCGGAAGCCGCGUCGGGCGUUCGGCUUCCAGAAAACGUUCGCAAACCAGAACACUCACUUCCAGGUUUGUGGCGUUCAGGGGACCUGAUUUGUUCGGGAACCAAGCCAUUCGACAACCAAGGUACCACUGUACAGUGGUACCUCAGGUUACAUAUGCUUCAGGUUACAGACUCCGCUAACCCAGAAAUAGUGCUUCAGGUUAAGAACUUUGCUUCAGGAUGAGAACAGAAAUCGUGCUCUGGCGGCGUGGCGACAGCAGGAGACCCCAUUAGCUAAAGUGGUGCUUCAGGUUAAGAACAGUUUCAGGUUAAGAACGGACCUCCGGAAUGAAUUAAGUACUUAACCUGAGGUACCACUGUAUUUAUGCCAGUUGCUGGGAAUCAAAAGAGGAGAGAGUUGCUGCCGUACCCAGGUCCUGCCUGUAGACUUUCCACAGCCUGGCCUGAUCCUAUAAAAUCUGAACGAUCAAAGAGGCUGGAAUAGCCCUGAAGAUGGACAGUCACCCCUGCCUCCCCGGUCAGUUUCCUCAGCAUACAAUGUGCACUACUUUCAGCUUCUUGGAGGAAAGGCAGGCUAGAAAUGCAUUAAUAAAUAAGUAAGUAAGUAAGUAAGUAAGUAAGUAAGUAAGUAAGUAACAGCUUGCCUCUCCUUGGAAACAAUCUUUUAAGAAUCCCUGAAGCCUGCUUCUCAGCUAGGCUUGGCCAAACAUCCACAACAUCCAUAAUAAAAAAAGCAGCAUUGCUUGUUGGUAUUUAGAGCAUGCUGUGAAGUCAGAAAUCGAGAAUUAGCCUUGCUGUGCCCCUAAAAUCUGCCAAGUUCAUUCUUAAGAUGUGCACUUAUGUACAAUGCAGGCAUCCUCAAAUGACCAAACACAUGGAGCCUGCUUCAAGUCCAGUUGUUUUAUUGACUAGAUGCAUGUUGAUAAAGAAUGAUUGGGUGGUGAGUUUGCAGAGACAUUUUGUUCAGCAAAAAUUAAAAUUGUUUUAACACUUAUCGGCUAUGUGUUUGGACAGGGGGGAAAAGUUAAUCAUUCUUGUUUGUUCUUGAGAUACUCCAGAUGAGGAAAGAGAGUUUUUUAAAAGAACAAAAACAAGUGUGUGAUUUAAAAAUUGUUACACAAACAAAUGAGCCUAGUAAUGAGAUAGGAUAGAUGAGGAAUUAAAAAGAUGGUUUGUACAGUGAAAAAUAGUCAUACAGGAGCAGAGCCCAUGCUAAGCACUACUAAGUAGUUGUCCCAUCAACAAGAUUUACGCUUGCACAAUGGGACUUUCCUGCUCUCCUCUGCCCAUGCACCCCCUAAAUAAUUAUUUUAUUUUAUUUUAUUUUAUUUUAUUUUAUUUUAUUUUAUUAUUUCUACCCCACCCAUCUGGCUGGGUUUCCCCAGCCACUCUAAAUCUGGUGCAAUAAAGAAUGGGCAACUUGAUAUACUUUUAUUGAUGCUGUUAGACAAAAGGGUGAGAGGAGGAACCCAUCAAAGACUGAUGGAAAACUGCAGAAAGAUAUAUUUGAUUAAUAGGAAUCUAAUAAUUCUCAGUAAUAUGAAUGAGUGUUAAGCUUUUUAUUAAUGUGUUUUGGUGAUAGAUUUCAAUGUUAUCAUUGCUUGCGGUCCCCUCUGAUGUUUUGUUUGUGUGUAUGAGAGAUAGAAUGAAAGAUUGAAUUUGGAGUCAUUUUCAUGCAAGGUAUUUGUUCUACCACUGAACUGUUGUUGUUUAGUCGUUUAGUCAUGUCCGACUCUUCGUGACCCCAUGGACCAGAGCACGCCAGGCACUCCUGUCUUCCACUGCCUCCCGCAGUUUGGUCAGACUCAUGUUUGUGGCUUCGAGAACACUGUCCAACCAUCUCGUCCUCUGUCGUCCCCUUCUGCUUGUGCCCUCCAUCUUUCCCAACAUCAGGGUCUUUUCCAGGGAGUCUUCUCUUCUCAUGAGGUGGCCAAAGUAUUGGAGCCUCAGCUUCAUGAUCUGUCCUUCCAGUGAGCACUCAGGGCUGAUUUCCUUAAGAAUGGAUGCGUUUGAUCUUCUUGCAGUCCGUGGGACUCUCAAGAGUCUCCUCCAGCACCAUAAUUCAAAAGCAUCAAUUCUUUGGCGAUCAGCCUUCUUUAUGGUCCAGCUCUCACUUCCAUACAUCACUACUGGGAAAACCAUGGCUUUAACUAUACGGACCUUUGUUGGCAAGGUGAUGUCUCUGCAUUUUAAGAUGCUGUCUAGCUUUGCCAUCGCCUUUCUCCCAAGGAGCAGGUGUCUUUUAACCACUGAACUACAGCUGCUUCUUUAAGGUGGCGCCAUCUUCAAACCAACACUUUCCCUCCAAUGUUUGGUAGUUCAUGCACACAGAAUAUCUAACACACCACCCUCUUGUUUCCUUCAUUGCAGCAGAGCCACACCAGAUGCCCAGCGCACAAGUGUCCCGUUGAAUCACCUGGAUGGAUACCUAUUCAGCACUCUUUGGUAAGUCGGAGCCUUUUCCUCCCUCCGUUGCAAAGAUUAAAGAGAAUAAAGGAGAUGUCUAUGUCCUACAGGCAGCCUUAGGGCUGUAUACCAGAAUGUUUGAUAAAAUUAUCAGAGAAAGGCCAAAUUAAGGGUACUUUCUGGUCUGUGUGAAUGGGUUUUUUUCCCAAAGCAAUUCACAGUUUUGUGGUUCCGUACUCUGUCACUGAGGGAUUGAAAAUAAUCUAAAAAAAAAUUCUAGAAAAAGAUUUAUUGGUGUUGGGUGAAGCCUAGGAGAAGACAAAGAUCCUCUUUCCUGAUUUCAUGGUUCUCCUUGCUUUCAGUCAUCUGAAUGAGAUACAUUUUCAACUGCUGGGCCCUAAUCCAGAUUUUCUAAAGCUGCAACCCUCCCUACAUUUACCUAAAAGUAAGGCCCCAUGAAAUCACCAGGAUUCGUUUCUGUGAAACUGUGCAUAGGAUCAGGCUGCAGAAGUCCUAAAAUUAAUUAUGCAGUAUUCACGUUGUGCAGGCCAGCUUAGAAAUGUGGUCAGGAAAACUGACAUUUUGAGUUUUGCCUCUUCCAGUCGUGUGUUAAAUGUUUAGUCUUGAUACCCAAACUGAGAUGUUAUAAAUAUCAAAUCAGAGGUGUGCAAGCUUGGAUUUAAAACCAUCUGAUUUGUUCCCACGAUUGGUGCGUUACUCAGAAAGUUUUUUGAGAUCAACGGAAGCAGCUUUAGAACCAACUCUUUCCCAUCUUAUGGCAAACAUAUACAGUAAUACCUCCGUGAACAUCCGCCCCGUCGACCGUCCAUUUCGGCGAACGUCCAUGGCAAACCUGGAAGUACUGGCACGGGCUACUUCUAGGUUUGCCACUCGCGCAUGCGCAGAAGCGCAAACCGCUCCGCGUGUGUUCACACACAUAGCGGCGCUUUGUUGAGCAUCCCUUUCAUGGAGCGUCCGGGGCUCUGGAACGGAUCCUGGACUCAAAACAAGGUACCACUGUAAUUUAAGCAUGUGAGCAGCCCUCUGAAAGCUGCCCAACAGUGCCUACUACUUUAGCCUUUUGUAUGGUUGAUGUUUAAAUAUGCAAGGCAUUGGCUGUCAGGUGGGUAGAAUCUCCACUCCAAUGAUGUGUGUUCCAUGUGGUGGUUUUGCUGGAGUGCUGAUGCUCACUGCACAUACACAGAGACUAAGAACCUUUGAAGGAUUAGUCCUGGCCACUGGAGCUGCUUCCAUUGGAUAAUAUGUACUUGUUGGGCUCCCUACAAGAUGCUGAGGUUAACAAGCUGUGACAGUGCCAUCUAAUUUAAAUUGGGCCUCUGUUGUGCAGAAUAUUCAAUGUGUAGUGUAAGUACACACUGCCCAGAGAAUUAUAUUACAGGAGAGAGUCCAAAGCUGCAAUUUUAUACGCAGUUACUUGAAAGUAGGCAUCACUGAACACAGCAAGACUUACGUCUCUGCGUAACCAUGCAUAGAAUUGCACUGUUAGACAACAAUUCUGUGCAUGCUUAUUUGGGAGUUAGGUUUCAAUACUAACCCCACUUACCUAUGAGUAAAGGUAAAAGGUAAAUGACCCCUGGUCGUUUAAAUUCAGUCAAAGGCGAAUAUGGGGUGCGGCGCUCGUCUCGCUUCACGCCGAGAGAACCAUCAUUUGCCCACAGACAGCUUUCUUGGUCAUGUGGCCAGCAUGACUAAACUGCUACUGCUGCACGGAGGACCGUGACGAGUGCCAGAAUGCAUGUAAAUGCCAUUUACCUUCCCACCACAGUGGUACCUAUUUAUCUACUUGCACUGGUAUGCUUUCAAACUGCUAGGUUGGUAGAAGCUGGGACGGAGCAAUGGGAGCUCACCCUGUCACGGGGAUUGGAACCGCCGGCCUUCCAAUCAGCAAGCACAAAAGGCUAAGUGGUUUAGACCACAGCACCACCCGCAUCCCUUUACCUAUGAGUAUCCAGUCAUCUCCCUCUGCUUGGUUAAGUUACACCGCUCCCAUUCACUGGAAUGCUCUGAUGUUUUGGUACAUGUGAGUGCCCUGUUUUCACAUCUUCCAGCUUCCCUUUGAAACGGGUGCUGGGGUUGGGUGCUGGAACUCCAAAUAUGGGAAUCAUUUUGUUCAAUUAUAUACCAACCAGCCGUUGUUGUGAUUGUUCACUGCUCAAGGGUGAUGUUGUACUAUGGUGUGUCUUUUCGUUGUAAUUGGUAUUAAAAAUUAAUAUCCCACUUUUCAGUUCAAAAAUAGGCCUCUUUAAAGUGCCCUACAAGGAAACACAGUCAAGCAUCAUAAGAGAGAAACAACAUCACAUGACAUAUACUUUUAAAAAAAAAAUCACAGCAGGAAUUUGCAGCCUUUAUUCUGCCCUUCCUGCUCCUGUGCGGUCUGAAAUGUACAGCUGUGUACCAAACAUAUAUACCAGAUUUCAUUCAAACGUCUCAAUGUUCCAGGGGAUUGUCAUGUUGCAAACAGACAAAGCUAAACAGGCCAGUUAACUCAAAGGCAUCACUUGAAUCAGUCUAUACUUGUUUAGAUGUCUGUCUUUCUGAUCUCACUUCUUCUAAACCAAGGAAAGCCUUUUCAGUGCUGGUCUUUCAAAUCAUCCCUGCUUUUGCCCUUGAAGAUAGUUAUCCUCCACUUCCUUUAGGAAUCCCAAGUUGUGUAUGCACGGAAUUUGCUGAGCAAGAGCGUCCGCCUUGCUACCUGUUUUAUCUUCUUAUUAUAUAUGCCAUUUAAUCAAUUUAUAGACUGAUGCAUAUGAGGAGGUUUGCAAAUUAAAAAGCAUACGACUGCAAAACUAAGAUACAGAUAAAACAAAAAUAUCUAGACUUCCGGGGUGGCGCCAUCGGUAAUGGCAGACUCCCUCUGAUCCGGAGGGACUAGCUCCGCGGAAAACGGGUCUUCCCGCUACGCCGAAGCGGGGACCCUUUGAAAAAUCACAGGCGGAUGAAGCCUGUGACCAUGGGACUCGGCGGGGACCUUUCGUGCCCCCCCAACUCGUAAAGGAACCCCAUUACGGGCUCCGGAGCGAAGAGGGGCAAGUGGCGCGGUGCUGAGAGUCAACUGCUUCUUCCGUGGAGCGAAGCUGCACAACCGUUGCCGGAGAGCACUGCCUUUUUCCUGGGACAAUUUGGCUUUUAAAACAAUUACCCGUGAGUAGCUUAAUUUCGGACAAUUGGACUUUAAAUAACGACCUGCGAGUAGAAAGGAAAAUUGGACUAAGAAAUUCUUCUUAAUUUGGCACUGAAACGGGAAGGUCUAAACAGGAAGUCAGCCUUCCGUUUCUUGUAGAUAGAUUAAAGCAAAGACAUGGCAAACUAGAGUUCAGAAAAUCGUUUGUAAAGGAUUAACUUUAAUCAUUUAAAAUUGUUGAACCCCCUUCGGAAGCAGGAGAAGGGGGGGGGGGUUUCCGGACUGUUUAAACCUGCAGAAGAGAGUAUAAAGAAAAGUAAUUUUCCACCGUCUUGAACCUGGGAGCCGGGUGUCAGGACUGACGUUCUUUGGGAAGCUCAUUGACCAUAGACAAACGUCUUUGACAGAUAGUUAAAAGAAGAGAAACAUAGUGAUUCCAUUGUUCUCCUUCGCAUUUUAAAGGAACAAAUAUUGACAAAAUAUCUGAAAAAGGAAACUUUGUUGUUAGAUCUGCCUUUAAAAGAAAAGAACAAAUAGAAGUUCUUCCCCUAGAGGGAGCCUGUAAAACUGUUACUAAAUCUGAAUCGGGGAGCUCUGCAGCUGCAACAGAUUACGAUCGUGGGAACAGACUUCUGACCUUGCAGAACAAUGUAUUCAGAAGCUCUGGUGCGUGCUUUCUGCAAAACAAGUGCCCUAUUGGAACAGCUACAUGAGAAGACGGAAUUGAUGACUGUUGCAAUCGGAAAUUUUGGACAGGUAGUGGGUAACUAUAUAGAGCCCACCCAGGAAUCAAAUCAGGAGUGUGCUCUGACAGAUCAGAUGAGGGAAGAAGAUGUUGCUGAACCUCGGGUGCCAGAGAUGGAGGGAGUUGUGGCCCAGCAGGAACAUGAGUUGUUGGAUCUGAUAAAUGAACUUGGAAAAAGCCAGAUUUGGAGAGAUAGAGUUUUGUUUGGUUUGGAAAUGGGGGGUUGGAUAGACCCCCCUAUGCAGGGAUGUUUUGACUUUCCAAGUCUGGCAAUGGGCCGCGAGAUGUUUGGGGUUGUGGGGGCUCUUAAUUCUGGAGGAACUUUGAAACAUGUUUUUAAGUACCACAUGGAGUUUAGUGUGGACUAUGGAAAAGGGGCUGAUUUGUCGAGAAGGGUCAAAAACACUGUCAAGCUGGAGUUCCCACGAGUGAAAGGAGCAGGAGACAAAGUAAAGUACAGGUAUAAAUAUGAAGAAGAGCCACAGGAGGGACAUGGAAGAGACUUAAGGGCCUCGGACAUAAGAUUACCAGGUUAAUGCGCCAGAUUGAUGGGAUAGAAAGGACUAACAAAACCCGGGACCAGGAGGAAGAGACGCUGGAUGAAGAUUGGAAGAAAAUUUGAAUUUUUUUUUUAUUAGGAUUGCUUUAUAAAAUUGAUGAAUGUUAGAAAAAUGUUGGAACGAAAUUAUUUGGCUUUAGCAAAAAUGUUAAAAGAAUUAUGUAAGAAUAUGUUAUGUUUAUGAGAAAUUGGUAUAAAUAAGAUGCAAGUUUUAAGUUCUAGGGUUUUUUAUAGUAAGAUAAGGUUAAAAUAGACUAAGGUAAUGUAAUGACAGAAUAUUAUGAAAAAUGGAAAGGAUUUGCUGUGAUAAUUAACAACUACGAUACAAAAAAAGGGAGGAGUGAGGAGGUCAAUGAAAGAAGGCAAUGACAGUUAAGGAUUUGAGAAUAUUGGAUUUGUUUUUAAAUUUUUGUGGCUUAAUUUUGCUUUUUGAUUGUGCUCUGUUACGUGUUUUGUUGUUAUUUUUUGAUUUUGAUUUUUAUCAAUUUGUAUUGUUUGAUUGUGGUUUGUUUUUCUUUUGUUUUUUCUCUUUCUUUUUCUUUUUUCUUUUUUUCUGUAAUUUUAAAAUUCUUAAUAAAUAUCAUUUAAAAAAAGAAAAAAAAGAGAAAAAAUAAAACAAAAAUAUCUAGUGUCUGUAAAACCCCCAAAUCAAAAUACUGAGCAGUGCAACCCCAAAAUUAAUAACAAUAAUUUUAAUAUUCAUACUCCACCCUCUGGUUGGGUUUCCCCAGCCACUCUGGGCAGCUUAUAGAAGUACCACUGCAGGAAUUCAGAGGGGUGUCUCCCAGCCCUACCAGGUGAUGCUUGGGAAGUGAACUCCAAACCCUCUCUAUGCAAAACAAAUUCUCUAACCCUGAGCUGCGCUACUCAGACCUCAGUGGCACCAGUUGUGUCAGGGAUUCCCCACUCCAUCCCAAGUAUCCUCUUUUUCUUUCUUACCUGUCCCCCCCCCAUACCUUCUAGUGUGCUUUGAAGCUCUGCUAUUACAUAAACACCAGCCUCCUUUGAUGGUUAUAGUUUCAUAUCAACUUUUCUCUGCUCUGCUCAUUGUUCCUUCCUUUAAGACCUUUGAUUCUAUUUAGUUGUUUGCAGUCUGUGGGAGAGGUCAAUGCAGGAUUGGCUUUCCCUAUUUAAAUGUCCUUAUUUAAACUCAUUUGGCAAUGGAGAACAGCCUAAUUCAAAUUAAUUGCCGAAGGAGGGAGCUGUGUCUGCAGACUUCUCUUUCCUGGUAAUGUUUCUGUAGCGCUUGGGUUAUAAAAUAUUCCUGAAGGAGCUCUCUGCACAGGGAAUGUGUUAAUCAUGAAACCUUAGACUAGUUUCUGGGUAGACUUUAUUACAUAAUAACUGGGAUAAUUUCCUCUGUAAUGUGCUGCCCGUAAGGAAAUAGAAGAUGCAUUGAAUAUGGAUCUAACACAGAAAUUACUACCAGCCUCAGUAGCCAGAAAGGUGUUUGGGGAUGGAGGAAUCUAUCAAAUUAAAAUUUUCUGUUUCUCCUUUUUCCCAUCUGUCUGUGAUAUUUUUAAAGAAAAAAUGCCCAUGAAGAUUCAACAGCAUUUUAGUGUGGUUUCCUCCCUCAUACACAUGUUUGUGAGGAGUUUUGUUAAAUAUACACGUUAGGGAAUGUGCUGAUUCUGACACUUCAUUGCCAGGGCGAAAAUGUAACUCAAAUUGUAGUGCGGUUGCUACCUAGAAAUGUUCAUUGUGGUGGUGAAAAGGAAUACAGGGUGUCCUUGUGCCCCAGAGAAGUACUCAUCCAGAGCGAACCCACCAAAAAAGCAAGGAAUGUGAGCGAAAGCCAAGGAAUAUUACUUGCACGAUGGUCAUCAGGAAUUACAGACAUCGCUGUGGUUUAUGCCUGGCAAACUCACAGCACAGGCGUUAAUGGGAGGCUGAACUGCAAGCUUGCAUAUUUCAAGCUUCCUGGCAAGCGGCUCCACAUUUUUGUAAGUCACUGUGAUUUAACAAAUUAAUGAAACAGCAGCCCGUUACAUAGCUUUGGAGCUACUGCACUUUUACAGACACGACCUCUGCCACUCCCCUGGGGAUGCACAAGCCAGCAACCCUCAGAAAGACAUAAAGCAAAUGAUUUAAUUGCAGGUGCCCGUUAGAACCAGUGGGGAGACCGACUGUAGGUGGAAGACCGAGGCAAUGAAAGGCCUCUGCUGCUCCAGAGAAGCGGACAUGGAGCAAUGGAUCCAAACUACAAGAAAGAAGAUUCCACCUAAACAUUAGGAAGAACUUCCUGACAGUAAGAGCUGUUCGACAGUGGAAUUUGCUGCCAAGGAGUGUGGUGGAGUCUCCUUCUUUGGAGGUCUUUAAGCAGAGGCUUGACAACCAUAUGUCAGGAGUGCUCUGAUGGUGUUUCCUGCUUGGCAGGGGGUUGGACUCGAUGGCCCUUGUGGUCUCCUCCAACUCUAUGAUGAUUCUAUGAAAGGCAGAGCCAACUCAUUCUACUUUUGUCCCCAUUUUCCUCCCUGCUGAGUUCUGCAAGGGCAACAUUGAGACUAAGGAAGGCCACCCUCUGGGUUGGUUGUGUAUCUGCUCAGUGUGCUGUCCAGGUGCAAUCUGUUGGUGGGCAAUGUUCAGAUCCCUCUGCUUUCAUGUGGUGUAGUGUGCCAGUAUGGUGUAGUGGUUAGGAGCAGUGGACUCGUAAUCUGGUGAACCGGGUUCGCUUCCCUGCUCCUCCACAUGCAGCUGCUGGGUGACCUUGGGCUAGUCACACUUCUCUGAAGUCUCUCAGCUUCAUUCACCUCACAGAGUGUUUGUUGUGGGGGAGGAAGGGAAAGGAGAAUGUUAGCCGCUUUGAGACUCCUUAGGGUAGUGAUAAUGCGGGAUAUCAAAUCCAAACUCCUCCUUCUCCUCCUCCUCUUCUCCUGAUUCUUUAUCUUCAAACCAUAAAGGUAAAGGGACCCCUGACCAUUAUGGCCAGUCACGGACAACUCUGGGGUUGCAGCGCUCAUCUUGCUUUAUUGGCCAGGGGAGCCGCCGUAUAGCUUCUGGGUCAUGUGGCCAGCACGACUAAGCCGCAAACCAGAGCAGCACACGGAAAAGCCGUUUACCUUCCUGCCAGAGUGGUACCUAUUUAUCUACUUGCCCUUUGACGUGCUUUCGAACUGCUAGGUUGGCAGGAGCAGGGACCGAGCAACGGGAGCUCACCCUGUCACAGGGAUUCCAACCGCCGACCUUCUGAUCGGCAAGCCCUGGGCUCAGUGGUUUAGACCACAGUGCCACCCGCGUCCCCUUCAAACCAUACCAGAGAUUUAAAGCACAUUUAAAGCCUGCCCAGCCACCCCACAAAUUCUGGGAACUGUAUGUAGGCCUGUAAGGUAAGCUAUAGUUACCAGGAUUACUGGGUGGGUGGGGUGCUUGGAAUGUGCUGUAAAGGUCUAGUUUGCAUGCCACCUUGGCCAAGCAGCCUUUCAAAUGGGGACACCUUCAAAUAGAAGACAAUUCCCUGCAAAGCAGGGCAUGCGGCAUCUACUGUAAAACAAGGUAUGUCUACCCAGCCAAAGGUGUUGACAGAGAAGCUCCCUGCUUCUCUUCCAAACCCUGCUAGCUCAUAAAUUCCACAUUCGAGGUGGGUGGUGAGGAAUGUGUUUUGUGGUUUACGUGCUUUGAACAUUGCAGUAUCCAGCUGCCUUCAGCCUGCAAUUCUAGUCACACUUGGACUACUGGUUGGAGCCAGUAGGCCUUACUCCUUGAGUAACAACUGCUCAGGGGAGUCGUUGUUAAGGAGGAUAUAUCUAUGCUUUGUUUUGCAGAGGUGAUCUUUAAUUUUAAUGCUUCCCCUCCCCCCCUUGUUACUCUGUUCAUGUACUCCUGCAGCUUUUCGUUACAACUGAGACACCUACGUUCAUGGCUCAAGGCACCUCGCCAUCUGUCUCUUUUAUCUUAGCCUCUCUGAAAACAGCUCUUCCUAUUGUGAUGCUCCUGGUGCUGAGUCCCACCGACAGUCAGCUGCUUUGGAAAUGAUUUAUUUGGAGCAGUGGGUUGUUUUUUUCAGGGCCAAAAUUGAUUGACAUUUAAAUGCCCCUUUUAUGAGGGUGGAAAGCAUGCUGGGUAAAUGCUUGUUUCUUGAUUUAUGAAAAAGGACCUAGAGGACGCAUUAGGGAGCACCUGUUGAAUAUAUGAGCUGUUUAACAGUGGAAUAGACUGCUUUGGAAGGAAGUGGAUUCUUCUUCAUUCUAUCCAGCCUUUGUUUAUUAGGGGUGCAUAUUUAUAUUUUUUUGCAUUAUUGUGGGGUUGGACUAGAUGUCCUUUGAGAUCCCUUCCAGCUCUUGGGUCUGAAGAUUGGAAAAAAAUAUUGCUUAACAGAAAGUAGACUAUUUGAUGUCAUCCUAGACAUUCAAUGUAACUGACAGAUGGAAAAUUGGAAGUCAUUUUUCUUUUUCUUUUCUUUUCUUCUUUUCAUUCCUCCCCCCCCCUUUCUUUUUUCUUCUUUGGUGUCCUCUGCUCUGGGCCAUUACUAGGGUCCAAGUAUUACACGCACAUGAAGGUGGAUGGUUGGUGGAAGGACCCUGAGUGAGAGGCAGGGAAGGAAAAGGCUCUCAGGUCAGAGAGCUGGGAAGGACCAUAUCUUUUGUGGGUGCCAAGGGUUAAGAGCUACCUUUUAGAGAGGACUCUGUGUUUUCUUUUCUCUUUCUCCUUCUCUCUCUGUUUUUGUUUUUAUUUAGAUCUGUUUCGUUCAUCUUAUUGUGUUAUGAAAAAGCUUUAAUAAAAUCCUAUGGGAAAAAUGAGGUCCCUCUCAGUUCCAUGAUACCCUCUGUGAACAUUGUUGGUACUGAGUGUGUGUGGUUUGUUUAGUACUUGUUGAACUAGGAACCCCCUGCCCAGGGUGAAAGUAUUCUAGUGAGUUAUUGUGGCCUGUGUAUACUUAGGCCUCAGAUCCUAAGACAUGGAUGUGGCCCUCCAGAUGUGGUUGGACUGCAACCCCUAUCAUCCCUGUCCAUUGGCCAUAGUGGUUGGGGAUGAUGGGAAGUGGAGUCCAACAACAUCUGGAAGUUUUGCCAUUUCAGGCCUAACAAAACAGGCAUUGCAACAUCGUCUUCCAUGGCUUGCAGGCAGUAUGGAACCUCUGCAUUGGUCAGACCUGGGAGCCUGGCUUUUGUAUUAGGCUCAGUUUUGCCUAGGGAAGAGACCAAAGAGAUUAAGCAAAAGGCUCUGCAGAAUUGGUGGGUUUUGAGCUUUGGUUUGAAAGGCUGCAGACACACCAUACAUUUAAAGCACUUGGCUUCCCCCAAUGAAUCCUGGGGAUUUUAGUUUACCCCUCGAUCCCCAGCACCUUCAACAAGCUACAGUUCCCAGGAUUCCUUGGGGGGAGUCAUGAGCUUUAAAUGUGUAGUGUGCCCACAGAUGAGGGUAUGUUCUGUAUGUUCUGGCAGGCAUUUCGAUACAUAAUGGAAAAUAGACAGAGCUUUACACAGACCAGUUAUUAAAAUAAAUCUUGCAUUGCAGUGCCAAGGUUUUAAAAUAGCGCAGUAUAAAAACCACGAGAACUUCAUAUUCUCUUUUCAGUUUCUUGACAAUGUAACUUUUUUUGUGUGGCACAUUUGUUCUGAAACCUUGUGGGGAUUUUUUAUUACUUGUUUUGAAUCUUCCACCAGAAGUGGAAGACGGGGAAAUCUGCAGGAGCCUGAAAUAUGUCUCCUCGUUUCAUGAGCUGGGCUAAAACCUCACAGCUGUCUCAACAUUUCAGAAAGCCAGCUAACAGACUAGCACCUACUAGUCCUUGCAGUAGCUCUCCUGCUCGCUGAGACAACCACAAAACAUUAACUCUUGAUCGCCGAAGCUCAGAAUUCAUUUGAGUUUGGAAAGGGCAAACUAAACUAAUGACAACGUUGUAGAGACCACUUGGAGGCAUAGAGAUAUCAGUGUUGGGGGGCUUGUAAUGUUCUCACCACAAACACAAAUUGAGCAUUGGAGCCUCAAAAGUCUUCUCCUGCUGAGAAAACAAUCCCUUUCAUUCUCUGCUCUCCCCACAACAGCUCCCUAGACACUGUCUCAGAUCCAGCAGCCUUUAGGGAAAAUUACAUCCCUCAGGUCUCUUUUUCCCCUGGCUCUGGUACCUGCACAGCACAGUGCCAGGUACCAGAAUGGGGAGAAUGGAAGAACCUCCCUCAUUCCAUAUGUUCAGCCCAGCUAGGACAGGAGUAGCAGCAGGAGAGUAUGAGGGAAGGGGAGAAGGGGGUUGGCAGACUGUGGAUGUGUUGCGGUUAUUAAUAUUGCGCAUUUGGAAGCAAUGUUGAAAUAAAAACUGCCCAGUCCAAAAAUAUGGCUCAAAAGCUUUACUAGCAGAACUUGUUCCACAAAACAGACACCCAGAACAAUAAUGCUACGUCUAAAUAGAUGCAUAAUAUUAUGCGCUUGUCCAAGCAACAGGUACAGCAUCUUAGAGAUAUGAAAUUACUUUAUCCAGAGCUGAAAAGAAAGAUCUGCCUCUCCCACAGUCUCUCCAUUAUAGCCAGAGGCUGUGUUCCUGGAGAGAAUCAUUGGCUCCUCUGGCUCCUUUCAGAAAAAGAACAAAGACUUACUCACACAAAAUAGAGAUUUGCAAUUGAAUAUCCCAUGUGAAUCUAGGUUAAACACCUUGGGAGAGAGCAGCAAAGAUACAUCAACAGCUAAUCAUUAACUUGUUAGGCGCUCUGAGAGCUUCAGUUUAGCAAUACGCAUACAGAGUUAUUUUCUAUUUCAAUGUACAAUGAAACAAUUAUACUCAACAGGGUGGAGGUGGAGGUAUUUGGGAAGUGGUGGGUAGGAGGAAGGGAGAUUGGUUGCAUCUGUGAAUUUGUCACCUGUGGAAUCAGGGCCAUCCAGAAAUCUUCGUGCAGAUUGUGUUGUGGGUAUCUGGACAAUCCAAUAAACCAAUGUCAAUUCUGCAUAAAAUUUGGCUUGGAUUGGAAUUUGGGGUUCUGCUGCUAAGAAAUUGGUUUUGGAACUGUAGAUUGACUUACCAAAAUCUGCAUUGUAUCUGACACAUUUUUCAUCAAUGCAUCUCCUGUGCUAACAGUUAUAAUGGAUGUACUUCUUGCACCUCCUUUCAUGCAGUCAACACUGCAUCAUGUGUUUCGUAGUCUAAAUGCAGUUGAACACACGAGGCUGGAUUCAUACUUGGUUGAACUUCAGAGCAGAACCAUUAAAAUCAAUGGAAGAUGAGCUACUCAAUUUUAAUGAGUUUACUCAUUCAAUCCACGAUGCACUGAGAACAAUGUAAGAAGAUACAGUGGUGCCUUGCAAGACGAAAUUAAUCCGUUCCGCGAGAGUCUUCGUCUAGCGGUUUUUUCGUCUUGCGAAGCAACCCUAUUAGGGGCUUAACGGAUUAGCGCUAUUAGCGGUUUAGCGGCUAUUAAAGGCUUAUCGGCUUAUCGGAUUAGCUGCUAAAAGGCUAUUAAAGGCUUAGCGGCUUAGAUAAAGGGGGGAAAAGCGAAAAAAAAAUCUCAAGACUCGCAAGACAUUUUCAUCUUGCGAAGCAAGCCCAUAGGGAAAUUCGUCCUGCGAAGCAACUCAAAAACGGAAAACCCUUUCGUCUAGCGGGUUUUCUGUCUUGCGAGGCAUUCGUCUUGCGGGGCACCACUGUACUAAGAUUUGGAAAUGCAUACAACAAAGCCUAUGAGGCAAUGCAACAUACACACAGAUGAGACACUGGGACAUGUACUGAACUGAGCACUUGUAAAUACAUGUCAGGCUGCGAGGCAAGGUUUACCUUCCCCCUGUAUCUGUAGAUAACAGCACAAAGUGAAAGUACAGUGGUACCUCGGGUUAAGAACUUAAUUCAUUCUGGAGGUCUGUUCUUAACCUGAAACUGUUCUUAACCUGAGGUACCACUUUAGCUAAUGGGGCCUCCCACUGCUGCCACGCCGCCACUGCACAAUUUCUGUUCUCAUCCUGAAGCAAAGUUCUUAACCCGAGGUACUAUUUCUGGGUUAGCGGAGUCUGUAACCUGGAGCGUCUGUAACCUGAAGUGUCUAUAACCCAAGGUACCACUGUAGUCUUUUUCCAGCAACACAAAGGUUUCUUAAGCACAGCACAAAAUCCAGCGUCCAUUCUCACCGUGCAGGUGCUCCCAGUUGAGUUGCUCCCACUUCCCUCUAGCUGCUUCCGUCUUCCCGUCUCCUCACCAUGUGAUUGCUCCACCAUUGAGCCUUCUGAGAGGCUACCCUAUCCAGUCGUCUUGCUCCAGGACUGGUAGGCUGCACACUUUCUAGUGAGGGAGAGUGAACCAGCUCUCCCUCCUCCUGUUCCUCUUCCCCUUGUUGUUCUUCUUCCAGUUCGGCCCAACUAUCAGUCUCCGAACUGUGUUCCUCUGCAAACCAUUGCUCUAGGUCGAUACUACCUUCCUGCUCCUGUAGAGCUUCAGCAUCCCAGCCUUGCACAGAGGGGGGGCUCCCACAAUUCCUCUUCAGAGCCUGAUCCCUGACAAUACUGGAAGAAGUGUAGUAUGAGGAUGGAUGAUUCUGUCAAUUUAGUUCCCCCCAGUCUUUAAGUCUGCCAUGUUUCUAUAGGAGUUGCGAUUUUUUAUUUAAAAAAAUGUCCUUAUGAAAAUGUGUUCUCAGCAUUUUUCUGCACAUUUCCCUAUCAUGCAUUUUAAUGCAAUGUUGAUUAAUGUUAUGCAUUUGUACAUUUAUUUUCAUUAUUAUAAAUCUUUAUUGGUUCAAAAUACAAAUGUACAAAUGUACAAACAUACAACAAAGGUAGGUAUAACAAAGUUACAGUGGUGCCCCGCAAGACGAAUGCCUCGCAAGACGGAAAAACCGCUAGACGAAAGGGUUUUCCGUUUUGGAGUUGCUUCGCAGGACGAAUUCCCCUAUGGGCUGGCUUCGCAAGACGAAAAUGUCUUGCGAGUCUUGAGAUUUUUUUUUCGCUUUCCCCCCCCUUUAUCUAAUCUGCUAAGCCUUUAAUAGCCUUUAAUAGCCUUUUAGCAGCUAAUCCCCUAAGCCUUUAAGCCUUUAAUAGCCGCUAAACCGCUAAUAGCGCUAAUAGCGCUAAUCCGUCAAUGGGCUUGCUUCGCAAGACGAAAAAACCGCUAGACGAAGACUCUCGCGGAACGGAUUAAUUUCGUCUUGCGAGGCACCACUGUAAAUAUAAGUAGAAAAAAACAUCACAACUUAAAAGCAAGAAAAUUUUGAAAAAAGAAAAGAAAGAAAAAAAAAUGAAAAGAAAACCAAAAAUUUAUACAACACCAUGUCCUUCAAAAUAAAAAAAAUUUUUACAAGAAACUUCCAAUCAUUCUCAUUAUAUUUUUUCUAUUGUCAUGGUAUUAUCACACAGUUUUAUUUUGUAUCCUUUUUCAUACAUUCCACUAAGAUAUUUGUUUCAUUUAUUUAUUAUUCACAAGUUUCAUUCCAGUUCUGCUAAGAUGGUAUCAUUUUUACAAUAUAGUCUUAUGUAUUCCUUAAAUAUUUUCCAUUCUCCACGUGUUUUCUGGUUUAAAGCUCCCCUGACUUUCCCCGUCAUUUAUUUUCAUUUAUUUUCACUAAUAUGUGUAUUUCUUUUUUUGCACCCUUUUCCCCAGACACAUUUUUGUACAUGUUUUUGAGUUGGAAAACUGUAUUAGGAGAAGUGCAAAUUUCAAAAGACAGCUGUGUUUCUGUCUGCAUAUUGCAUCAGGAAGUAUGAAUUGGGGAGGGUUGCAGUAAAAUACAAACAGCCUAAUUUCUCCUCCAUCUCUAGUGCGGUGCAAACUAGGCCGUUGAUAGAGAAGACAGAUAACCUGGACCAGACUCCCAUAUUUUUAGAGAAUGGUGUUUUAAUAUGAUGUUUCUCCCAGAGAAAUGAUAUUUCUAUCCAAAGUCUUUCGCUGGAACUGUAAUCACAAGUCACCGCUUCCUGCCUCAACUUGCUAAGCUUUCCAGGAGUCCUUAAACUAGAUCUUUAUGUGUUUGAGCAUCCACAAAAGUCAUUAUCAGCCACCUUGUAAAAAAAUCAGCUUUGUGGAGGCUUUGAUGAUACAGUGUAAUUACGAGGAUGAAAAGGUGAAUAACCCUUUGAGAAGUGCAGACUCAUAUCAGGUCAGAAAAAACCCACCAGUAUUUACUGAAAUAUGUUGCUAAAGUUAAUUUAUCACUAAUAUUUUUUCCAGCUCUGUAAACGACUUCUUUCCAUAUAAAGCAAAGACACCCAAAGCCUGUAUAUGAGCACUGAAUCAUAAAAGUAAACUAAUUGAAGUUUCCUGAACUUGAGAUUAGCUGCCUAAUGUGCCGUGACUCCUCAAAAGCAGUCCUGUAAACGCUUCAUCUCAGUGUUCCCUGCUGCAUUAGGGAAGCUUUCCUGAGUUUUUACAAAGCUCUGCAGGGAUUGGAGAGCACAAACAUCUGCCAGAAAUGAAUAAACAAACAAGGGAAGACUCAAAAGCCAACGUGGGUAAUUCUUUCGGCUUCAUACUGUAAAAGUAAACCUUUUCAGAAUGAGGAGUACCUCCCAUAGCUGUCAAGCGUCCCUUAUUUGGCGGGACAGUCCCUUAUCCCAGCGCCAUGUCCCGCUGCUGUCCCUUAUUGAUGAUGUCCCUUAAAUAAGCUACAGAAGGUAAUGGGGCCCUUUCUAUGUCCAGCUGUCCUUUGUCAACAACAAAUUGUUGCUGUUUUUUGUGUGUUGAAUAUAUGCUAUAUGGUAAUUUAUGGACCUAAUAGGUAUCUAAAGCCAUUUGCACGCAACAAAAUAUGUAUUUUAUCAAAGUAAUUGUCGAUCCCUUAUUUUGGCUGCUGAUCCCUUAUUUUCGAGGCUGCUGGUCCCUUAUUUUCAAAUUUGUAAGUUGACAGCUAUGGUACCUCCGGUUUUAAUUAAAAAUCAGAGUGACUUGGGGAGCAAUCCUACAGCAAUAGGAUGAGCAAGUUCAGAUCCAGCAGAUCUCUGGCUGAACCUGGUACAGCUGGGUUAUGAUGGGUUAACACUGUCAUCCUUGGCUCAGCCUGAGAUACACCUGCAUAGUGUCCUCAUGUUGGGUAAGCCAGAAUGCAGCUGGCUGGGCCUAGCAGAUCUUCAGAUGACAUAAAAAGGGGCAUGACUGGAGCAUGGCCAGAGAAGAGAGACUUAGGCUGGAUCCUAGACCUGUUCAGCUCAGUCACGUGACCUGGAGUAAGGUAAGCCAGCAAAUAUGAAGAUGUAACUCAAGCACUACUCUAAAGGCUUAGUCUCCCUCAGCCAGGCUCGCCUUGAUGCACAGGAAAAAACACACACUACAAAUAAGUCAUAACAUUUUAACAAAAGGAAAAAAACUGUAUGUAAAAUCACAUAGAAAAGUUUUGUGCUCUACAGCGCCGUCUGGUGUUGCAUGUUUAUAACACAUUUGAAACUCUGUUUUUUUGGCAAAUGUAGCUGAGUCCUGGGUCUGGCAUAACUUUACGACAGUUUAGCUUUUGCUGAGUUGCUUUUGCAGCUCCUUGUGGAUAGGAUUGCUCCCUUGGUGACUGUGCCUCAAGAAGCUUGUAGAAGGUAGCAGGUAACCAUUCCUCAAGAUUACAGAUGAAUGAAUUAACAUUGACAAGACACGUGCCACGGAAAUGAUAAGGCAAAAUUUUAGAUGUUCUAGGAAAAUGCAUUCAUUCAUUUAUUUAUUCAGAUUUGCCACCUGACUGACCUUCUGAAGGUUCGUCAAGGGCAAUAAAUAACGUGUAAAACUAGCCUGCUAAAAUGCAGUAACAAAGAUCCAACAAAAAUAUUUUAAAACUCCACCAUCUGUAUCAGCUUUGCCCCAUUUUCCACACAAGCCAAUGCCAGUAGAAAAGGUCUUGCAGAGAAAAGAUAUUCAGGCUUUAAAAACGCUUUGACAAGCCUUCAAAGAUUUUUUUUCCAAACAGGAAAGACCUACUUUCAGUUACAGAUUUGUUGGCUGCCAAAAUAUAUUUUGAUACGGGCACUUACUCAAAGUUAAGCUCUUUGAUUAAGCCUUGUUGAUCUCAGUCGAGAAGAGAAGCAGGUGCUUAAAUUUGGCCCAUUAAAACCGAAGGGACUUAACAUUACCCCAUCCUCACAUUUCCAUUUCCCCCCACCAUGGUCCUGAUCCCCCAUAGUUGCUAUUUGCAAUAGGAGGAAAGCUCCCAUUGCAGUCAAUGGGAGCUUUCCUACCACUGCAAAUAGAUGUGCGUGGCAAUUUUGGAUGGGAUGGAGACAGGAGCAAAGGAUGAAAACCUUCUCUACAAACUGUGGUCCUGGUUCAGCUCUCCCCUUCCCAUGGUCCUUUUUAAAAAACCACAGCAGAUGUUUAUGUCACCUUCCAUGUGUACACAAUUGAGGCAAGAAGCCCAAGAAGCUACCAGAUAUAUAUAUAUAGUGUGUGUGUGUGUGUGUGUGUGUGUAGCCAUAUAUUUGAGUUUCUACAAUCUACAACUUUUACAUUUGGUUUCUCUCCUACCCACAGUCCAGAAGGUCUAAAAUGUCAGUGUUUGACAGCCAUGGUCUUUACCUUUCUUGCACAAAGUAAUCCAGAUCAGCAGUUAAUGGAAGAUUAGGCUGUGGUCCAGAAGGAAGGCUUUUAUUUAUAAGGCUUCAGAUCUUGUCAUACUGUGAUGUGAUUUAAUGAGAAGUGAUGUGGUGAGGCUGUAACGUUAAAAAGUAUUGAGCCAUGUGUUUUGUUUUCUCCUCUUGCAAAAUGGAUUGUAACCAGAGCUACUACAUUUAAUUUAAUUUUUUGAAAAACCCUCCAAAAUUCACACUUGGGCAAUAGUUAUUUUUUUUGGGGGGGGCAGCCAAUCAAAAUCAGGAGGCUUCUGGGCUCUGCAAUGGGGCCCUGGCAGCAGUUUGAGGGUGUCGUGUGCUGAAUCUCGGUCUGAAAUGACAGGGCCGGACCUUCCAUGAAGUAGAGUUAGGCAGCUGCCUCAGGCAGAAAAUGGCUAGACAUGUGUGUCAUGUGGUCUACCCUGAAGAACCUAGCUAGCCCUAGGCUGUAGUGAAGGACCGGUGCUGAAGUAAGAUUCAACUACCAAUCUUUGUGCACAGAAUGGGGACUGCACCAUCUUGUCCUUUGCCUUAGGUAGCAAAGCAGCUUGACUGGCUCCUGAAUGGACCACAAUGGUACUCACUCACUGUGUCCAAGCCAAGAUGCUGAAGAGAAAAGGAGCCAUGCAAAAGUCAGGACCUUCUACAAACACACACACAGACACACACACACAAUGAUGAUGAUGAUGAUGAAUUCAAUUUGUAUACUACCCUAUACCCACAGGUCUCAGGGCGGUUUAGAAUGCUACCUACAGGCGAGCAGAAGGCUGUAUCACAGUUCAAUGGCAUGUUUCAGCCAGGCAAAAGAACUCAAGGCGGGUGUGGAAGUGGGUGUGGCCUAGGCAGAGUCCGAAGAGCCAUGGAGGGCUGCAGAGGUAAAAAAAAAGUAAAGGUAAAGGACCCCUGGACAUUUAAGUCCAGUCAAAGGUGACUAUGGGGUGAGGUGCUCAUCUCGUUUUUCAGGCCGUGGGAGCCAGUGUUUGUUCACAGACAGCUUUCUGGGUCAUGUGACCAGCAUGACUAAGCCCCUACUGGUGCACGGAGGACUGUGAGGCGUGCCAAAACGCAUGGAAACAGCUUUUACCUUCCUGCCGCCGUGGUACCUAUUUAUUUACUUGCACUGGCAUGCAUUUGAACUGCUAGGUUCUCAGAAGCUGGGACAGAGAAAUGGAAGCUCACCCCAUCAAGCGGAAUCGAACUGCCGACCUUCUGAUUGACAAGCCCAAGAGGCUCAACGGUUUAGACCAUAGCACCACCCACUCUCUUCAUGGAGGACUGCAUUUGGCUCCUGGUUCCUAACCUCCUUGUCUUUGAUAUGGCAUUGUCAAGAUCAAAGGGCUCUGAAUGACGCUUCUCCCCCCUUUUGAGCUUUUCCCCUGUAAAGCAGAAAAAGGCACUGGCUAAAUACAAUUAUAACCUCACUUCACACUCGAGAGGAUUUUUAUAUACCUGUCAGUGCGGAAGUGUAUUAAAAUGCUCAGCUGGUUUGUUUGUUUUUUAAUAUAUAAUUUCUGGACGUGUACUGGGGGUGUUGAAGAAUGCUGAUAAAUGCAACAAUGAGCUAAGGUUGCUAUUCGAGAUGUCAGAAAACAAUUUUCUGGAAUGAGAGAUUGUAACAGGCCGGGAUCACCUCUCUAUAAGGGAAGGGAAAACCAGUGCAGGGAUUUAGGAGGCGUGAAGCAGAGCACAAAACACAAGGGAAAACUAAGUUUGUUACAUGGCCAUUUGGAAUGAGUGAGCGAAGCAACGUAAUUCUGCCUCCUGUUGCUCUGAGCACAAAUGGGGAGGGUUGAUUACAGUCUCUCCACUGAGUGCUAGAUUAAGGUCCUUCAAGUAGAUGGCAAACCUAAUAUUGCAAUUUUAAUUUGCACUGCGGCGGUGCUGUGGCUGGGUGUGGGUGGGUGUUGUUGAGCUCUAGUAGCAAUUCACUUGGCACUCGACGGCAUGAAUUUCAAGUGUGGCGACUUGUCUUGUUUCCUGCAGGAUUUAAAUAUUCAGAGACAGUAUCAGCAGUGAAGAUCAAAUAAACAUGCGGUUCAAAAUUAAGUGGUUUGUCUGUAGGAAGUCUGCUUCCUUCAGCUCUGCAAACAUUUUCUUUUUAAAGGGAGCCUCCUACUCUCUUCGCAUCCACUUGCAGAUAAACUUUUGAGAGCAUUGCCUGGGUGGAUAUAUGGAUGGCUGCAAAAUGCAGAACUUCAGUGCCGGAAGUAUAUAUCCAUAUCUAAUUAAAGAACAACAAAUAUAUAUUAUUUGCUGUUCAGUUUGAUACAGUGCCAUCCAUGUACAUGAUACUUUGUAAAGUGACAUAUUACCGUAUUUUUCGCUUCAUAGGGCACACCGGACCAUAGGGCGCACCUAGUUUUGGGAGGCGGAAAACAAGAAAAACUUAUUCUGAACCCCAGAAGCCAGAACAGCAAGAGGGAUCUGGCUUCUGGGAUACCGUGUGGCUGUUCUGGCUUCUGGGAUAACCGCGCCAAGCCUCUUCAGGGCAGCGGGAUGAAGGCUCCCCCUGCCCGAAGAGGCUGCGCAGGGCUAAAGCAGAAGCCAGGACAGGCGCGUCCCUGAAGGGGCGCUGCGCCUUCUCUCUCUGCGCAGAGAGGGAGAAGGCGCAGCGCCCUUCAGCGAAGCUGGAGAAGGAACAGAAGGAGACCCUUCUGUUCCUCCUCCGGCUUCGCUGGAAAGGCGCGUCGCUGCGAAGCGGGAGAAGGAACAGAAGGAGACCCUUCUGCUGCUCCUCGGGCUUCGCUGGACAGGAGCGCCGCUCAAGGGGCGCUGCGCCUUCUCCCUCUCUGCGCAGCGCCUCUCCUUCACAGGAGAGGUGCCGCGCAGAGUGGUAGAAGGCGCAGCGCCCUUCAGCGAAGCUGGAGAAGGAACAGAAGGAGACCCUUCUGUUCCUCCUCCGGCUUCCAGGUCAGGCGCCUCGCCGCGAAGCCUGCAUUCGCUCCAUAGGACGCACACACAUUUCCCCUUCAUUUUUGGAGGGGGAAAAGUGUGUCUUAUAGAGCGAAAAAUACGGUAAAUAAUCUUUCCUGACCACCUGCUGUAUUCCUGCUGAUAUCACAACUCAUUAAGGUUUGUGAAGAAAAUGGGUGUGACUGAAAAGGAGGGCAAGGUCUGCCGUAGCAUUAGGGUGGCACUGAUAAUGCCAAGGUUGCAGGUUCGAUCCUUGUAUGGGACAGCUGCAUAUUCCAGCAUUGCAGGGGCUUGGAAUGGAUGAUUCUAAAGGUCCCUUCCAUCUCUAAAAUUCUAAGAUUCUAUGAUUAUUCUUCAGUUGGGUGGACCUGUGACCCAGACCAUGGGUUCAUCUAACUGAGUGUUGUCUCUUCUGACCGGCUGUGGCUCUCGGGAACAUUAGACAGAGGUCCUGCCCACACCAUCCAUCUAAAUCAUAUCAUUUCCCCCAAGGAAUCCUGAGAAUUGUCAUUUGUGAAAGGUAAUGGAAACUGUAGCUCUGUGAGGGGUGAUUGCAGUUUCUGCUAUUCUUUGGGGGAACCCAUAUAUGUUAUGGAUGCAACGGGAGUCUUUUCUGUCACCUGUUCCCUUAUCCUUUUAGCUGAAGGGUAAACAAAAAGCAAAAAGCCACCAUUUUUAUUUUAUGUAUUCAUUAUUGCAUCUAUAUCCCACCUUCCCUUCAAGGAGUUCACACUUCUCCCCCUCUCCAUUGUAUUCUCACAACCACCCUGUGAGGUGGUUAAGCCUAGAGAGAGUGACCUGACCCCAUCCUCCUGGAAUGUACAUCAAAUAGCCCUACCCAUUAAGGUGGCUACAACAAGCAUCUGAAGAAAGUGCAAGAUUUUGACAAGUGCAUUUAAGUCUUUUUUUUUUUUAAUGUGCUGAGAGACUGUUGUGGUUGCUGUGAGGUACUGAUCUGGAUGAUGAUGAUGAUGAUGUAAGAGUACCUGCAUUUCUGAUCAACUCACUGUUUCUACACAACUGGUUGUCAUUACAAACAACUAAAUGGAACUAUGUUUUGCCUGGAAAAGGGAACGAAUCUCUUUGCUUAUUAAAAAGGUUAGAUGGACACCUCUCCGUGUGUCAAAAAGAUUUUAAUGCUUGCAUUGAGGACCCUGGGUGAACGCUUUUCAGUGUGCUGCCUUGCAUCUUAAGAUACGUGAGCAAACCCACACUUUUCCAGCAGCUGCCUACACCAAGACCCUGACUCUCCUGAGAAGUUUCAUUGGUGGUGGUGGUGGUGGGAGACAUAGGCAGCUACACAACAGAGCUGGAAGCCGGAAAGUUCCCUUCCCUUGUCUUGGAAUUCAAGUCACACCUGCUCCCCACUUUAACCUUUCCCAGAUGUAACCCUUCAGAUUGUUCCCCGACCCCCGCCAAACAUAAUCAGUCUCAAAGUGUCUAACAAUCUCCUUUCCCUUCCUUCUCCACAACAAACACUCUGUGAGGUGAGUGAGGCUGAGAGACUUCAGAGAAGCGUGACUAGCCCAAGGUCACCCAGCAGCUGCAUGUGGAGGAACAGGGAAGUGUACCCAGUUCACCAGAUUACAAGUCCAUCAUUCUUAACCACUAUACUACACUGGCUCUAACCACUACACAACGCUGCCUCCACCCUCCAGAGCCGUCCAAGCCAUUUUGCCACCCGGAGCAAAGGAUGGUACAUUGCCUAUUCUGUGCACAAAAACUGAUUAGAAUCGUGGUUAAAUCUUAUGUCAGCACUGGUGAUGGAAUAGAGUUCUCCUCCACACCCUAGGGUAGCAAGCUAGCUUAGGGGUUGCAGGGCAGACCAUAUGGCACUUUCUGCCCCUCAGAAUUUGCCCCUGAGGCAACUGCCUUAUUGUGUCUCAUGGAAGGGCUGGAUCUGCCCACCCUUCUGAGGUUAUUGAACUCCAACUCCCAUCAGCCCCCAGCCUGCAUGACCAGUGGCCAGCGGUGGUGGGAUCUGUAGUCUAGCAACUUCCAGAGACCCAGAACUUCUCCAUCGCUGCUGUAAAACAUUUCAGAAUGCUGCCUCUUAGUACUGAAGAUGCCCAAUUGUUGUCUUAAACAAGUUAUGCAGCUCUGGCCUUUAUCUUGGUCUUUUCCAAACCCAGAACCUUUUUAUCAUCUUGCAGGAAUAUUGAUCUUCAGUCGUGCAGUAAACAUGCCCAAUUUGUUCUUCCUGAACUAACACAACAGUGACAGUGCAUGCCGGCCCAUCUCCUACGUUUGUUAUUUGUUGUUCAGUGUCUUCUUUCUGCUGAUUCUCAAGAGCCCCCUGUGGGGAAGAGUGAAGCCAAACACUCUCCUUUAUUCCUGUUUGGAUUUUAAGUACUGUCGGAACAGACUGUGAUAUUUUAAAGAACGGGUCUGAAGACAUGGCUCUGAUAACUGAGUUGCUUAACUGAAAGAUCCCACGGGUCAAACAAGGUAUUGCUUGCAAAUGCACACACUGAAACUCUGUGCUUUAAAAAGAAAGAAAGAAAGAAAGAAAGAAAGAAGCAACGAAGGAAUAAUAAUAUAUUUAUUAGUUGCUUUUUGCACUGAAGUGUCUCAAAGCAACUUGCAUAGUAAAAAUAGAAAUAACAAAACACAUGCACAUAAGAACCUGAUAUGAAAACCGUAAUGGCACCAAAGCUAAAGUGCUUGACUGAUGUGUGUCUCUGUGUGAGAGAGUGUGCAUGUGAAUGCAUGUAACAAAUCCUACACACCCUACUUAAAGGUAAAGGUCAAGGUCAAGAUCAAGGGACCCCUGACCAUUAGGUUGCAGCGCUCAUCUCGCUUUAUUGGCCGAGGGAGCCGGCAUACAGCUUCCGGGUCAUGUAGCCAGAAUGACUAAGCCACUUCUGGUGAACCAGAGCAGCGCACGGAAACGCCGUUUAACUUCCCACCGGAGUGGUACCUAUUUAUCUAUUUGUACUUUGAUGUGCUUUUGAACUGCUAGGUUGGCAGGAGCAGGGACCGAGCAACGGGAGCUCACCCCAUCGCAGGGAUUCGAACCGCCGACCUUCUGAUUGGCAAGCCCUAGGCUCUGUGGUUUAACCCACAGCACCACCCGCAUCCCUCACACCCUACUUAAAAGAGCACAAAAAGGGCCACAGACAUAACUAGUUACCUCCCAAGUAAGAACUGAAUGCUUUUGCCUGCAGCCUAAAAACUGACAGCGAUGGCCCCAAGGGUGCUUCCCCAGGGAGAACAUUUCAGAAGCAGGGAGCCACCAUUGAAAAGGCCCCUUCUGAUCUCACCACUGUCCAAACAACCCUCUGAUAGGGUGCAUGGAGAAGGGCCUCCGAUGAUGAAUGUCUGGGAUGGCUCGUGCGGGAAGAGGCAGCUGUUAAGGUAUCUCAUUAAUCUACCUGAGUUCUUUGAAAGUGUCAACAAGCAUAUAGAUAAAGGUGAUCCAGUGUACUUGGAAUUUAUGUGCAGUUUCCAUUAUCUGGCUCUACAAACAUAAGUGCAGUUUGCUGAAGUGACAAGGUAUUCUGUCGCUCACUUGCGGAUCUACCAGCUUGUGGUUUAUUGCAGAGUUUUUUUUUCUUUUUUGAUAGCUGUGACAUUCCUUUUUUCUGAAUAACCUCUAAUUGCACACUUUUUACGAGUGAUUUUCAUUGCUCAGAGGAGUCACUCGGUGUGAAUCAGUGUUUGUAGCAUUUGAAAGGAGGCCAGCCUAGAGCAGUGAAUCAGUUCCAUAAGACAAUGGAACACCACCACUGCCAUGAUGGCUGUGCAAUACUUAAACCCAUGUAAUUCAGCUCCCUGUUCUCACGGUUGCAAGGUGGAUGCCGAUGAGAAGGCUGAUUGCAGGUCCUGAGUACUGCAGUGCUCUCCUCACUUGUAAUUCCCAGCCACUGAUAUAGAAAGGGAUACUGCCUCUGACAGAGGUAGGACAUAUCUUGAAAUACCUACAUUGGCUCCCAGUACGUUUCCCAAGCACAAUUCAAAGUGUUGGUGCUGACCUUUAAAGCCCUAAAUGGCCUCAGUUCAGUAUAUCUGAAGGAGCGUCUCCACCCCCAUCGUUCUACCCGGACACUGAGGUCCAGCUCCGUGGGCCUUCUGGCACUUCCCUCAUUGCAGCUGAGAGGUCCUGAAGAUGUGUGGAAGUAUCAUUAGCAGCUAAGGAUUAUAGGACUCUUAAGCUCCAUGAUCUCCAGCUGCAAAUGGUGGAGACAGAGUUAGAUCAGAGAGGGCUAGGAGAAACUCGCAUCUGAAACUAAAGAAAGCCACUGUGGCAGCUAGACUGGUGACUAGUAGUGGCCGCUAGACCACAUAACACCAGUCCUGAAAGACCUACAUUUGCCCACAGUAUGUUUCCGAGCACAAUUAAAAGUGUUGAUGCUGAUCUUUAAAGCCCUAAACGGCCUCAGUCCAGUAUAUCUGAAGGAGCAUCUCCACCCCCAUCAUUCUACCCGGACACUGCGGUCCAGCUCCGUGGGCCUUCUGGCAGUUCCUUCACUGCGAGAAGCCAAGUUACAGGGAACCAGGCAGAGGGCCUUCUCGGUGGUGGCACCCACCCUGUGGAACGCCCUCCGACCAGAUGUCAAAGAGAACAACAGCUACCAGACUUUUAGAAGACAUCUGAAAGCAGCCCUGUUUAGGGAAGCUUUUAAUGUUUGAUGCAUUACUGUAUUUUAAUAUUUUGUUGGAAAUGGCUGGGGAAGCCCAGCCAGAUGGGUGGGGUAUAAUUAAAUAAUUAAAUAAUAAUAAUAAUAAUAAUAAUAAUUAUCCAUUGUGACUAGUGACCGUUGAUAACCUUAUCCUCCAUUAUUUGUCUAAUCCUCUUCUAAAGCCAUCCAAGUUGGUGGCCAUCACUACAUCUUCUGACAGCCAAUUCCAUGGUUUAACUAGUCAUACAUACUUUUGUCCUGAAUCUUCCAGCCUUCGGUUUCCAUCGGAUGGCCCUGGGAUCUGGUAUUAUGAGAAAGAGAGAAAAACAGCUUUUCUUUAUCUGCAGCGUGUGUAAUCCUAUCUCAUCAUCAUUCCUUUUCUUGGGAAGUCCUGUCCCAGGGAUGGGAUACCAGACAAAUAUCAUGGUUGACAAGGGAGACUCCAUUCCAGGCUGGGAGAAAAAUGAGACCAUUAACUGAGCUUGUUUUGUGAGGAUAAUGGGACUUCCAAGCUGGAUGACAUUGGAAACUCCUGUUGCCCUUCAAGGUGCAUUGGUGCCUGCCUGUUCCACUUCAUCAUUCUGGCAUUAAUGGGCCCACUGGGCUGGAGGACUUUAAUUUAGUCCUUUUGGCUGCUGCAUGCACACAGAAAAUCAAAUUCACCACCACUAUCAAUACAUAAAAAUAUUUUAGGACCCCACAGAGAUAUAUACUAAGUGCAUAAACCAAUCAUCCUGUUGUUGCAUUCAGAGUUUUAACAAAAUGUAAUGAACUGUUUAGGGAGAGGUUGAUGACGAUGGAAGAGUUACUGGGGUUGUAAUGUGCUGGCUGGUGCAAAUAUAUCUAUCUAGGCUCAAAGCAGCUUCCAGAGUAAAAUAAUAAUAAAAUUGAAGUCUAAUACAACAAAAGAACAUCCCAACAAUAAACCAGGGAAAGCAAAAUCAUUACCAUCAAGACGAAAAGUUGGCAUUCAAGUGGGGAUCCCACAUUCACCGUCAUAAGUGUGGAUUCUUCUUACUUUUCCUUCCCAGAGCUAUGUUUAUUUGGUCUGUAUGCAAAGAAACUUUAUUAUGCUUUGGGUCAUUGUCAGUUAGAACUGAUGAUAAAAAAAUUUAUAUGGGACAAUUUGGAUAUAAUCUAAAAUCAUUUCCUACAUGGACUACUUUGAGUUCCAUAUUGUACAGCUCGUGCAUUGCUUAGAACUGAAGUAGGUCUCUCUUCUCUAAAAGCACACAUUCAUAUGAUACUAUAUGUUGGCUGUUUGGAGUUUAGUAGCGCUGCAGAGAGCUUGCUGGGGAGACCAUGCAUAACAAGGAACUCAAAAAUAACUUUAACAAGGUUUUAGUAACAAAACAAAAACUCCUUUUACACUAAAGAUAACAACAACAAGCAUGACCCAACCACCAACCCAUCCCCCAGGGUAAUGAGAGAGCUAGGUGCUGCUCCUUAUAUACUAUGCCCAAAUGCUGACGCAGCUUAAUUAACACAACCUAGCAGCACCUGCUAUGUUUCACAGUUGCAAGACUGGGUCUCGUUAUUUGCCCUGGCCCUUAAAGACAUACACAACUUGUGAAACAAUAAUGAACCUUCACAUUUUACAGUGACCAAUCAACAUUAUACUGGGAGAACGGGGACCAUUGCUAAUGCCAAACCAACAUUUAGCAAAACAUUUUUUAAGACUUGUAGAACAGAGCACAACACUGCAACAUUUUUAUGUUGCUAUAUUCAAUUUUCCCUCUAAUGGCAUCUCAGGGUAUUUCUGACUGAUGAGAUCCUUGAUGCAGUUUUUGCUGAAGAUGCUAAAACAAACUUUGAAAAUAUGAAAAAUUCCCAGUACUCAGUCUGGUAUCUUCAAAUUAAAUCUGAUCCUAAAAGAACUUUUUAUCUGCAGGACUUAACUGUCUUCCCUGCUCUGUUAGACAUGCAUUUACUCAGUUCAGAUUUCAAGCUAUGUCCACGGAAUGUAUGACCAGCAAAUUAUUUAAAUUACUGUCUUUGUGUAUGGAGAUCAAACCAGAUCUAACACUUGUGUGCUAUAUGCUCUAUUGAUAUAAUUCACCUAGGGAUAGAAUCUCCAUUCAUUCCAGAACAUGGGCCACACAAUGGGCUCUAACCUGAAAAUAUAGAAGAACAAUCCAGCAUCUUAUUGUAUAUUAAAGCCCUGCUGGAUCAGUCAAAAGACUGUCCAGCCUCCUGUUAUUAUAGUGGUGAACCAGAUCUUAGAAUCAUAGAAUUGUAGAGUUGGAAGGGACCCCAAGGGUCAUGUAGUCCAACCUCCUGCAAUGCAUAGCUUUAACCUCCAUGAAUUUGCCUAAUCCUCUUUCAAAGCCAUCCAAGAUGGCGGCCAUCACUAUGUCUUGUGGGAGCAAAACCCAUGGUUUAACUAUUUACUAUAUGAAUAAGUACUUUCUUUUGUCAAAGGCAACAUUAACCACGAUGAAUUUGUCUAACCUCCUAUUAAGAAGAUAAGAAUUGGCCUUUACAACUGUACAAAGACCUGGUCAAAGGCAACCCAUUCAUACUCCUAUGCUAAGUCUACUUUAGUAUGAACUUGCUUUGGGAAAUAGUGAUAACGGAAUAUAUUAUCUUGUGGAGUAUCUGAUCAAUUGGCAAAGUGAAAUCACUCCUCAUUAUCUGACAUACACCGUUUAUUUAUAUCAAUAAGUUGUUCAAUGUUUGUCCUUUUUUGCUUCUCUUGGCUCCCUGUUUUUCUCUCAGAAAGAUGCUUUUCCGUCAGGAGAUGUUAGGUGAGAUUCUAAAUGUCUGUCUUUUAUUCCAGCAUCAAAUUUAGUCCCUUGACAUGAUUGUUACAACAGCGAUUUGCAAACAUCCACAAGUGAUUUUUUUUAAAAAGAAACAAACAGAAGCCUUGUAAAUCUUUCUUUAAAUAAACCUUCUUCCACCUUUCCUUGUGGCAACUGAGAACACCAACGAGCAGCAGAGGAGUGUUGUUAGUUUGUGUGCUAAACCUUUUCAUUUUAAACAUUACAUAAUAAAAGACACCUAGUACUUCUAUAGUUCUAUAGUAGCGUUGCCAAUUACACAUUGCCAGAAAAGAGGCAAUGAACCUCUCACCCAAAGGAUGAAAGAGGACGUGGAUUUGCAUAAAACUUUCAUACAUUGAUGUAUAUAAAAAGGAACAAAUUUAGCAGUAACUACUAUGAUUUCAUGGAAGUGAAAGCUGGACCAUAAAGAAGGCUGAUCACUGAAGAAUUGAUGCUUUUGAAUUAUGGUGCUGGAGGAGACUCUUGAGAGUCCCAUGGACUGCAAGAAGAUCAAACCUCUCCAUUCUUAAGGAAAUAAGCCCUGAGUGCUCACUGGAAGGACAGAUCCUGAAGCUGAGGCUCCAGUACUUUGGCCACCUCAUGAGAAGAGAAGACUCCCUGGAAAAGACCCUGAUGUUGGGAAAGAUGGAGGGCACAAGGAGAAGGGGACGACAGAGGACGAGAUGGUUGGACAGUGUUCUCGAAGCUACCAGCACGAGUUUGACCAAACUGCGGGAGGCAUUGGAGGACAGAAGUACCUGGCGUGCUCUGGUCCAUGGGGUCACGAAGAGUCGGACACGACUAAAUGACUAAACAACAACAACUAUGAUUUCAACAGAGAUACAGCACAUCUGUAUGCCUUCUGCAUCCAGAGCACAUGCUCUACCAGUGGCCUCUUGGCUCCCAAGCCCUGCUUGGCAGUCACUUCAGACUGCUGCCCAUGGCCCAACCCUGACGCCUAUUUGGAAAAUGGCUGUGGUGUGACACACCUGGGACUGCACCACUUUGACGUUGAAGCGGGGACUGCAUCUCCCAACAGAGUCUCAUAUCUGUCUUUGGACACAGGCUUAUUUCCUCUUAAGAACAACUUAUUUAGGUUGCUCCACCAAAAAAAUUACUGCAUUGCAGGGGAUUGGACUAGACGACUCUCGCGAUCCCUUCCAACUCCACGAUUCUAUGAUUCUGUUAUUCUUAAUCCUUCUGCAAAGUGGGACUUGAGGCUAAACUUCUAAGCUAUUCUGGAGAUACCUACAAAAGAUGCCUGUUUGGCACGAAUGCCAGUGUGUGCCUAAUUCAAGCAUCUCAAAACUAGCCCAGAGCAAUUUUAGUUACUACUGCUCAUUUCUCAAAGGCUGCCCAUAUUGAUUAGUUUCCAUGUUAGCAUCUUCUUAGAAGGCUGAGCCAUCAGGUCACUGUUGCUGAACAAAUUAGAGAACCCGCAACAGCUGGGGUGGCCAUUAAAAGGGAAUUCGACAGCAAUCCUCUUGAAUCCGAGAUGGGUACAGUCCCCUUGGGACUUAGUUAAGUUUCUUCUUUCUGAUAGAAGAGAGAAGCCAAAAUCCCUACAGGGCAAUUUGCACAAAGAGCUGUAAGAAAACAGGAGUGGAGGGCAGCCAUGGAAAGUGAUGCAAAGCUGGGAUGCAACAGCAGAAGGUCAGAAUCGAGGCCAGGUUUAUACGGUGUAAAAUUGCAAAACAUUAACGUUUCUCAAAGGAAAAUGUUCCUUAAAAACAAACAUCAGUUUAGAAGAAGCAUUUGACAAUGCAAAAUAAGGUUCGCUAAUUCAUUGGACAUGCAGAUGCAACCUACACACAGAAACAUUAAAAGUGUUGUACUACUAAAGUAGCAGUGGAUAGCCAGAGACCCAAGGGAUGCAUGUGGCCCUCGGCUUAAUUUCCUGUGGCCCUCAGCCUAAUUUCCUGUGGCAGAAAGAGAGGGAGGGAGGAAGAAAAGCGGGUGGCCCUGUUCAUUGCUGACCUAGCCCCAUUCACCACCUGCUUGGGUCCUGCUCCCACCAGUGUGAAGUCCCUGACAGUUUCGACAGAAAAUAGUUUCCCCACCCCUGAAGAAAAAUAUAAGUCUUUAAACAAGGUUAAAACAGCCUGGCAUAAUCCAACAACAACAACAACAACAACAACAACAACAACAACAACCACCACCACCCAGCAAUAUUUCAAAAUGCAUAUGUUUUGUUACGGCAAGUGUCCAAAAGAUAAUUGCAUAUUAUACUCCUCCUCACAUCCUCCUCUACUUUAGGUCAGGGCGGUCUGUUCAACCGUUUCCAAAUUACACUUUAAUUGUGUGCCAUAGGUGUGUGAAGUCUCCUAGAGAUGAUUCAUGGGUUCAUACAGAAAACAAGACAUUCUAGUUUCCAGUCAGUAGCCAAUCAAUUACUUCAUCUGGUGACUAUUGCCUCCAACAUUGCAAAGGACAUCUUGCACAGCACUGCUAGGUGUUUCCCCCUCCCCCGCUCUCUCCCAGGGCCAUUCUCCAGCAUGUUAUUGACAUAAUGAUAUUGCAUUAGUAGUGGAUUUAUACUGGAACAUCCACACAUCAUUCUGAUUAUCCAAUGUUAUUGCAUUAGUGUUGUCUGGAGGAUCUUUCUUGGGCUAUAGCGCAACAAAAGUGGGUCAGCCCAUAGCUUCCCCCCCGGGGAGCAUUUGUGAUCUUAAAAAGCUAUUGGAUUUCAGCAGGAAGUUACCAGACAGAAACUGAUUAGAAACGAGACAGCAAGGCGACCCCAAAACCUUUGCAGGUACAAACAGUAUUGAAAGCUGAAUUGUUUAACCACUCCGAUACCAACGUGAACACGAGUCAUCAUGAAUGCACAAUAAAAAGGUGCCCACGGAACAUGGUCAUAAUGAAAGACAUAAGCCCAGUUACUAAUUGAAAUGGUUAUUUUUGAAAGAAAUGGCUGAAUCCUUCCACUAACAAAUAUUAGCUGUAUGCACUCUUUGCAGCCCUGCGAAAGUUUUGAGGGGGGGGGGGAACCACUGUCAAAUAAGGUAGGGUGGGAAAUUUUUUAUCUUAUUUUUAAGAUUUUGCACAAAAAUCAAACAACUUUUGUCUCCGGAUUUUCAGUUUUUGAAAUAUGGCAACCCUAAUUAGGUGCUGGUGGGAUUCUGUAUCUCAAAACAAUGGAGAGCGACUACCUGUUGGUGUUGACAAUUCUGAGCUAGAUGAAGUGACUUAGAAUAAGGCAACUUCUUAUGUUACAAUGGAUGAAGGGAAGAUCAAAUUCCCACCCCUAUAUAACAGAUAUUGAUAUGAAAUCCUGCAAGCAUUUACUACAAAAUCCAAUUAUUGCCUUGUUUUCAGGUGCCUAUUACGGUAAGUGAAACAGCGCAAGAACUAAACAAGCGUGCCCCUUAAUUCUCAGCCCUACCAGUUAAAUUUGGCUCUCACUAUUUAACUGACAAAAGCUUUAAGUUGAUUCAUUUACUGAUCUAAACAACUGAAACCUGCAGUUCUAAUUUAAAUCCCUCCCCUCCCCCCCAAAGUACGUCCCUUUUCUAUGUGUUACUUAAAUAUCCUCAGGAUCUCUCCUGAAUCACAAGGCUGCGAAGCUUAUUUCAAACAGUUAAAUGAUCAGUUAAAAUCAGGAAAGUUACCGCGAACAAUGAAAAACCCCACUCAUUUGUCAACGACUCUGCGUGACUUGACUCAGAAACAAAACAGGUUGGCAUUUGAUGACCCCUUCCCCAACACACUAGGUUCAAAAGCAGCUGAUAGGGUGGGGUGGAGAGCCUUUGUUUAAAAUCAUUUUUGUCACCAUAACAACGAAAAGAGCAAUAAAACAAUAUCAUGACGGCACUGCAUGACAUUAUUCAAUUUCCCUACAAAGCGGGAGAAAACGAUCAGAGUCCAUUUGGAAGAAGCAUAAUGGCGAAAUGGCAAAGAAAUCCCAGAGAAACUCUUCAUUAUCUGUCUUGGAUACUUUCCAUCUCAUUCUUCCCUGUUCUGGCUCAGUUGCUCCCAAGGUCUGCUUCAUCUCAACCGGUGAUCCCAUCACUUUGUAUUACAGCAUUCCAACAAGUAAUUUUCUUUUAUAAAAAAAUAGAGAGAUAAUGAGGUCAUGCAUUUUCAGCUGUAAAAGAACGGGCUGAUUUUAAUCCUUCUUAUAGAAAAGCUCGAUAAAAUGAUUUUAAAGAGCUCCUUCUGUCACUCUAACACCUCUUUUGAUCAGUCCUAUGUAUGCUUUUUUUAAGGGACGCGGGUGGUGCUGUGGGUUAAACCGCAGAGCCUAGGACUUGCCGAUCAGAAGGUUGGCGGUUCGAAUCCCUGCGACAGGGUGAGCUCCCGUUGCUUGGUCCCAGCUCCUGCCAACCUAGCAGUUCAAAAGCACGUCAAAGUGCAAGUAGAUAAAUAGGUACCGCUCUGGCGGGAAGGUAAAUGGUGUUUCCGUGCUCUGCUCUGGUUCGCCAGAAGCGGCUUAGUCAUGCUGGCCACAUGACCCAGAAGCUGUACACUGGCUCCCUCGGCCAAUAAAGCGAGAUGAGUGCCGCAACCCCAGAGUCGGUCACGACUGGACCUAAUGGUCAGGGGUCCCUUUACCUUUACCCUUUAUGCAGAAUUGUAGGCUUUUGUUGCCUACAAUCCUGCACAGGAGUGCUGUCCAUUAAACAUGGCAGUUGACAGAGUAACAGAGUGAACAGACUAAGGAGAGAGUGGUUCUCUAGAUGUUUCUUGACCCCCAACUCUCAACAGCUCCAGCGAGCAUGGCCAGUGACCAAGGAUUAUGGGAAUGACCCACCUUCUGGAGGGUCAAAAGAGGUCACAUGCUAAAUCAUAUGUAUAAUUGCAAAUACAGAAAUGACUUCCAUAAUUUAAAAAGAAAGUCAUAGUGGGGCCUUAAGUGCCUUUUUUAAGUGAAGAUUUUCAACCCAUCUGGAUAGGUUGUGAAAUUAUUUUUUGUUUUUAUGGUUGAUAUUUUCUUCUUCUUCAGUCACCCAUAGGAAAUGAUUCAUUAAUGGAAUGGAGUGAGUCAGUAAUAAUCUUCCAGCCCACUCUUCUCUCUUCUUAUUGUUAUUUAUCUUCAAACUGGACUCGAACAGGACAAGUCUCCCAACGGAGAAUAACUUCCAAUCAAGGCCUGUCCCCUGCCAGGCCUCUCACGUACAUGGUUGUCCUAUAUAAAGUGGGGCGCAUGGACACCCUAAAUGCAAUGCCGAGUAUGUAGUUCAAGACCUCCCCUCACAACGUAGUUCUCAGUGUCCUUGAAGCAAGCCAGGCAUUGGCAGGCAUUAAUGCUGUUACCGCUCUCAAAGACAAUGUGGUCUGUACCCAGAAGACACAUUAGAAUUUUGUUUGUGCUUUGGUCACCAUAUGCUGCAUGCUUAAUUCUUUGGAAAAUUUCCAGCAGGGGCCAACAUUCACCUGCCAGAGAAGGCUUAUUGCCUGCCGCCCUGCUUUGCAUAGGAUGAAUAAGGAGCACAAUGUGAUUCUCAGACACCUGCUUUAGAGCUCAGUGAAGCCACUCUGUAGACCUCCAGACAGAUGCAUGCGGCCUCUGAUUCUGGAUCUAAUACACAGCCAUCAUUCCAGUAGUCACUGAUAACUUGUCUAGCCCCCUUAGAGCUCACAGGUCUUUAUACAGUGGUACCUCAGGUUACAGACACUUCAGGUUACAGACUCUGCUAACCCAGAAAUUGUACCUCGGGUUAAGAACUUUGCUUCAGGAUGAGAACAGAAAUUGUGUAGUGGCAGCAGGAGGCCCCAUUAGCUAAAGUGGUACCUCAGGUUAAGAACAGUUUCAGGUUAAGAACGGACCUCCAGAACGAAUUAAGUUCUUAACCUGAGGUACCACUGUAAUAUAAGUGGAAACAGUUGGUCCUGGCGAGUAUUAACCGCUUUCAGUUUUAACCUGAGGAUUGUCAUUUGUCCAGUUAUUUUAAUUUUAAUUUAUUUGAAUUAAUUUUGGGGUGCAUUUUAAUUGAUUGCUUGUUUUUAUGCAUAUUGUAUUAUUUAUAUGUUAGCCGCUCUGAGCCCGGCUCCGACUGGGGAGGGCAGGGUACAAAUAAAAUUAUUAUUGUUGUUAUUUUUUAUUGUUAUUAUCAUCUUAGAAUCAGAAUCAUAGAAUAGUAGUUGGAAGUGACCACAAGAGUAAUCUACUCAAACCCCCUGCAAUGCAGAAAUAUAUUGCUCAAAGUGGAGCAGGACCCACUUAUGUGGCCAUCAUUAUCUUUAUGUGGGGGAAAAUUCCAUAGCUCAGCUGUGCACUAUUCAAAUAAAUACUUUCUUUGUCACACUUGUAUGUUACCAACACGUGCAUCUUGUUCUUACCUACAUGUGUUGAUGCAGAAACAAUUCUAGCUUGUAUCAAAACAUAACAUCAAAUCUGUCCUAAGUCUAUUAUUUAACCUGGUCCAUACUGGUCUUAAAAAGAUUCAGAUAACGUCCUGCCUGAUUCAGAUAUAUAACACCCUGCCUAACCACCACAUAUCUUCCCUGAAACGUCUGUUUCUUAGAUGCAGCUGUGUAUGAUUGCCAGCUAAUAGAAUUUCCAGCAAGAAGCAAUUUUAGAUGAGAAAUCUAAAUUGAGCAAAUGAGAGAAGUUCCCUGAAUCGAUAAUAAUAAAAAAUUGUUCUGGUGAUAUUUUCCUCAUAAAGAUAGCAUUUAGAGCAAAAGCUCCUUGGAUGGGCAAUGUGGGACAUAAUCUUCUCUUCUCAAGUUGAAGGAUCAUGGCUUAUUGAAAGUGUACAUGCUUUGGAUGUAAAAGGUCCACGGUGCAAAUUCUGACAUAUCAGGUAGGGCUGCGAGACUCUUGCCCAUGGUGAACAGUUUCUGCAAAUAAAUUGGAAAUUAUUCUAAAAGGAAUCAAUGCGUGUUUGUGUGUGGGAGCAUUCUCUUUCCCCUUGGUUUCUUGUUGAGAGCCAGUGUGGUGUAGUGGUUAGGAGUGGUGGACUUGUAAUCUGGGGAACCGGGUUCGCGUCUCCGCUCCUCCACAUGCAGCUGCUGGGUGACCUUGGGCUGUUCACACUUCUCUGAAGUCUCUCAGCCCCACUCACCUCACAGAGUGUUUGUUGUGGGGGAGGAAGGAAAAGGAGAAUGUUAGCCGCUUUGAGACUCCUUUGGGUAGUGAUAAAGCGGGAUAUCAAAUCCAAACUCUUCUACCCUCUUGAAGGUGUUUUGCACCAAUCUGGCUGGUGAAAGGAGUAUAGUUCAACAGCAGAGCUCAUGCAUUCCACACACAAGGUCCUGGGUUCAAUCCCCGGCAUCUCCCACUAAAACACCCUUCACUAAACUGGUCCCCUCCACCUGUUUGGACUACAGCCAAGCUGGCUGGAGCCGAUGGGAGUUCUAGUUCAAAGCAUCAAGAGUGCACCAGGUUGGCAAAGGUGAAGGAUAUAAUGGCUGGGAAAUAAGUCUACUGGAGAGUAGAGCGUUUGGUGGUAUUCAAUGAAGGUUUACACAGAGCAGACCUAUUGAAAUUAAUGGACCUCACACAGAUCAAUUUCACUUGGUCUACUCUGAGUAAAACCUAGCUGAACACCACCCUAUCCAGCCUUUCUCAAACUUGGGUUCCCAGAUGUUCUUGAACUACAACUCCCAGCAUCCCACACCACUGGCCACGCUGGCCAGAAAUGAUGGGAGUUGUAGUCCAACAACAUCUAGGGAGCCAAGGUUGAGAAAGGCUGGCGUUAGACAUGCUAAUGAUUUAAUUUAAUAUAUGGUUGCUUUAGCAAAGGUGACUUUUAACAUUUUGCUAGGCAUAUCUGUUUGGAGAAUUGGUGCGAAUGGGAGGAUGCCUUCAUUUGGCAUUUCAUUCACCCAGUAAUGUUUUCUGACUCUCAUAAUGAUGACAAGAUGGAGGACUUGGAUGAUGCUUGAAGAUAAUGAAGCUAUAAUGGUUGUCAAGAGUAUGAAAAGUGGGAAGGUAUGACUUGCAUUUUACAGGCGCCAUACACGGUAAAUUAAAGUCAAUAAGUUUCCAGACAAUGGCAGCAUCGAGGUCGACUUUUAUUUAUUUAGAUAGUGCAUUGAAGUCCUCCCUCUCUCCAGCCCUCUGAUUUGUGUACUUAGUGGCACGUCGGUUUUUGUUUAGCUUUUCACUUGUGAGCUUUCGGGAACAGUGACAGCUUCUUUAGUCUUUUGGAACCUUUGGCUGCCAACCGCAUAAUUUUGCUCAUUGGAUUUUUUGCAUUGUAAGGAAUGUCGUGACGGACUGAGCAAUGGAAAAGAACACGGAAUGCCGGUGAUUUUUGUCUAGAUGGAGUUGAGUAGGUGGCAAAGAGAUCGAGAAGACCUGUAUUUCAUUUCUUGUACCCUGCUUCAGUGGCUUAAGGCUGUGAAGCAGGUUAUAAAUCUGUAGAAAUAAAAUAAAUAUUACUCGGAUGGGUAACUGGAAGAGGAUUUCAGCUGGGUAACUGGAAGAGGGUUUCAGCAUAAGAUGAGGUCCCACUAGAAGUUCAAAUCAAUGAAUCUGCACACAUAGGAGCCACAGGUGGAAUGACUGCGGAAACCGGGUAGGAGAAUAAUAGCUUCCCGAGUGGAGUAAACUUGAUUACAGCAAGGGUAGCCAAUAAUAAUAAUAAUAAUAAUAAUAAUAAUAAUAAUAAUUUAUUAUUUAUACCCCGCCCACCUGGCUGGGUUUCCCCAGCCACUCGGGGCGGCUUCCAACAAAACACUAAAAUACAAUAAUCUAUUAAACAUUAAAUGCUUCUCUAAACAGGGCUGCCUUUAGAUGUCUUCUAAAAGUUUGGUAGUUAUUUUUCUCUUUGACAUCUGGUGGGAGGGUGUUCCACAGGGCGGGUGCCACUUCCGAGAAGGCCCUCUGCCUGGUUCCCUGGCUUCUCGCAGUGAGGGAACCGCCAGAAGGCCCUCGGUGCUGGACCUCAGUGUCCGGGCAGAAUGAUGGAGGUGGAGACGCUCCUUCAGAUAUACUGGACCGAGGCCGUUUAGGGCUUUAAAGGUCAGCACCAUCACUUUGAAUUGUGCUCGGAAACGUACUGGGAGCCAGUGUAGGUCUUUCAAGACCGGUGUUAUAUGGUCAAUGUGGUCUUCUCCAGAUACUCCCAUCAUCCCUAAGCAUUGGCCAUGCAGUCUGGGACUGAUAGGGGUUGGAGUCCAACACCAACCAGAGGGCAUCCUGUUGGCUACCCCUGGAUUGUAGGAUAGACAUGAUUGGAAGAAACACAGUGGAUGCAGAUUGCACCUGCUCUCCUGUCCUCCAUCUACAUGUCAUGAGACAAAGGUUCUUGAGAGAAGAAGAAGUAAGGCAAGGCCUACAAGGCCUACACAAUCAUUCAAGCCUAAGCCUGUUAACUGUUAAGAGCAAACUGCUAAGUCCCUGUGACUCAUGACUCAUCUUGAGUGAUGACUCAUUCCCCCCUAUAAAAGUAGCCAGCCUCUCUAUGGGCCUCAGUGAGUGUCACUGUGUACCUGUGUGUGUUGUUGCAGAUAGAGUGGUUCCAGGACUCCAGUUAAUCAGUAACUAAGACUAUGCCUCUGUGAAGUUAGAUAUCUGCUAUGAGCACACUGUGUAUGCUCUUUAACUAUCCUGUUUCUGAACAAGUUAAUUUUCUUCAGUAAAGUUUUAUUCUGUUUAUAAAAAAGACUCUGCAUUGAUUAAUUUACCGUUGCACGACACUACACACAUUCAUCUGAAGGGUGGGUUAGAGCCUUUUUCAGGUUUUAUGAUUGUGCAGGUAGUGCCUGUGCACUACUUGCCUAUGUGUAGGUUUUAUUCAGAGCUUCUGAUAGACACUUUGGGCAUGAGAACAAUGGGUGUGUUCUCAAUCCUCCUUCUGAGAUGCUGUCUCUGAAAUUAUGAAAGGGGCUGCUAGAUGUUUUAUUUAUUAUUAAACUUCUAUCCCACCCAUCCUCCCAAAGGAGCACAGGGCAGCAAUGACUAAUGCUUCAAUGCUAGAGCUGUAUCAUCAUCUUCAUCAUCAUCAUCAUCAUCAUCAUCAUUAUUAAACAACUUACCUCCUGCUUACCAGUAUAUGCAAAAGUGGCUUCUAAGUGGUUUAUAAAAUCCACCCAUAAUUAAAAUGCACAAUAAUAUUAAAAUAUUCUUAAUUAAAAUGCACAAUAAAGCAAACAAUUAAAUAGCACAAAAAUUCAAACAGUAAGGGGGGCGGGGACCCAAUUAAACAAUAAAAUCACAAGUUCAGGAGAAUGCUUGCCUAAACAGGUGUGUUUUGAGGAGCCGGUGGAAUGCCAAUACUGAUGCCAACAUUUCAGUUUUACUUGAAAUGGGUUACACUGAACUGAGUUUUAAAUCAGCAUGUAGAAAAUAUGAGUUAUGAUGCAGGAAGUACCUUUAUUAAAUCUCACCUCAUCUAUGAGCUGAUUGGAUGGUCUGGUGAUAAUCUUUCCCCCUGUGUUAGCGUCCUUCCUGGCACUUCCUCUAAAGCAGGGAUGUCCAGCAUGGCACCCUUCAGAUGUUGUUGGACUCCAACUUCCAUCAGCCCCAGCCAGCAUUUUGAAUAGCCAAGGGAGUUGUAGUUCAGCAGCAUCUGGAAGACUUUGCAUUGGGUCCCCCUACUCUAAGGAGUUUUCAGUGUACAUCGUAUCAGUCACCUUUUCAGUACAUUUUUUAUCCUAGUAGCUCUGGGUGGCAUAUACUGCGGUCUUCCUGCCCACUUUUAUCCUGAGAACCACCUUUUGAGGUAGAUUAGGUGGAGAUAGAGUUGAUCCAAGCUCACCAAGCAAACUUCAUGUCUGAGUGGGGGAUUUGAACCGGGGUUUUCCUCUGUCCUAGCCUGAGAUUCUAACCAUUGCACCACAUGCAUUUUCCCACUAUGGUAUUCAGAGCUAAAACUAAGCAGCAUACAUACCUAACAAUAAAGCUAAACAGCCAGAAUGAGAUUAUUUAUUCUAAAUCAAUGAAGCAAAGCAACAAACCGUCUGAAAAUUACAAAACCUGGUGUGUUCUCAAGACGCCGUAGGAAGUUAUAUUUACUAAAUUUCUAGCCUGACAAUGGUCCCCAGAGUAACUGGCAUAAUAAAGACACAAUAUGCAGUACUAAAGAAACAAGGGGUAAAGAAAAACAUGAAAAACAGAGCAACAUCAUAACAAACAAACAAACAAACAAACAAACAAACAAACAGGUAACUAGAGACUACAACAUUUUAUAAAAACACAGCAAUUCUGUUUAAGACAGCUUUUAAAAAAUCUAUUCUGCCUGACAUAAAUGAAUUGUUUCUGCCAGCCUCCUGGACGGACUAGACCUGGCAGAGUUCUUUACGGGAUGGACAUCCCAUAAUCUGGAGACCAUCAACACCAAAUUCUUGUUUCUAGUGCCACCAAACCUUGUUUCAGAAGAUUGUGGCAUAUCAUCAACCAAACCUCCAACCACUGGAGGUUAGGAAUAGGGAUGUGUAAGGAGCAGUAGUGUAGCAACAAAUUCUGAAGUGCAGGGUCCCUUCAUGACAGUCACAAUUGCACCUCCCAUUAGCCACACUCUCUCGUAGCUGCAUUCCCUUCUAAGAUUAUACAACCUUAUAAGAUUAUACAAUAAAAAUGAACUUUCAGUCUCUUACUUUGGAGUUCUCUUGAGCAAUGAAUGCAGGCGGAGGGUAUAUAUUUUUUAGGUUCAGCAAGAAGAAGAUCAAAAGGUGGUUUGCUGUUUUUUGCAGAGUAAAUUACAGCUCACAGAGAGCACAUCACACACUUGGAGCAAAAGUUUUUUUAUAGUUUUUUAGAGCAAGCUAAAGCAGCUUUAAAAAGUUUCAGUAAUGCAGCCCACAAGUAAAAAUAAAAAAAAGUUAGAGGGUAGAGACAUAAGCAUGCAGAAAUGAAAUGCCGCCCAAUUUCAAAAUUCCAGGGUCCUUACCAAAGUUACAGGAAUUUGCCUACAAAUGAAGCCUGUUUCAAGCACUUCUCUGGAGAUUGGAGUGGGAAGGGAAGGACGGAGCACAAUCUUAAGAUAGCCCAGGGCAUCCUUAGCAAUGGAUGUUCUAGCACGAAAUUGCUAAACUGCCUGAGGGAAACUUCUUUGGUACUGCAGAUAUUGAACUAUUAUUAGGCUCAUUCAUUAGCUACUUAGAGGGCAAUAAAUGCCACAACUUUGCAGUGACAAGGCAUAAGUAAAUGCUAAUCAUCACUUUUUAGGAGCUGAGUUCUCAGGGUGCUUGCACUGGGACUCUGCUCGUCUGAAAGUAAUGGACCUACAACAUCCCUGUGAUCCCAGAUGACUAUACCCCUGAUACGGAGGCACCAUUUUUGUCCUGUCCUGUGUUGGCUGCAAUCAGCAGUGUUUCUGUUCAGCUACAGUUCAGCUUCUAUUAAAACCCUUUGUCAUUGUCUUGAUAUCCACUGUAAAAGGUAAAGGUAAAGGGACCCCUGACCAUUAGGUCCAGUCGCGGAUGACUCUGGGGUUGCGGUGCUCAUCUCGCUUUACGGGCUGAGGGAGUUGGCGUUUGUCCACAGACAGCUUCUGGGUCAUGGGCCAGCAUGACUAAGCCGCUUCUGGAGAACCAGAGCAGUGCACGGAAACACCGUUUACCUUCCCGCCGGAGCGGUACCUAUUUAUCUACUUGUACUUGACGUGCUUUCGAACUGCUAGGUUGGCAGGAGCUGGGACCGAACAACGGGAGCUCACCCCGUCGCGGGGAUUUGAACUGCUGACCUUCCGAUUGGCAAGUCCUAGGCUCUGUGGUUUAACCCACAGCGCCACCCAUGUCCCGAUAUCCACUGUGGCCGCAGCUAAUUAUGUCAUUAACUUCAGGGAAUUUCAGUGGAAGAGAAACAUUAAAAAAAUGCAGAAAAUACUGUAGUUAUUCAUGUAAUAUUCAUGGACUAAACCCCCACCCCCAGCAAUAGUGAAUACCACUCACAUUCCUUCUUUGUGAUUGCCAUUCCUGGCCUUGGGCGAACAUGCAGAUUGUGGCAACAUCCACUCCCAUUUCUGUGUCUCAUCCAGUUUUCCUACGGUAAAGAACUUCACACAGAACAACUUUGAAAGAACAUAUAUAUUUAUAAAAAGAUAAACAGAUAAAAAUCUGAGCCAGAGAAGAAGGUGGGUGGGGGUCUCUGUGUUGUAGUCAAGGCAAGCAUUAUGUUCUGCUAAGGUCAUUAGAAUGAGGCAAAGUGAGUCCACAUAAAGUGACACUCUCAGGUUAAGAACAGUUUCAGGUUAAGAAGGACCUCCGGAACGAAUUAAGUUCUUAACCCGAGGUACCACUGUACAGUGCUUGGUGACAAUUCUGUAACAAGCAGGAAUAACUGAGAAGUAAGUUUGCUGCACUAAGUCCAUGCAAUCUGAAUCACUUUCACGGGGCUUAAUGUGGUUUCCUAUGUACCUAGGUAGGUAAGCUUUGUCUCCUCAGUGUUAGAUAAGCACUGGCCUAGCUCAGAAUUUCUUAAAGGCAAAUGACUGGGGAGGGGAGGGGAGUCAUAGUAGGAGUUGAUAAAGGCAUCUCGCUAACUGUACCAGGGUGUUAGUUGUGUCAGGUAGUAGGUCCCAUGUGACAGCGCCUCUUUCACACUCACUGCUAAGAAGUCAGCCGGCUGUUGUUUGUAAUGCAUAAUUCAAAAGCUUGUUUCAGACAAAUUCAUUUUAGCAUGAAAUGUGCAGAGACACCUGUAUGCAGGGUGAGGCUGAUCACAGUUGAUUCCAGUCCUUCCUCAAAGCAUCAUAAAUACCUCAUAACAACCCUGUGAGGUAGAGAGAGAGAGAGAGAGAGAGAGAGAGAGAGAGAGAGAGAGAGGUAGAGGUGUCAGCCGAAGGUCAUUCAGUGAACUUCAUUAUGACAAUUAUUAAUAAUCAUAUUUGUCUUUCAACUUCCAUCCAAGGGCUUAAGUGUCACCCUGGGGACCUCUCUCUUAGGCCUUCUCUAUAACCCUAUUUGAUCCCCUCCUCUAUUUUAUUCCCUUACUUUCUCUCUCCUUUUAUUCUCCCAUCUUCUUUCACAGUUCUUCUCUUCCCUUCUCUAUGGUAUUUCAUGAGAACACAGGUCUGGUUUAAUCGUUAAAAAAGUACCCACAGUAUUUAGUUUAGGUGGAAUAUCCAAAUAAUCGUAGGCAUGAUCAAAUCAAAACAGUCAUACAAAUUGUUUCACAUAUUACUGUACAGUUAGUAAAGUCCCAGAGGGAGAAGGAUACAGCUGGCUGAUUUUGAGUUCUGCUGAAUUACUGAGCUACUAUUUAAUUUGGACGUCCCAGGCAACACUUUUUAUUAUUAUUAAGAGUGAACUUGGAGGGAUGGAUGAAUGCUCCUCUGUUUGGAUCUCAAGAAGCAUCUGGGUUUUGUGAGCAUUCUUCGCAAGUCCUUGAGAAACUUUGAGGGUUUUUUUUUUUGCAAGAAGUCAUAAAGAAUGCUUGUAAAACCCAGGUGGUACACCUCCCACCUCUGCCAGUUUCUCCCUCUCCUCCUCAAGUAGAAAUAAAAGCUUUACCCUCCAGCUGAGAGGCCCUGAAGAUGUGUGGAAGUAUCAUUAGCAGCUAAGGAUUGUGGGACUCUUAAGCUCCAUGAUCUCCAGCUACAAAUGGUGGAGACAGGGUUAGAUCAGAGAGGGCUAGGAGAAACUCACGUCUGAAACUAAAGAAAGCCACUGCGGCAGCUAGACUGGUGACUGGUAGUGGCCGCUGAGACCACAUAACAAUGGUCCUGAAAGACCUAGAUUUGCCCACAGUAUGUUUCCAGGCACAAUUCAAAGUGUUGAUGGUGACUUUUAAAGCCCUAAAUGGCCUCGGUCCUGUAUACGUGAAGGAGAGUCUCCACCCCCAUCAUUCAGCCUGGACAGUGAAGUUCAGCUCCGAGGGCCUUCUGGCAGUUCCCUCACUGCGAGAAGCCAAGUUACAGGGAACCAGGCAGAGGGCCUUCUCGGUAGUGGCGCCUGCCCUGUGGAAUGCCCUCUCAUCAGAUGUCAAGGAAAUAAACAACUACAGUAUCUGACUUCUAGAAGACAUCUGAAGGCAGCCCUGUUCAGGGAAGUUUUUAAUGUUUGAAGUUUUAUUCUGUGUAAUAUUCUGUUGGGAGCCACCCAGAGUGUUUGGGGAAACCCAGCCAGAUUGGCGGGGUAUAAAUAAUAAUAAUAAUAAUAAUAAUAAUAAUAAUAAUAAUAAAUAGAAAACCUGAUGUUCUGGACAGCAACUCACUUCAGCCACAGCAAUCACGGCCAAUGGUCAAGGAUGAUGGGAGUUGUAGGAGAGAACAUCCAGAGAGCAACAGGUUGCAUACUUGUGGUAUAGGCAAUACUGAGCGAAAUCGAAUAAUGGUCUGCCUCACAAUAGGGCAACUUCUGGUGUCCUUGUGAUGACAAACUGACGUGUGUGAUGUUCCAUCCUCUGACCUGCUGUUGCCACCUGGGACUCUGCUACAUUUGUAAAAAUAAAGCACUUUAUAUGCGUUAAAACACCAUGACACAAGAUGGCACUGUGGAAUUCCAUUUUUCACCAAUGGAACUUCCCUGUAUGAAGUUUACAACGUGUUUAACUGAAUCACUUCUUUGAUCCAGCCCUGUACAGUAGUACCUCGGGUUAAGAACUUAAUUCGUUCUGGAGGUCUGUUCUUAACCUGAAACUGUUCUUAACCUGAGGUACCACUUUAGCUAAUGGGGCCUCCUGCCGCCGGAGCCCAAUUUCUGUUCUCAUCCUGAAGCAAAGUUCUUAACCCGAGGUACUAUUUCUGGAUUAGCGGCAUCUAUAACCUGAAGCAUCUGUAACCCAAGGUACCACUGUACUCAUGCAACUCCUGUUUCCAUUGAGAAGUGUUGCUAGGGAUAAGCAAAUCUGUCACUUUUGGUUUCUUUCAGCUUCUCGUUUUUCCAAAUUUGCGUUCAAUUCUCUGGGUUUCCACAUCAGUUUGAUUUUUUUUUUUUUAAUUCAACAUGAGAAUUCACCAGCAUUUUAGUGCUAACUUCUAAAACACAUUUCUGCAUGCAAUCUUGCCUGAUAAUCACAUUCUUACAAAACAAUUUCCCCCAACGCAAUGCAUAUUUGUAUGUUAUUUUCACUAAUAUGUGCCUUUUUAUAUGCACGCUUAGUUUGUUGGACCUGGACCUGGGAGAGCAAAGGUUCGAAUCCCCACUUAGCUGUGAAGUUCACUGGGUGACCUUGGGCCAGUCCCUGUCUCUUAGCCUAAUGUAGCUCACAGGGCUGUUGUGAGGAAAUCCAUGUACACCGCCUUGAGCUCCUUGGAAGAUAAAGUGGUAUAUAAAUGUAAAUAAUAAUAAUAAUGAGGAGUAAAAUGUGUUUUGUACAUAUUGCCCAGAAGGAGAACUUCCAUACAAAAUUCAGAGAAGCAAGGAUUUUGAAGGAUGGCUGUGUUUCGGCUCCCGUAUUGUUUUGGAAAGAUGAGAUAAGUUAACCUUUAUAUGCGAACCAAGUUAAAUUUCACCACCAUUUCUUCUGGUAGCCUAAUACCUGGUAUUCAAUUCCACAAGAAAACAUAGCUGGAUUUUGAGCUCCCCUAUAUCCUAUGACCAUAAUGUCAGUAUGGCUUGAAUAUUAUUAUUUUGCUACUUUCUCCUCAUUAUUUGUUCGGUCACUUGCAUAACCAAAACUCCCUACAUGCACCCUUAUUAUUAUAUUUAAUUUCAUUUGUUAUUCAUGUUGUUAGAUUUUAUAUAAGAAAACCCAAGGGGGGAGGAGACACUGAAAAAAUAGCAAAGGAACCAUGAUUGGGGGCUGGAAGACACUUGAAGCGAUUGAGAAAAGGGCAAAUGUGAGAGAAGGUGAAAGAACAGCAGCCCAGGGGUUGAAGAAAGUAGUUGGCAUUUUAUAUCUGGAAGGCAGAGAUGGGUGUUCGUAGCUCCACAGAAAAAAAGAGUGACUCUUAAAUGACCCAACACUGCAGAUGUAAGUGACUGUAAAAAUCUGAAAUUCUUUCCCUGGAUGCCCAAAGAGCUGUUUCCCAGAAAUGCAAAAGCUUCUGACUCUUUACCAUGGAAAUCAAUACCAAAGCAAGGCAUGGUCUAGCUCAUGGGUAGGCAAACUAAGGCCUGGGGGCUGGAUCCGGCCCAAUCGCCUUCUAAAUCUGGCCUGCGGAUGGUCUAGGAAUCAGCAUGUUUUUACAUGAGUAGAAUGUGCCCUUUUAUUUAAAAUGCAUCUCUUGGUUAUUUGUGGGGCAUAGGAAUUUGUUCAUUUAUUCCCCCCCAAAAAAAUAUAGUCCGGCCCCCCACAAAGUCUGAGGGACAGUCGACCGGCCCCCUGUUGAAAAAGUUUUCUGACCCCUGGUCUAGUUCUUGCUUUUCAGGAAGUAACGGCAGAAGGAUAGACAAGCUAGAGACCUAUAACCAAUUGCCAGGAUGUUUCUUACCACUUUAAAUUGCACCUCAACUAUGAACUCGUUGGUCAGCUAGAGAUGGGGGAGAAUUUCUAAUUUAGGGUCUCAACUGAAGACAAAUCUCACCAACUGUAGUUAGCGGUUUGAGAAAUGGACUGGAGAGAAUGCGGUUCAAAUCCCAGCGUGGCUGUGAAGCUCCCUGGCUGCGCUUGGGCUGGACACACUCUUCUCAUCUUAACUUACCUCACAGGAUUGUUGGGAGGAUAAAAAGCAGAGAAGAAGGAAGUCUCUUGCAUAGUACCUUGAGCUUCCUAGCAGAGAGGAUGGAAAUCAAAUGCAUGUAGCAGAUAACGAUAAUGCUCAUUAUUAUUACUCCAUGAGAUGGCAAUGCAGCACAAGUCAACAGCUAUCAGGGGGAAAAAACAUACCAGCUUUUGUCUUAGUUAUGCUGAUCAAACCCUUUUGUGUAUGGAUUAGCUGCAGGGCUGCCUCAUUUCAGACAUCAGGUGGGGGACUGAACAUUUGAAUCUUACCCCAGUCUCUGUUUAUAUAAUCCCUGUUUAUAUAAAACUGUCAUGCCGGGUGGGUGGGGGAAUGUUCUAGGCUAGCCUUCUGUGUGACAUACAAAUUUUUGAUUCACACCACAUGCUUCUUUUGUGGACGGAGCGUUCAGACCAGCAAUCGCCACCACCUGUGGCCCAAAGCGGUACAGUUCAGCGACGGAUAUGUCAUGUGAGUUUGCUGGUCACAUCGCUCAGCUUCCAGUCUUGGCAAAGUAAGGGUGUUUACAGCUGUAAAAAAAGAAGAAGACAAAAUAAUAUUCAGAGCUUACAGAGUCCCGUGCACAAUGGUUUGCAAGACCCUGGCGAUCAGCUGAUCGUCAAAGCUUACAAAGCCAGGUGUACAGUGUUUUGCACAGGGCUUUGCAAGUGCCCAGUUGUGUCUGUAAUCCCCCUUCCAGCUCAGUUACAAAUAGGUGCCCCACACCUAACAACAUAUACGACAUCAAGUGUAGGGCAGGAGGCUGUGGCUGAGCCGAGCUGAGCUGAAAUGGCCUCACCAGCUAAAUGAGCAGGCCUUAUUCUUUACCAUCCUCUGCUACCUUUAACCAAAGACUAGGGAUUGUCAAGGAUCAGAGAUUGCCAAGCUCAUUCUCUGCUGCUGAGCUGCAGCCCUUCCUUGUGUUUUCUGUACCGUGGCAGCACCUUGUCUAUUUUUAUCAAAGUAAAGUUCAAGGGAUUUUGAUAUAAUUCCAACAGGGGAGGUUAACUGCUCAAUAGAGACAGGAAUUGCAUUUGGCUGUCUGUUUCAAAGAGCAGACUUCCUCCUUUUACUCCGUUGAGCAAGUAAUAAGGCAAACAUUGGGGAGCUGGUGAUGUGGUGGUUAGAGUGUCAGACUAGGACACCCUGGGGGAUCAGGGUUCGAAUCCCCAUUUGGCCUUGAAGCUCUCGCUGGGUGACCUUGGGCCAGUCACUUGGGCCAGUCUCAGCCUGACCUACCUCACAUGAUUGUUGUGAGGAUAAAAUGGCAGAGGAGAAUUGUGUACAGCCCCUCAAGUUCAUUGGAGGAAAGGUGGGGAUAUAAAUGGGGAGGGGGGAUAAAUAUAAAAUGAAACUAUUUGCUCUGUAUUUGCACCUUUAUCUUGCAUUUCAGCACCCCAGAUGAUUUUGUGAUGUGAUAAGUUACUGUAUCAGGGGACGCGGGUGGCGCUGUGGGUUAAACCACAGAGCCUAGGACCUGCCGAUAAGAAGGUCUGCGGUUCGAAUCCCCAUGACUGGGUGAGCUCCUGUUGCUCGGUCCCUGCUCCUGCCAACCUAGCACUUCGAAAGCACAUCAAAGUGCAAGUAGAUAAAUAGGUACCUCUGGCGGGAAGGUAAAUGGUGUUUCCGUGCUCUGCUCUGGUUCGCCAGAAGCGGCUUAGUCAUGCUGGCCACAUGACCCGGAAGCUGUACACUGGCUCCCUCGGCCAAUAAAGCGAGAUGAGCGCUGCAACCCCAGAGUCGGUCACAAUUGGACCUAAUGGCCAGGGGUCCCUUUACCUUUACCUUUAAGUUACUGUAUCACUUGAGAGACUGUGGACUCUCCUUCCUUGGAGGUUUUUAAGCAGAGGUUGGAUGGUCAUCUGUCAUGGAUGCUUCACUUGAGAUUCCUGCAUUGCAGGGGGUUGGACUAGAUGACCCUCGGGUCCCUUCCAAUUCUACAAUUCUAUGAUUACCAUAAAGUCACCCCUAGCAAAAAUGAGCCCUUAGCUUUUUCUCUCCCUGCAGUUCCCUCUUAAGGCAGCUACCUCUUGUUUGAGAUGAGUGAAAGUAAUUAAUGCAGUGGACUAUGAAAGGCUGGGAGCUUAUUUAAAAUUAAUUCUAUCAAAAUAGCAUCUUACUGCACCAAGGAGCCCUAUUUAUUUAUUUCGUGAGAAUGCAGGGUAGGAGACUGACAGAAACAAAAUGAACUUUUAUCAAACAUGUUAUUCUAGGACAGGAGGCUGGAUUUGUUCCUCAUGUGGGAACAGUCUGCUUUUAUUAUAAAAGAUUCCUGCAUUGCAGGGGGUUGGAAUAGAUGACCCUUAGGGUCCCUUCCAACUCUACAGUUCUGUGACUCUGUGAUUCUAUGGAAUACACACUGACCUUUGCAUUCAUUACCCAGUGUAAGGUGAAAGUUAACGGGCUGAUUUUGGGCCCUGCUGUCUGUCUGUUCAUCUAUCUGUUCACCCACCAUAUAUAUUUAUAGCAAAUUCAUUCUCCUUACAUAGCCAAACCAGCCUCAUUUGUUCACAAGAGAGAUAUAGCAGCAAGGAUGGAGGAACUCUGAGGUUUAAAAGCCCUAAGGGCAAAGCCAAAGCAACCAAUUGAGGGGUGAGCAUGCUCAGUAGCCAUGGUAUACUGAUUUGUCUUUUGAGAGGCCCCCCAGCUUCAAAACUGAAAUGAGGGGAGAUUAUAAAUAUUGCUUAUAUUCACACUGACUGUAGUCCUACCCCCCCACAGAUCUGCAGUGCCCAGCUCCUUUAAGAAACAAAGGGAAUAGCUAGUGGAGCCCUGAAUGUGAAUGCUAAACACUGCAACAUUUUGCUGCAGAUCCCACUUGUAAUGUGUAAAUGCAUGCAAAUUGCUUCCUUCUCCAAAGGCUGUUUAUAUAAGUGAAUUCACUUAUUGGGCUGUGAACUGAACAGCGUCGUUUGCUUCCGACAGAAGGAAGGUUAGGUAGGUGGGUAGGAUUAUCUGUUGUUGGUUUAGUGUUUUGGCCACAGCCCCACGGGGCCUCUGUACAUGACAUUCUGGUGGAAUUCUUUUUCUUCUUUGGUGAUUACACAUAACUGAGUAAGAUUGUCUUCCAUAAACACGGUUUUAACAAUGAGUCCGUAAGUGACUGUGGAGGCCAAUUCUGGAUCCACACGUCGUUCCACAGUGGAGACAUUGGUUUCUGGGAGGGAGUUGAUCACAAUGAGGGUUUGCCAAGUGUGCCUUCCUCUUAGCUCAUUUCUCCCUUGCGUCCUGAGUUCAAGCAUCUUCAAAGUCCAUGGCACCUUUGGUAAAGGCUAUUCUCCAAUAGGAGCGCUCGCAGGCCAGUGUUUCCCAGUUGUCGGUGUUUAUACUACUUUUUUAAGAUUUGCCUUGAGAGAGUCUUUAAACCUCUUUUGUUGACCACCAGCAUUAUGCUUACCAUUGUUAAGUUCAGAAUGGAGUAGUUGCUUUGGAAGACAAUAAUCAGGCUUCCACACAACAUGACCAGUCCAACGAAGUUGAUGUUGGAGAAUCAUUGCUUCGACACUGGUGAUCUUUGCUUCUUCCAGUACACUGGCAUUAGUUCGCCUGUCUUCCCAAGUGAUGUGUAAAAAUUUUCGGAGACACCGUUGAUGAAAUCUUUCACGGAGUUGGAGAUGGCGUUUAUAAGUGGUCCAUGUUUCACAAGCAUACAGUAACGUUGGUAGUACAAUAACUUUGUAAACAAGCAUUUUUGAUUCCCUGCGAAUGUCCUGGUCCUCAAACACUCUGCACUUCAAGUGGGAGAAAACUGCACUUGCAGAGCUCAGGCAAUGCUGGAUUUCAGCAUCAAUGUCGGCCCUUGUGGAAAGAUAACUGCCCAGGUAGGAGAAGUGAUCAACACUUCCCAAUGUUACACCACUGAGUUGAAUUUGUGGUGCUGCAGAGGGGUUAUUUUGUGCUUGUUGGUGCAGCACUUUGGUUUUUUGGAUGUUGAGCAAUAGGCCAAGCUUUUCGUAAGUGUCUUUGAAGCUAUUUAGGAUAGUUCAUUCUCUGAGUGUGAUGGAAUUACAGUUCUUAUGAUGCCUAAAGAAAGCACAGUGGAUUCUGGACUUAGAGCGAGGAGAUGUGGGUUCAGUCCCUUCUCACUUAGAGAGCUUGCUGAAUUGCAAUUCUCCAUCUCCAUCACCCCACUGCCCUGCUGCCUCUCUGUCUAAUCUCUUUUACACCCAUUCUCCAACAUCUCACAGAUGAAAACAGUUAUAGCCUUAUAACACCACUAUCCGCAUACCAGAGAUCUCUGCAUGAGACUCUUUCAUGCUGCUUGAGGCUUUGUGCUGCCAACUGUAUACUGCUUUCAUGUACUCUGCAAUAACCUAUUCCCCCAUCAGAAAGGGAGUGUUUGUUCUUUUGGUUAAAGAUAUAUUGGGGUUGGGGAGAGAGAAAUGUAAUUGCCUGACAAUAUGUCACUUCAAAACAGACCUGAUGCUUUAGUCUUCACGCAUGUGCAUUUAUAGACAUGCGCAUCAGAGGCAAGAUACCUCUACUCUCCCACCAGACAUGUAGCUUCCAAGAACCCUGGGGAGGGCACUGAGCCACCAGUAAUGCCAACUCUAGUAAUUAAUGAUAAUGGUUUUUGAACGUGUGUAGCAUGGUGUGUGUGUGCUGGGGGGCUGUGACUCAAUUUUUGAAGGGGUGCAAACCAGGAGGUCCAAUGCUUUUGACCCCAGCAUGACCUGGCAUGGUGCUCAUUGUGCAUGUGUGUUGUCGUGCUUGCGAUGCAUGUGUGUGACAUCAUGCUUGUAACAUGUGCUACACAUGUGAUAUUGGAAGGAGGCAGAAUGCGGAGCCGAGCACUGUGUGACUUCAGUGGUCAGCAGUUCCUCCUCUUUCGCAUUCAGGAGGAGCUGGUCCCUGAGACUGAGCCACACUUGGCUCUGCGCUCAGCCUACUAAGUCCUCUCAACAUUGAGGGGGCCUGGCCCCUCCCAAUGAAUAUUGGGAGGGUGAAGACACCUUGGUCCCACCCCUGGCCUAAAGGAAGCCCAAAAGCAGGACAUGAGUGCGACAGCUUUCACUCAGCUUUGGUCCCCAGCAACUGGUAGUCAGAGGCAUAAAACCCCCAACAGUGGAAGUAGAACAGAGAGGUAAAAAGGCAUUUGGAAGAAGAGUGGCUCCUGUCAGCCACCCACUUCAUCCUGUUUUCAACGCUAAGCAGUUGCAGAUAUGUAUGAGUGCGUUGAGAUGCCAGGUGGAGACGAGGAGGGAGAAACGGGAGAAUUUGGAACAAGCCCACGAGAAGAGAAAUUUGACUUGCUGCGUCUAGCUUUCAUCUGCCGAACUGGGAAACAACAUUCCCCAAUCACUGCAAGAUGCCACAAGGCAGAGACGCACCUGACAGUUCUUCGGAAACACAUGUGAAGACAGGGGAGAGAAUAAAAAGCAGAAGCAAAUGCGAGAGGAAAGCCUGAAGCUCCCCCAUCUCCUGCUCUCAAUAAUACAUAAAGGAAGGGGCAGCUCAGAGACAAUUCAACAUGCUGAGCAUUCAGUGUCACUGCUGAAGUUUUUGCACGGCCGCAGCUGGCGGUCCUUAUAGUAAAAACUCACUUCCAACUCUACAAUUCCACGGUUCAAAGCUUGAACCAUUGACAAAAGGUAAUGAAGAAACCUAGACAGCAUCUUAAAAAGUAGAUACGUCACCUUGCCAACAAAGGUCCGUAUAGUAAAAGCCAUGGUUUUCCCAGUAGUGAUGUAUGGAAGUGAAAGCUGGACCAUAAAGAAGGCUGAUCGCCGAAGAAUUGAUGCUUUUGAAUUAUGGUGCUGGAGGAGACUCUUGAGAGUCCCAUGGACUGCAAGAAGAUCAAACCUAUCCAUUCUGAAGGAAAUCAGCCUUGAGUGCUCACUGGAAGGACAGAUCCUGAAGCUGAGGCUCCAAUACUUUGGCCACCUCAUGAGAAGAGAAGACUCCCUGGAAAAGACCCUGAUGUUGGGAAAGAUGGAGGGCACAAGGAGAAGGGGACGACAGAGGACGAGAUGGUUGGAUAGUGCCAACAUGAGUUUGACCAAACUGCGGGAGGCAGUGGAAAAGAGGACUGCGUGCUCUGGUCCAUGGGGUCACGAAGAGUCGGACACGACUAAACGACUAAACAACAACAACAAUGAAGAAACAGAAGGGAAGGGGAGCUGAGAAAUUAAGCACAUAGAGGAAGUAUGGCUUGUAGAAAUACUAGGCCAAAAUAAAAGGGCCUUUGCAAAGGAGAGGUCAGAGGGGGAAGAUUGGGAGGAGGUGAUGGAUACUGAAGAGGCAACAGAGUUUAGUGAACAGGAGGAACCUGUGGGUGGCAAUGAGACAAUGGAUCUUCUCUGUGGUAGCUCCCCAUCUAUGGGAUGCGCAAAUUUAAUAAACCUAACCUCAACUCAUGGGGUCUGCAUUAUUCUCCUAAAUUGCCUAUAUUGAGACUGCAAAAGUCAGACACCCCCUGCGUUGUCUCUUAAAGGAGCUAAUCGAAUAUCUGCACAUGUGUAAAGAAGAAAUAAUGAAUCUAAAUUUAAGAAAGAAAACAACAACAAAGCAACCUUGAAACAGAAUAAGUAAUGCACAGUGCACCAACAAAUGCAAAUUGUUUUCAUGGGCAUAAUUCAUUCAUCUCCUGGAAUCUGGCUUUUCUCAGUGGAAAUCCUGGAUGAGCUUCACAGAAUGAACAAUUGUUUCUUGGUGCUGCAAUUAAUAGUUCUUUUUUACCCCACAAGGGAUCCGACGGAAUAAAUGUGUUAGAGAAAGUGAAACACUUAGGAACUGUAGCUGCAGCGGCCCUGAAACACUCAUGAGAAUGGAGGAUUCGUCAACACUCGGUGGAGACUAUUAAUCACUGAGGUUCUGUUUGCAAUCUCUCCCUUUAAUUCUACUCCACAUUUAGCCCACCUCCAGUGUGACAAAAGAGAAAGGAGCCAUCCCAUGGACAAGAAGAAUUCCAGUAAUGAAUAAUAGAACCUCUCUCUGCUAAAACUGUUUCACUUAGUGCACAACAAUGUGGAUUAAGUGUGCAAUUGUUGUCAACGCAGUUAACAGAAGGAGGAAGGAAAAGCACAAAGGAAGAAAAACAUUAUGGAUCCUUGACAUAUUUUAUUGCUUGCGUAGUAAUCGCUACUCCACUCUUCUGCCCCAAAAUGGUGCUCUCAAGACAGUUCACCAUCAUAACAUAUGAAACAGUUAACAAUGAAACCAUCCAAAACCCAUUCAACUGUAGAACAACAGAAGGGUUUAAUGAUCUAUAAAUAACACCUGGAGGAGAACUGCUCAGGCGGUGCUCUAAGCCACUGCAUGCCACCUUGAGCUGCUUGGGAAAAAAGUGGGGUAUAAAUGUAAUUAACAAACAAACAUUCAGGGGGCAAAGGCUCAAAAUAUGAAGUGGGCAGGUGGAGCAAUGUGAUAGAUGGGAAUCCUAGCUGAAACGAGCAGCAAAAAAUUUCAAGCAUCAGCUAUCUGAGUAUGUUUAAUUUUGCAUUUAAUGUUCUGGUAUUUAUGUGCAUGCAUGAUUAAUUAUGAACAUGAACCCAGAGGCAUUUGAAUAUCUAGAGGAUUUUCUUGAGAUCUAAUCCAUAUUAUCAAUUGUUACAUGAUAGCCCUAGGGCCUUGUUCUGUAGUCUUAGAGUGUCUUCGUCUGCUGUACAAUGGCAUGGUUCUUUUGUGUUACACACACACACACACACACACACACACACACGGAUCUAAACUUGUUUGAAGCUACCUGGAAUGCACACAGCACAUAGGAGGUAGUGAUAGCCACCAGCUUAGAUGGUUUCAAGAGAGGAUAAAUUCAUGGAGGAUAAGGCUAAAAAUGGAUGCUAGCCAUGAUGGCUACGCUUGGUUUCCGGAGUCAGGAGCAGUCAUGCUUCUGAAUAUUGGUUGUUGCUGUAAUCCACAGGAAAGGAGAGUGCUCUUGCGCUCAGGUUCUGCUUGAGGAUUUCCCAAAAGCAUCUGGUUGGCCACUGAGAGAACAGGAUGCUGGACUACAUUGGCCAUUGGUCUGACCCAGCAGACCCUUCUUAUGUUCUUACAGUAGAAUCACAGAAUUCUAGCAUUGGAAGGGACCACGAAGGUCCUGCAGCCCAACUCCCUGCAAUGCAGGAAUCUUUUGCCCAACGUGGGGCUCAAACCCACAGCCCUGAGAGAUUAAGAAUCUCACACUCUACUGACUGAGCUGUUCUAUAGGAAGCCUGAAAGCAGGACCUGAGCUUCAACAACAGUGCUCUCCCCUACCUGCAAUUCCCAGCGACUGGUGUUCAGAGGCAUAAUGCCUCUGAAAGUCGAUGUCUCAAUGUUGUUUUAAUGGGAUCGUCUUACUGUGUAUUUUAAUUAUGGAUGUGUAUAUGUCAAUGCAUGCUUAAUUGAUUGUUAUGCCGGUAAACCACUUAGAAGCCUGCUUGGGCACUAAGCGGUAUAUGAAUUGACAAUAGCGAUUAAGGAGAGCUAAAGCAAUGUGCAGCAGAAAAGAAAAGAUCUAAGCUGGGGGUUUUGGUUUACCUUUCAGCACCUUAUUCCUAAACAUUUUGAACGGGAACUUCUCUAAGGUACUUUCUGGGCUGAGACUUCUCUCCUCAGCUGGUUAGAGCAUGGUGCUGAUAAUGCCAAGGUUGCAGGUUCGAUCCCUGUAUGGGACAGCUGCAUAUUCCUGCAAUGCAGGGGGUUGGACUAGAUGAUCCUCAGGGUCCCUUCCAACUCUACAAUUCUGUGAUUGACGCAUAGCAGUUUGUAACCCGCACUCACCCCACCUGAAGGGAGCAAAGCCAAAACUGCAGCAACCUGGUGCUGGUUUCAGUCUCUCUUGGAAUGAGUUUAUUUGUUUUGGAUAAAAGCCACGGCAAACGCAGAAAUCUCAUCUUGUUUCAUUACAGCCUUAAAACCACUUGAGUAAAACAAGAACAUUGUCACAUUUAUACAAUUUAUCAUGUCAAGCUUACACGGCAAACGUGAACUGAUAAUGCACCUGUGAAAUCUACCGUAUUAGCUAAAAGUAACAAAACCAAAUUGGCGUGGCAUGUCCAUAAAUCUCUCUAUGGAUCAAACUACAUGUUAAGCUAAUCACACUUUUGUUGUUGUCUAAAUUAAGAUUAAUGAAGCCACUUGUUUCAUUUGUUAAAAAAUGCGUAUCCUGACUUGCAGGGUGGAGCAACUUGCCUGGUGGGGCUUCCCAGUAGACGCAUUGCCACAGUAUCCCCAAGUUUGUAUACACAUCUUUGCAGGCAAGAUUGCCUAGUAUACACAUUUUUGCUAAGCUUUCCCAAGUCUAAUGAGUUUUUAUCUAUUAUUUCAUUAAUAUAUGCAUUUAUGUGCAAGUGGAAAUCUGAAGAAAGUUGUUGAACUUUAUUUAGUUGUUGAGCCUUUUUUUAGGGAAAUCGCCAAAAAUGACACUGCCGGCAUGGGUUGCCAUACAUGCGGAUGUUUCAGCUGUUUCAGCCUGGACACUGUUUCCAACGGCCAACUUCCCCUGCUUGGAAGAGGCACACGCAGCACAGCAGUCCUAUUUCAAAUCAGCCCAAUAGCACUCUGAAAUCUCGCCUUCUUUCCACCCAAUGCCUCACUCCUCAGUCAACCCUGGAUUGCUCGCAGAGGGGGGACACAAUCACAGCCCUACCUCAAGAUGCUGGAGAUUGAACCUGGGAUCUUCUACAUAGUGCUUUGGGUUAAACCACAGAGCCUAGGACUUGCUGAUCAGAAGGUCAGCAGUUUGAAUCCCCGUGACGGGGUGAGCUCCCGUUGCUCGCUCCCUGCUCCUGCCAACCUAGCAGUUCAAAGUGCAAGUAGAUAAAUAGGUACUGCUCCGACGGGAAGGUAAACGGUGUUUCUGUGCACUGCUCUGGUUCGCCAGAAGCGGCUUCGUCAUGCUGGCCACAUGACCCGGAAGCUGUACGCCGGCUCCCUCGGUCAAUAAAGCGAGAUGAGUGCCGCAACCCCAGAGUCGGCCACGACUGGACCUAAUGGUCAGGGGUCCCCUUUACCUUUACUACCACCCUACAGCCCAGCCCAGAUGUUACCUCCCAGAAUAGAAAGCAGCUGGCUAAUAGAAGUUUCCUUUUGUCCAGUGAUCGCAACAAAUGUGCCAUCCAAAAAGCAGUUGGUCCAGACCUUAAGGAAGUGGUGAAAUAGAUGAAUCUUGUAGGAAGAAAUCGGGAAUUGUUUGAAUCCCUGCCCCCGCCCCCACUUUUGUUUGCCAAUUGUUGGCGUCUGCUCCUGAACACAUGCGGAAUGAAUAAGGGCUAUUUAUGUUUUCUCAAAAGAGCAAUCAAAACUCUAUUAUUAGAACAAAACCACAGUAGUUAUGCUGCUUAUGUGCCAAAGCGUUCCUUCCGUGUGAGCCUUCAAAGCCCAUUACUUCAUGCUCAGCGCUGCAAGACGAACGGAGGAGAACGGCAAAGGCCUUUCGCACGUCGAUUCAUUUUUUCCUAAGAUAUUGUUAUGCGCAUCGCAGUCUCCUGGAGGUGUACCUAGGGUUUGGCAAAACCUGCCCCUGCUGGAGGGGCAGACCCAGGAGGCAGCGCAAAAUUCACCUAUCAGAGUGUGGCGUGUAUGAUGUUUAUGUGUGCGGUCAUGGAAAAAUCAAAUGUGGGAGAUGGUUUCUGUCCUUCUUGCACCAUGGCACAAAGGUGUACAUUUCCCCCUCUUCCUCCUCACUUCGCCCUCACCUGGAAGUGUUUUUGUUGGGGGGGGGUUGUGCCAAUACACCUCCUUGCCAAGGGCACAAUGGACCCUAGCAGUCUCCAAGCAGUGGAGUACCAGAGCAUACCUUGAGGUUUGUUUCCCUCAGAAAGAAGGUCAAUGCAGACGGUGGGAUCUUUACGAUGUAUGGUUUUAUUUGCACCUACAGUGGUACCUCGGGUUACAGACGCUUCAGGUUACAGACUCCGCUAACCCAGAAAUAGUACCUCGGGUUAAGAACUUUGCUUCAGGAUGAGAACAGAAAUCGCAUGGCAACAGCGUGAGGCCCCAUUAGCUAAAGUGGUACUUCAGGUUAAGAACAGUUUCAGGUUAAGAACGGACCUCCAGAACGAAUUAAGUACUUAACCCGAGGUAUCACUGUAAAUGCAGGAUGGGCAUAAGACAAGAAGGCUUACAACAUUAGCAUUCCAGGCUAAUGGAAUUCCAUUCCAACAGAUCUUGCUGCCCCAUUAGAUAGCUACUCCCUUCCCCCUUCAAAAAACCCUCAAACUUUGGAUUCAGUGCAGAGAGGAAGUUAGGCUUCCUCUGUGUUUUCCCAGCUGCAGAUACUGUCCUACUUGCCAAACUUCCUGGUGAGACUCGGUAAGGGAAGAGGCAAGCAACCCACCCCCAAAAAUUUCAAUGAAAUUUCUCCCUCUCCAAAGAAAUAAGAAGAUAUCCCCCCUGGCUUCUGCAGGAGAAGCAUAUUUUCAGGACAUGGAGGAGGGAUUCAGCCCUGUCUUAGCCCAGCCUUAGUUUCAACUUGGCUCAAGCUCCUGGAUCUUGCAUAACAUCUGAAUGGCGGCGAUGUCCCUGUGGAGAGAGACCCAUAUGUCACAGUUCAGAUAGGGCAUGAGAAGACGCGGUGCAUGAGCAGUUCAGACAUGUACAAUUCCAUGUAUAAUAUAUGUAAUCGGAGAAAGUGGGUUGGAGGGAAAUAGAGAAUAUGAACACACCUUUCCUUCUGCAUAUGAAAUAAUUGUUUCCCCCCCAAUGGUUAUGUUUUAGGACAGGCAAAUAUGUCAGUUCCAGGUUCUCUUAGUUUCUCAUUUUUUUCAGCCUUUCAUGUCCACAUCAAUAUGCAAUUUUGUUUUAUUUUUAUUUUGUAAGUGCUCGUGAAAAAUCUUCAGCAUCUUAGCAUGUACUUCUCCUGAUAUAUACAAAUUGCUAUGCAAAGCAUUUUGCAAAUAAAUGCUUCUUUGAAUGUUAUUUACACCAAUAUAUACAUUUUUAUGCGCACUUAAAAAGGUAAAGGACCCCAACAGUUAAGUCUGGUAGUGAACAAUUCUGGGGUUGCGGUGCUCAUCUUGCUUUACUGGCUGACGUUUGUCUGCAGAGUUUUUCUAGGUCAUGUGGCCAGCAUGACUAAGCCGCUUCUGGCGAAACCAGAGCAGUGCACGGAAAUGCCGUUUACCUUCCUGCUGGAGUGGUACCUAUUUAUCUACUUGCACUUUGACAUGCUUUCGAACUGCUGGGUUGGCAGGAGCUGGGACCGAGCAACGGGAGCUCACCCCGUCGUGGGGAUUCAAACCGCUGACCUUCCAAUUGGCAAGCCCUAGGCUCUGUGGUUUAGACCACAGCGCCACCCGCGUCCCACCUAUUUUGUAUACUUGUUCGGAGGGCUGCAUUGAAAAACCCAGAGACUAGCAAAUUCCAAAGGAUGACUGUGUUUCGAUUUGUGUAUUGUUUCAGAAAGUGUGAAUUAAGUAGGUUCGCCUUCAAAUGUGAACUGAACUGAAUUUCUUCCCUGUUUCUAGUUAUGUGCCAUUUCCUUUUUAAAACAGUUUGCCCCUGUCGCUUGUUUACCUAUCAACUUCUUCUUGGCACACUCCUCAUGCAUAUCUCUGCUGCAGUAUUGCUGCACCUACUUGAUGGGCGUGUAAUGAGACUGAGAACAUAAUUUGUAUAUUUAGUCCUAUUUAUAUUAUUUGCAGGCAUAUGGUGGGCUCAAGUUCGUAUGGCUCUAUUUUUACCAGAAGGUAGAAUGAGAAAUUUAUCCAGGGAUGUGUUAUUUCUUGAGAAAUUAUGUAGAUAUAACUAGAUUCCACUUUAGCUGGUUCCAGUGUUCAGAUGUCCUGGACAACAAGGGGAGAAAUCAUUGUCAGAGCAGUGAACUAAGAGAAUAAUCUUUGGACUGGAAUUUUGUACCGCCUUUCCUCUGAGUAAGCCCCAGUGAACUCAGUGGGACGCUUCUGAGUAGAUAUGCAUAGGGUUUCAUUGUGCUAGCCUGUUGAACUAUCUUCUCCCCCUGCAGGCUAACUUUGACAAGUAUCAAUCACAUACCAUCAUUAUGACUGCAGAAGAUUGGCAGGUGGUUGGUUCAGCCCACCUGCCAAAGCUGGUCCAUGGGUUUGGGGAAAAUAGAUAUCAGGUCUGCUGGGUUGACAGGCUUCUCUUGUCCUGUAAUGCGGUGCUGAAGUCUAUGUUACAAUCUCAUGUCUGUAUCUCACCCUUUCUCGAAGAAGAAAAAGAAGAAGAAGAGGAAUUUAUUUAUACCCCACUCAUCUGGCUGGGUUUCCUCAGCCACUCUGGAUGGCUCCCAACAGAUUAAAAACAGAAUAAAACAUCAAACAUUAAAAACGUCCCUAAACAGGACUGCCUUCAGAUGUCUUCUAAAAAUCAGAUAGUUUAUUUCCUUGACAUCUGAUGGGAGGGCAUUCCACAGGCUGGGCGCCACCACCAAGAAGACCCUCUGCCUGGUUCCCUGUAACCUCACUUCCCACAGUGAGGGAACCGCCAGAAGGCCCUCGGAGCUGGACCAAGAUUGACUACAAGAUUUCUCCAUUUUAUCUUCACAAUAACCCCCCAACCUUUCUCUGAUGAAAAUAGGGGUGUCCUAUAGAAGAAGAAGAAGAAGAGGAAGAGGAAGAGGAAGAAGAAGAAGAAGAAGAGGAAGAGGAAGAGGAAGAAGAAGAAGAAGAAGAAGAAGAAGAACAACAACAACAACAACAACAACAACAACAACAACAUUUAUACCCCACCCAUCUGACUGGGUUCCCUAGUCACUCUGGGAGGCUUCCAAAAACAUAAUAAAUUGUUAAUUUUUUUCUUCUUUAAAAAACUAUCCUAUAAAUGACUGCCUUCACAUGUCUUCUAAAGGUUGUAUAGUGACUUACCUCCUUGGCCCAGAGGUCACAUAACUCCAUACCCUCCAACAUUUCUCUGAUGAAAAUAGGGACACCCUGCCAUACAUUUCAACAUAUCUCUUAUGAAAUUAGGGACAUAGAAAUCACAGAAAUCAUAGAAUUGUAGACUUAGAAGGGACCCUGAGGAUCAUCUCGCCCAACCCCCUGCAGUGUAGGAAUAUGCUGCUGCCCCAUACAGGGAUCGAACCUGCAAUCUUGACAUCAUCAGCACCAUGCUCUAACCAGCUGAGCUAUCCUAAGGAAAAGCGGGACAUUACAGGAUCAAAUCAGAAACCGGGAUGGCUUCUGUACUGUGCCUGGAAAACUGGGACACUUGGAGGAUCUGUGGGAGAUGCAAGAUCACCCUGUGAGGUUCAAAGUGGUUCAGCGAUUAAAGCCCAGGCCUCUCUCAUCUAAGGUGCAACUCUGAAUAGGAACUAGGCCUCAUUGAGGUGCAACUGAGGAAACACGCAUAGGAUUGCAUCGAUCAUCUGACACUAAGAGAAGCCUCAGCACCCCAUUCGUGCCUUUUCAUGUAGAGACAGCUCUGUUAUGCUCUUCCAUGCCCACUUUUCAAUUCAUUAGAGAAUUCUGUUAGAAGUGCUUUCACUUGGGAUUGGAAAGAUAAAAGGAUCGUGCCUGAAUGUCUGUCCUCCUUCCAAGCCUCACAAUAAAUCUGAAUAGCUCCCUCCCCUCUGCAUGCGCCUUCAAUCAAUAUGAUUUAUUUAUUUGGAAAGUGCAGACUUGCAGCUUUUCAAAACAGUCCCGUUUUGUUGGCUGCCCAUAAAUCGAGCCCAGUUCCUUUCUAGCCCACUUCAUAAUAGUGCUUAAGCAUUUGUAAGAGUUUCAGUAAUUCAGAUAUAUGAGUUCAUUAAGCCUUCCAAUAACCAUAUGAGGGUAAGUAUACCACUGCUGGAGAUACGUUUCUGGAGCUCAGGUUCCUUAAAGCUAGCCAUGGCAAAUCAAGAUUUGAACCUUGCUGACUGGUAGCUCAAUCUCUUAGUGUGAAUGCUUCAUCAGGAAUGGGGAAUCUGUGGCCAUUUCCCAUCAUCCCUGACCCUUGACCAUGCAGAGUGGGACUGCUGGGAGUUGGAGUGUAGCAACAACUGGACAGCCAUACACACCCCAUUACAUAAAUGCAUGCAUGUUCAUCAUUUACAGGGAUGCGGGUGGCGCUGUGGGUUAAACCACAGAGCCUAGGACUUGCCGAUCAGAAGGUCGGUGGUUUGAAUCCCCGGGACGGGGUGAGCUCCCGUUGCUCGGUCCCUGCUCCUGCCAACAUAGCAGUUCAAAAGCACGUCAAAGUGCAAAUAGAUAAAUAGGUACCGCUCUGGCGGGAAGGUAAACGGCAUUUCCGUGCGCUGCUCUGGUUCGCCAGAAGCAGCUUAGUCAUGCUGGCCACAUGACCCGGAAGCUGUACGCCGGCUCCCUCGGCCAAUAAAGCAAGAUGAGAGCUGCAACCCCAGAGUCGGUCAUGACUGGACAUAAUGGUCAGGGGUCCCUUUACCUUUACCUUUUCAUCAUUUAAGUUUUAAAAUCUGUUUUGUUCAUCACAAUAGAUUUGAAAUUACUCAUUUAUUUCAUAAAAUUUAUACACCACCUGACUGUAAACCCCCGCCCCCAAAACACAUCCUCAAAUUGGUUUACAAAAAGGUAAAACAAUAAAAUCCAGAAAAAAAUGACAACCAUACACAAAAACAUAUGAAAGUUAAGAUCAGGCUUCAUCAACCUAGGCCCUCUAGAUGUUUUGAGACUACAAUUCGCAUCAUCCCUGACCACUGGUCCUGCUAGCUAGGGAUCAUGGGAGUUGUAGGCCAAAAACAUCUGGAGGGCCGAGGUUGAGGAAGCCUGGUUAAGAUACUAAAGCAGAUAAAAAUUACCUUGACUUUCUAAGCAUCUGGGUAGGCCUGUCUAAAGAGUACAGAGCGCUGAAAAGAAUAUCAAUACUUGGUAUCAAUAUUUGGUAUCAAUAGUUAGGGAGUUCCAAAGUCAAGGCGCUGCCACACUAAAAUAUCAGGUUCUUACAAGUAGUAGUGGCAAUUGUGCCAGUCAAAGUAGUGGAGUGGGCAAAUGUGGGGUUAGUAAUGAUUUCAUUUCCAUUUUCCAUUGAUUUCAGUGGAAGACUCAGCUGGUCUUCUGCUACUUAUAACUUCAGUGCUUUCCAUCCAAAAAGCAUGCAAACGGCAGGUAUUCCGCUUCUGAAAGACUUCAAAUUUCAAAAUAGAAAGACAACCUAAAAUGGCACACCUACUGUAAACUUCCUAUUGCUUUCAGAUGUUCCUUGUCCUUUAACACAUGUCUUUUGCAUCCUAUUAGCACCUAUUUCCCAGGCGUUAUAGCACCCCAGCAAAAGACCAGAUCUGCCAGAUUUCAGAUAGAUAGGACAAAGGGAGUUUUAUUCAGUGCUAGUACUUCAUAUACCAUAUUGGCCCGAAUAUAAGCCGCACCCAAAUAUAAGCCGCACCUUUGAAAUUCAAGGGGGGAGGGAAGAGAAAAAGACAAUACCCGAAUAUAAGCCGCUCCCUUAAAAUUCCACAGGUUUUACCGUAUGUCUGUUUCAGCAGCAAUAUCGUAAAAGCCAGUUUUUGUAAGGUUGCGAAUUUAAGCUGCACUUUAACUUUUCGCAGUCAGAAUUUGGAGAAAAAAAAGGUGAUGCUUAUAUUCAGGCCAAUACGGUAGUAGACCUAUUGAAGUUAAUAUACAUAGGCAAACUCUGGCCCUCCAGAUGUUUGGGACUACAAUUCUCAUCAUCCCUAGCUAACAGGACCAGUGGUCAGGGAUGAUGAGAAUUGUAGUCCCAAACUCCGGCGGGCAGGAGUUUGAUUGUGCCUGAUAUACAUGGUUAACUUAGGUUCAUUCAUUUCAGUGGAUCUACUCUCUGAGUAGGACACAGUCCAAUACAACCCACGGUCUACAUUUUAUAUCUAAACUCUACCGCUGUAAUUUGUUUUAAACUGUUUUUAAUGCUGUAUUUUACAUUGCUGUGACCCUCCUUGGGACCUUCUGGUGCAUCUACUAAUAAUAAUUCAUAUAAUACUUUCCUUUUCCUCACUGUAACUUUUACAGUGACCUGUGCAGGCUGUUCCAGAGUCUUUAAACGUUUCAACUCAGCAGAGACAAACGAGGACCAAAGCAAACAAAUGAAAUAUAUGAGAAAUGAAUGGAUUUCCCCACCCCACCCCCAUUCAGAACUUGUUCAACUGAACGAAUUCCCAUUUGCUUUUAUAGCUUCAGGAAACAAAAAAAUGGGGCUUAUCUCGACGACGUUUCAUUCAUUUAAAAAAUAAAUGUGCAGCCCUCCCCACUAGGUGGCGUCUCUAAGCCCCAUGCCUGUAAUAUGUAGAUAAUUAGUUUAAAACAGAAACCCUCGCAGGAUCAGGCACAAACAUAACGUAUUUGAAGCACUUUGAACACUAUCAUUAGCUCCAUUAUUAUCCAUAAUAACUGAUCUGCUUAAUAGGGGAGGCAGGGCAGACACAGAAUAAAACAAUGGUACGCUUGUGAGUACUGCACCUUUCCUUACAUUGUCUAGAUUAGGGGUCCGCUUAUUGAAUUGGCACUAUUGUUACAUCACCAGUGAAUGUGACAAGUUCAAUUGAAUAUUUACAAAAAUCAAAUUUAAGUUAUGCCGGAGGGUUACAAAAAAAGAAAAGAAAAAAAAAAGCCCAGCCUAUUCUCUCAAACUUUGGAUCACUAUAACUACAGUCAUACCUCAGGUUACAGACGCUUCAGGUUGGGUUUUUUUGGGUUACGGAUUUGCUGAAACCUGGAAGUACCGGAACGGGUUACUUCCGGGUUUCGGCGGCCGCGCAUGCGCAGAAGCACUACAUUGCACUUUGCGCAUGCGCAGAAGCACCGAAUCGCAACCCGUGCGGUGCUGUGGGUUGCGAACACGCCUCCCACACAGAUCACGUUCGCAACCCGAGCGUCCACUGUAUACGGUAGAGAAACAGGCGUAGGAAGGGGGGUGGGGUGGGUGCGGUCUGCCCCGGGUGUCAUGACUGAGAGGUAGGUGACAAAAUGGCAGGCGAGUGGGUGGCACACCUUGCGUCCGGUAGCAGCGGCUCUUCUGACCCGGUGGUAGAGAAAAGCCCUCCUCAGUUGUGGUGAGGCGCCACCGGCCGCAGCAGUUCCAUUGCCGGGUCAUGUCUGACCCAGCUGUGGAGACCAGGAGGAAAGUGAGCAGCAGCUUCUCUGCCCCUCUCCUACCCCGAACUGUGGCACGUAGGAGGGCACCCUCCGUGCCCUGCCCCCCUUGGGAGCGCACCCGCCCUGGGCUCCUCCGCUGGGUAGAGAGAAAAGGGAAUAUGACUCAGACUUGGAACUCUUUUCCUGCUCUCCAUAACCUUUUGUUGACAUAUACAGGAAGUUCGGUGCCAUUUCAGUUCCUCAUCUCGUUAGAGAACGGGAUCAAACCAGCCUAGAUGGCUUUUCUCAGCGCCACAUCUGCAAUAUGCAGAUAAUUAGCUACAACAGACCUUACAGGAUUACACAAAAAGAUAAUGUUUGUGAAGCACUUUGAACACUAGAUUCUGAGCAUUAUCAUUAUCCCUAUUGUGCCAAAUUCUUCCUAAUAACUGGAUCUGCUUAAUUGGGGAGGCAAGGCACAAAUGUAUGACACACACACACACACACACACACACACACACAGAAUAGUUUGGCUUCAGGUAUCACAAUCUACUGUCACUUCACAUUUAGGCGAAGGGGCACGUUGGUUGAAUUCGCAUCACUACUUCAUUGUUGCUGACUGUGACACUUCCAAUCUUUCUUGAUUCUCUUGAGUAUUUACAAAAAUCAAAUGUUUUAAGUUAUGCAGGGGUGUUAAACAAAACCAUCGUCACAUAAGAUUCGGCUCCCAGCACCAUAAAAUUGUUGAGUCAAUGGUAAAAAGAAAAUGAAAUAUGAAUCAGGCUUGGAACUUAAUCUCUUCACAGAUGAAUAAAUCUUUUUAAUGUGCCUAUUAGAAAUUUGAUUUCCCUUUAAUGAUUUUUUAUUUAUUUAAAAAAUGGAUUAUUGUGGUUUUCCCUUGCAGAAGGAAAAUUAAAAUGCUUAAAAUAACGCUUGAGUUUCGUGCGCACAGAUUUUUCAGGACACUGACUUGAUGAAAACAAAGUUUUUUUAAAAAAUGAAUUUUAAAUAGAGUUGGUGAUUUGGGGGAGUGGCUCCAGUAAAAGAGGCCAAAACUGUUUGCCAUGCAGAGUGAAAGAAAUUGAUGAUCUGAUUAGUUGCAACAUUUUGGCAGAGCUUUGCCUUUACUCUCAACUGGCUUUUUGAGAGAGGGUAUUUAUUUGCAUGGAUUAUCAUUUUUCUGAUACGAGUUGAAGUCUGAACUGAUACAGGCCAGACCUAAGGUUUCCUCUUCAUUGAAAACUCACCUAGGUGAUUAUACAUCACCCCAUCUGCAAAAGUUUCAUGGCAGACCUGCUUCUUUGUUUCCAGUUGGUGCCGAAAUCCUGUAAUGGUCUGUGCUUUUGGUCCCACUUUUGUUGUGCUAUGUGGCCAACUCUCAAGAGACUGCGAUCUACUUUCAGAAUUAAAAACUGGCAGUGAUCUACCCUUGUUUUUUGGGCGUUCAGUUCAAAAUUGUUGAGCUUUCUUUGGGAAGGAAAGCCCCAUGGGGGAGGGGACUCAAAACCCUUUCUGUUGCUGUUUUGUUUAGUCAUGUCCGACUCUUUGUGACCCCAUGGACUAGAGCACACCAGGCACUCCUGUUUUCCACUGCCUCCCGCACUUUGGUCAAACUCAUGCUGGUAGCUUUGAGAACACUGUCCAACCAUCUUGUCCUCUGUCGUUCCCUUCUCCUUGUGCCCGCCAUCUUUCCCAACAUCAGGGUCUUUUCCAGAGUCUUCUCUUCUCAUGAGGUGGCCAAAGUAUUGGAGCCUCAGCUUCAGGAUCUGUCCUUCCAGUGAGCACCCAGGGCUGAUUUCCUUAAGAAUGGAUAGGUUUGAUCUUCUUGCAGUCCAUGGGACUCUCAAGAGUCUCCUCCAGCACCAAGCUUUUUUUGGGGGGGGGGACUUCUGUUUUGGGGGGAGGGCUAAAGGCAAGGGACAAAGGGGUAAAGUUACUCACAAAAAUAUUGCUAUGGAUGAAAACAGCAGCACAGAGAAAGCUCCGUCUUCCCUUCCAGAGAUCAAACAACAAUGGAGGGCAGGGCAGUAGUCAGUUUUAGCAACGCUAAGGAAAGGGAGUCGGAGAUCAACCGUGAUCUACCAAAACCUCGUGGGGAUCUAUCAGCAGCAAUAGACCUGCUGGACAUCCCUGCUAUAGCAUGUAGGUGCAAUAAUGCUGUAACCCUGGGGAAGUAUCUCAGAACAACUAAUAAAACAGAACGAUAUGUGGAUGGCCCAUUAGGAAAUCAAUCGCUAAUGCAAUGCUGCAGAAUGUAUGUGAAAAACCAAAACCAUAGCACCUGUCUGAAGGGAUUCUUAGUUUAAAGUGUUGGUGCUGACCUUUAAAGCCCUAAACGGCCUCGGUCCAGUAUAUCUGAAGGAGCGUCUCCACCCCCAUCGUUCUGCCCGGACACUGAGGUCCAGCUCCGGGGGCCUUCUGGCGGUUCCCUCACUGUGAGAAGCCCAGUUACAGGGAACCAGGCAGAGCGCCUUCUCGGUAGUGGCGCCCGCCCUGUGGAACGCCCUCCCAUCAGAUGUCAAAGAGAUAAACAACUACCUGACAUUCAGAAGACAUCUGAAGGCAGCCCUGUUCAGGGAAGUUUUUAAUAUGUGACAUUUUAGUGUAUUUUUCAUCUUUGUUGGAAGCCGCCCAGAGUGGCUGGGGAAACUCAGCCAGAUGGGCGGGGUACAAAUAAUAAAUAAUAAUAAUAAUAAUAAUAAUAAUAAUAAUAAUUAUUGCCGCCUCCCCCAACCUGGUACCCUCUGGAUGUUUGGGACUGCAAUUCACAUCAGUCUGUGGGGUCUGAUUUGAAGACGUGAUGAAAGGAACAGGCAGGUCUUGAAAAGGAUGAGACUUGUUUGGCCAUAUUUAAACAUGUGAUGUUUCCACCUGUUCAGUAGUAAAUCCAGAGAGGUGCCCCUUGUAAGUGACCUGAAAUGAACACUUGCAAUUAAUAGUGAGAAAAGAUGAAGGUGUGAGGAGGAUUUCCUCAGCAGUAGCAUCACCGAGGAGACAUGUAUAUUAUACAUGCUAUCACAGGCAACAACUUACAGAUUGAGGAUGGGUAGCUUUAAGACAAAACCGACAUCAGAAUAAAGGUGUUGAGUGGGAGAUCUCAAUGAGUGUUUCCAUGGCGAUGUUGAGGAGGGAUGCUGUGGAGUCACCUUGCCUCCAAAAGGAAUAUCACUUCCUGAAAAAUCCUAAGAAUCCCAGCAAAAAUCACUUGUAUCAUCCUUUUCCUGAUAGAAAACUAGCUAAUAUUAAGAGAAAACAGAUAUUGCUUUUUUCCCCUGGCUUGGCUAGGCUGCUUCAGAUCCCUCUAGCCCCCUGGGUUGGUGGCUACUAAAAUCAGGGCCUUCUCAGUGGUGGCACCUCACUCACUCAUGAACACCCUCCUUAAAUAGGCAUACCUGGAAGCUACGUUGGAGGUCUUUUAGAAACCAGGUGAAGCCCUUCUUGUUUUCCUUGGCCUUUUUAUCACAACCUAUCCAGUGCUUCAGUUUUUUGCGCCAAGUUGUUCUUUGCUGCCUUUUGUGCUAGCUCAGUUGAUAGUGCACGAGACUCUUAAUCUCAGGGUUGUGGGUUUGAGCUCCGCAUUGGGCAGAAGAUUCCUGCAUUGCAGGGGGCUGGACUAAAUUACCCUCAUGGUCCCUUCCAACUCUAUGAUUCUACAGGCCAAUCCUAACCAUGCCUGCUGAGAAGUCGUAUUGAAUUAAAUGAGGCUUACUCCCAGGAAGGGACGCGGGUGGUGCUGUGAGUUAAACCACAGAGCCUAGGGCUUGCCGAUCAGAAGGUCAGCAGUUUGGAUCCCCGCGACGGGGUGAGCUCCCGUUGCUCGGUCCCUGCUCCUGCCAACUUAGCAGUUCGAAAGCACAUCAAAGUACAAGUAGAUAAAUAGGUACCACUCUGGCGGGAAGGUAAACGGCGUUUCCGUGCGCUGCUCUGGUUCGCCAGAAGCGGCUUAGUCAUGCUGGCCACAUGACCUGGAAGCUGUACGCCGGCUACCUUGGCCAAUAAAGCGAGAUGAGCGCUGCAACCCCAGAGUCACGACUGGACCUAAUGGUCAGGGGUUCCUUUACCUUUACCUUACUCCCAGGAAAGUGGUAUGAAGGAAGGGCAAAUUAUGCAUAAAGCUUGGGGAGAAAAGCUUAUGAGCAGGGCUGGUCCAAGGCAUUUUGCCGCCUGAGGCCAAACAGGAAAUGGCAUCCUUCUCCUGCUCCUGAGGUGCAAGCAGGUGGCUCGGGGAAGGCCCAGCAUGCUGAGGGUGGCGAGGGAGAAGAAAAAAGAGGCCAGAGAGGAGCAGGUAGCAGAAGUGAUGGAGGGACCAUCCCUCUUCAAGCGGUGACUGGGAUGGUGGCAGCAGCAGCGGCUCCUAUCAGCAGCCGAAGCUGCAGCACCAAAGGUGGUAAAGGUGUGCAUCAACUUUGUUGGACUGGUCAUGUUGUGCGGAUGCCUGAUGAUCGUCUUCCAAAGCAACUACUCUAUUCUGAACUUAAAAAUGGAAAGUGUAAUGCUGGCGGUCAACAAAAGAGAUUUAAAGACUCUGUCAAGGUAAUCUUUAAAAAUAUAGUAUAAAUGCCGUCAACUGGGAAACACUGGCCUGCGAGUGCUCCAGUUAAAGAACAGUGUUUACCAAAGGUGUCAUGGGCUUUGAAGACACUUGAACUCAGGACGCAAGGGAGAAACACGCUAAGAGGAAGGCACGCUUGGCAAAUCCACACUGUGAUCAACUCCCGCCCGGAAACCAAUACAGUGAUACCUCGCAAGACAAAUGCCUCGCAAGACGGAAAACUCGCAAAACGAAAGGGUUUUUGGUUUUUUGAGUUGCUUCGCAAGACGAUUUUCCCUAUGGGCUUGCUUCGCAAGAUGGAAACGUCUUGCAAGUUUGUUUCCUUUUUCUUAAAACCGUUAAUACAGUUGCGACUUGACUUCGAGGAGCAACUCAUAGCACACGGUGUGGUAGCCUUUUUUGAAGACUUUGGUGAUUUUUGAAGCUUUUCCAAAACUUUUCCGACACCGUGCUUCGCAAGACAAAAAAAACCGCAAGACGAAAAAACUCGCGGAACAAAUUAAUUUCGUCUUGCAAGGCACCACUGUAUCCCCACUGUGGAAGGGCAUGUGGAUCCAGAAUUGGCUUCCACAGUCACUUACGGACUCAUUGUUAAAUCUGUGUUUAUGGAAGACAAUCUUAUUCAGCUACGAAUGAUCGCCAAAGAAGAAGAAGGAAGAAGAAGAAGAAGAAGAAAGGUGUGCAAGGGCGCCCCCUCUCUUUUGGUCUGCUGCCUCUCCCAGCUGCCCUCAGCCUGCCGCCUGAGGCAGAUCAGAGGCCAGAGGUGGGCAGAUGCACUUUGAGACUGCUUGGCAAACACCUGGGAGAGGAGGAGUCUUAGAAGGGGUGGAAGGCAGGAACCGUUAAGUCCUAGCAACUGCUCCAUAGGGGCAAGACCUGCUUGGAAGUCUUGCUGAGUGGUAUGUGGCUUCCUUGAAUGUUGCCCUGAAAAGCUUUUCUCGGGGCCGCGAUCUCACAUGGCACCCCAAAAAGCUUGCUUUGGGGUAUGUGAGAGCGUGGCCCAUAAAAGAGAGUGGGGCCCUGUGAUCUUGGGCAGGUCACGUGAUUUGCUCAGGAGCGCAAAACGGGAAGACGUGCGUCCCCAUUUUGGGACUCAACUUGUUGGAUGGUAUGCGCUGCUUCCUUAGAACACCAAUUUUUUCAGGGCUUACACUGGUGUAAGUUACAUUGGGCUUAGCCCUAGCUUAGCUGGAGUGGGGGUCAUUGCAUCUCUGGGGUUGAGGUUAGCCACAACUUAGUUUAAGCCUGAAUGAUUUCAGUGGCAACAAGUUUAACUAGCUAACAGCGCAGUCGUAACCAUGCCUACUCAGAACCAAGCCCUGUUGAAUUCAUUGGAGCUUGCUCCUAGGCAAGUGGGGUUAGGACUGCAGCCCUUGCCGGAUCCAGCCUUAAACAAAUUGCUAAAUAUUGUUUUUAAUAUUAGGUACCGUUUGCCAUGAUGUUUUAAUAUUUUAUUGGGGAGAUCCCGCUGGGACUAGCUUCUGUUGUGCCAAGAGUUCUGAACUAAGACACAGACACUUUUAUUUAAUAAAAGCUUUCAUUCGUUUAAAGCCUGCUGAGAUACUACUGACGCAUUGUUCCUGCGAAUUUACUGUCAGCAACUGACAAAAAGAUGUCCUGCAAGGUCAAAAAUGUGUAGGGGAAAAUGGGUCAAGAGCUAUAGUAUGGCUGGCUUCUCCUGGGACUCAUUUGGAAAAUGGUUCAGGGGUGGGGGUGUGGACCUAUGGGACAUAAAAGGCCGUGCAGAGAAGACGCUCAAAUUCCCCAGGUGGUUCCCCCCAUAUUUUGGUAGCCAAUUUUGACUCUUGUUCUCACAUCUAAAAGAAAACAAAGAGAGCAAAUGCUAGAGAGGCAACGAGAGGGUGCCAUGAAAUAUUUUUCAACACUGAACAAGGGAGUGUUAAUUUAUUAUCACUGUGGGCAACAGAGCUUGAUGGUGAGAGGCACACAGAGCCAGACCCCGGCCAUUGAUGGAGGAGCAAGGAAAAAAGCAUGAAGGGAGCAAUUAAAGGAAGCAUUCAAGACAUUAGCAUUCCCACAGUUUAAUGUCUUAGGAAGGAGGCAUGACUUUGCACUGAGGACAAAUCCUGCUAGGCCAGGCAACAUGGGGCUGAAGGAGUCAUGGCCUUCUUGACAAAGGACAGUCUUUUUUGUCAGAUGACAGUCCUCAAUUUCAAGUCAUCCUCUGUUUCAGGGGUUGGGAACCUCUGGACUGUGGGCCAAUCUUGGCCUGCAGGAUUGUUGAAUUUGGCCUCUGAGGGCUUUCCCUCCAAAACCGCAGUCACCUGCACACCAGCCAACAUUUCUCUGAUGAAAAUAGGGACACCUGCCACUCUGGGCGGCUCCCAACAUAUAUAAAAACAUAAUAAAACAUUAAACAUUUAAAAAAACACAUUUCCCAGAUGUCUUCUAAAGGUUGUGUAAACAAAAUAAAAAAAUUCCUUCCAGUAGCACCUUAGAGACCAACUAAGUUUGUUAUUGGUACGAACUUUCGUGUGCAUGCACACUUCUUCAGAUACACUGAAACAGAAGUCACCAGACCCUUAUAUCUAGUGAGAGGGUGGGGAGGGGUAUUACUCAGAAGGGUGGUGGGAAUGGGUGAUUGGCUGAUAGGUGUGGUAAACCUGUUGACGACUGGUCUCUCCUGGUCUGAAUAGAGGCAUUGGAUUCUUAUCUCAUGAUACAUGAUAUAGCUAUUUUUAGCCAUCUCACCCCUUGCUUUUUCCAGUAAGACCAAUUGCAGUCGUGAACAGUCGUCAACUGGAAGGAAUUUUUUUAUUUUGUUUCAACUAUGGCCGACCAACACGGCUACCUACCUGUAACUAGAACUAUGAAGGGUUGUGUAGUUACUUAUCUCCUUGGCUUGGUGUGUGUCGGUAUGUCGCAUAACUCCAUACCCUCCAACAUUUCUCCAAUGAAAAUAGGGACGUCCUAAGGAAAAGCAGGACAUUCCAGGAUCAAAUCAGAAACCGGCUCCUGUAAAUCCAGGACUGUCUCUGGAAAAUAGGGACACUUGGAGGGUCUGCUGCCUGUCAAUCAGAUCAUAUCACCCUGAUGGACAGGUGACAUCAUCUGAUGGAGAAGUUUGCAUUCAGUUCCACAUUGGCUGUGCCUGAUAUGCCUAUCAAGAACAAGGACUAUGGAAAGUGACUUCCUGGUGAGUCCUGCUGUCUUGACUGGAGAUGCUAUUAUUCUUCUAUCUGGUGGGCACCUGCAUUUCUGUAGAGUUUCUGGUUGACAGAGGAAGCUUGUCUCUGGAGGGCAAGGACUUUUAGAAGUAAAAAACCCUGCACCGGCUUAGCAAUCAUUUUACCUUAUUACCAUGUCUGCAGCCUAGCUGGUGAGUCACUCAGUGAACUUUCUGGUUCAUCAUGACCUCUCUGGCCAAGCAUGAAGAAAUCAGCUUCAGGAAUGUAUAUAAGGUCAAGGCAGGAGAGUCAUAUACCACGAUCCUUCACUUCAGCCAAACCCAUCCUGAAAACCCAAAAUGGGGGCUUAAGGUGAGAGCCUUUUAGCACUCGCUUCCUAGCUGGUGUGUCCUUGCCACUCAUUGGGAGGGAGAGAGGAAAGGGUGAGACAGUGGGCAGGUUGCUGUGGUGCAGUCCAGCGCUCCCACUGGGGCACCUGCACCAUGCCAGUGCCUCCAGUGCCUCCCACUCCUGAGAAGCAGCAGCAACACACCUGCCAGGAUGUUAGUGUUGCACAGAAUAGUCUGCAGAAAAAGUGCACCCAGAGCUGCCGAGUCAGAAGCUUUUGAGAGAAGGUUGUGCUAGCCACUGGCCCUGCAAUUUGAUUCAUUUCCCAUUCUGCUUCUUCCCUUGCUUCACUUCAGAUAAGACCUUUGCUUCUUCGUCGCCUCUCUGCAGCUUCCUCGCCUGCCUGUUCUUCAGAGUCUCUCACCUGCCAUCCUCGUCCAAGAUAAAAAGGGUUUUGGAAUUACGUAACAAUGCAAAAACACACACAAAACCUUCUGAUGUUUGGAGCUCUGAGUCUAUAUUUAAUCACAAGUUUAUUCCGCUUGUUUCAUGAGGGUGUGUGUUUGUGUGUGUGUGUGUGUGUGUGUGUGUGUGUGUAUAACAUGAUUCAAGCAUCUUUUUCAAAAAGGCCACCUUCCAGCACAGAAUUAGUACUGCUUCAGCCCAUUUAAGUGUGCCUAACUCUUAUGCUAGAUGAUAGCACUGACAGCUAAUUGGGUAAAGGUAAAGGUCAAGGGACCCCUGACCAUUAGGUCCAGUCGUGGCCGACUCUGGGGUUGCAGCGCUCAUCUCGCUUUAUUGGCCGCGGGAGCCGGCAUACAGCUUCCGGGUCAUUUGGCCAGCAUGACUAAGCCGCUUCUGGCGAACCAGAGCAGCGCACGGAAACACCGUUUACCUUCCCGCCGGAGUGGUACCUAUUUAUCUACUUGCACUUGACGUGCUUUCGAACUGCUAGGUUGGCAGGAGCAGGGACCGAACAAUGGGAGCUCACCCCAUCACAGGGAUUUGAAUUGGAGUCAUGCCCAAUUGCAGUCCUACUACACUUGUUUGCUGAGAAGUGCUGCAGCCAAGUCACUCGUGGUUUUCACACAUGGGGAGGUGUGCCCCCCUACCCACCCUCCCAUGGGAAUUAUUUCAGGGUGGGUUUGCAUGAUUGAUGAAUGACCACAUCACUACUUCCAUCCUCUGUAUGUGGACAGUAAUACUUCAUACAGGUGCCAUGCAUGCACAGGUGUGAAAGGAAACAGGGAAGAUUCAAUGGCAAGUGCUCCAGAUAAUAGGAUUGGAUUCAGACUGGGGCUGGAUCUAGAUACAUCAAAGAAGCAUUUCAGUUAAACGCGUUGCAAACUUUGUAUGAGAAAUCGGGUUAGCAAAAACAGAACUCCACAGCGCAAUCUGGUGUCGCAGUGUUAAAAUGCACAAACAACGCAUAUAAAGUGAUUUUUUUUCUUUGCCAAUGUAGCUGAGACCUGGGUUAACUCAGUGGCAGAGACACACCAACUAGGAAGCUAGCCCAGGUUUUUCAAACUGGUACCCUCCAUACAUUCUCAACUACAGAUCCCAUCAGCUCUAGUCAGCCAGUUGUAGUCCAAAUCAUCUGGAGGUCAUCAGCUUGGCAAGACUGGCACUAACCUAUUUCAAAGAUUUCAGUGGGACAGGUCAACUCGAGAUCUUGUUGGUGUUCACAGUCAUUUUUCUCCCAUUGCCUUUUUAAGGAAGAGAGGUGUUGUUUUUUUAAAGAAAAGCAACAAUUAAAAAAAAUCACAUUUUCACAUUGUUAGGUUUUGUUGAUGUAAAGAACUUCACCUUUCUGAUUGUUGUAGAAAUGCCUUGCUAAUUCUCAUGCCCCCAUCUUCGGUUUGAGUGGAUCAGUGAGGCCUGUGCUUUGAUAUAGCACUGUAGAGUUGGAAGGGACCCUGAGGAUCAUCUAGUCUAACCCCCUGCAAUGCAGGAAUAUGCAGCUAGUCCAUACAGGGAUCGAACCUGCAACCUUGGCGUUAUCAGCACCAUGGUCUAACCAACUGAGCUAUCCAGGCUCAUAUAUAUAUAUGAGAGAGAGAGAGAGACAGAGAGACAGAGAGACAGAGAGACAGAGAGAGAGAAUUCUUUUCGGAACAUAAAGGUUGAAUGCAGAAAGCUGCCUUGUACUGAUCAUUGGGCCAUGUGGCUCAGCAUUGUCUACUCUGCCCGACAUGGAGAGGCCAAGGACUGAACCUGGGACCCCUUGGCUGCAAAACGUUUCUCUGCUAACUGAGGAUGUCCUUCUAGAUUCUUGUCUCUGCAUUCCGUUGGCCAGUUCACACAACAUGGGUCCUUUCAACUGGUGCGCUGAUCGUGGCCAAUGAAAGUGGCUAGUUUCAUGACCUAUGGCCUCCAUGUGGGAAUGGUUUAUCCAGCUGCUGUGGCUUGAAGUACCAUGGAGGCUCAACAAGGCACCAGGAAGAUCACACCAGCUGUGGUAGCCAUGUAGGCACAGCACACUCACAUUUCCACAUUGAGAGCCAGUGUGGUGUAGUGGUUAAGAGCAGGGGACUCGUAAUCUGGUGAACUGGGUUCGCUUCCCCGCUCCUCCACAUGCAGCUGCUGGGUGACCUUGGGCUAGUCACACUUCUCUGAAGUCUCUCAGCCCCACUCACCUCACAGAGUGUUUGUUGUGGGGGAGGAAGGGAAAGGAGAAUGUUAGCCGCUUUGAGACUCCUUAAGGGGAGUGAAAGGCAAGAUAUCAAAUCCAAACUCCUCCUCCUCCUCCUCCUCCUCCUCCUCCUCCUCCUCCUCCUUCUCCUCCUCCUCCUCCUCUUCUUCCUCUCUCACAGUGCUGUUCAUCCAUGAAGCCCAAGGUGUCUGGUUGACUGCUGUGGGUUAUUAGCAUACUGUAUGAGAAAGGUCAUAGGUCCAGCGAGGGUCUUCUUGUUCAAGAAGUGCCGGUGUUUGUCUGAGCACCAUCAUCUUCAGAGUGGGCAAACAUUUGACCAUCCCCUUAUGCCGGUGCAGGCCAGUCCAUGCUACACUUGAAAUCGUAUUGCAGUGAAUUAGGAAUCCACUUUAGGCUAACCAGAAAUAAAGUAGAAUAAAGCCAGAGUCAGCUCAGCCUUAGGAACAGGACUGAAUCUUUCAUUUAUAUCUUGCACAAUGGUUAUGAAUAUUUGAUGGUGCGUCUAAGUUUGGAGGCUUCAUUUAUUUGUAUAUUUUUAGCUGCACUCAUUCAUGUAACACCUACUGCAGUUGUAGCAAAGUGCUUUGCUCUCCCUGGACAUAUUCCUAGAAUCAUUGUGUAUAUUAGGUCUCUGUUGCAUUAGAACAAACAAUCCCAAACCCAUAUAUUUUCUCCUCUCGUGCAACCCAGGGACAGCUUUCUUGCCACAAAAGUUCAUCUCACACCAGAGAGUACGUUUUUGCAAUAGAUACACACAACUGGUGAUCAGACGAUCAGGAUGUCAGAAACUGCCCAUCGAAAACCCCAGUGUAGUUUCCUUCUUUGGGAAGGGGUGUCUGUCGCAGGACUCUCAUAUUUACCCAGGAUUCAAAUCACAUUAUUUUGCUUUCCUUCCUGCUUACCCCAGAUCCCCAAUAGCGCACCAGUUAUACUUUCAAACAUUGUGUGAAUGUGGUGUAUUUAUUAUUCAGUGCCAGUGUGGGAAAUUUAAAAUGGCAAUUCAAGACUGGCCACAACUGCUGCAAGGUAAACCUAUGGCCAGAGGGGCUCACUGACAUGGGUAUUUGUGACAGGCACUUUGUUAAGAGCCUACUCAGGACUGGAACAAUCCCGGCAUUCUUCUGUGAAUGGCAACAGUGGUCUUCAACAACUCUCCCCCUUGUUUAAGUAUUUCUUUUUACCCUCCUCUUAAGCUGAAAAGGCUCACAAAACAGUUUUUACACAAGGUAUACGACAAACAAGAAGGUUUCUGGCUGCAGGCUUGCAAUAAAAAAGGCAUGGCAUGAAAGGAAAUUGGGGAGUGGAAGGAAGAGGAAAACAAGCAAACUCAGGUACCAGUUCUUAGUCAUGACAAAGUAGUUACAAUGAGAGACUUGAAUGGAAACAGCUCAUGGAGAGGAUGAGCUUGAUGGAGAUGGUGUCUCAGCAAAGUGUCCUGCUUCCCAUCUCUUUUUGCUGCAGCCUGGUGGAAUGGCAGCACCUCAGUCAUGUGUUUUGAGUCUCAGGCGAACGGAUCCUUAAUCACUUUCUCAGUAGAAGUGCCUCCAGGGUUUCUGUUAUGAACUUCAGUUGCUUGGUCCUGCUUGGUGAAAUGGUUAAUCAAUGGAGGAAUCGACUGCUCUGUAGGCAGGAAGGAACUGAAAGAGUCUUGCAAUCUUGGCUUAUACAAGGGUGAAUCAGCAGCUGGAGCCAAUGUUUUUUUUGCUUUUUGUUUAACAAAGCUCCUUGUGAAUCAGGGUCCUCUUUUCUCUUCGUCUUGAGAUUGCAAUGUUUGAACAUGAAGCGCUUGGCUUGGCAGCUGUAAAGCUGGCUCCUUCCCUCCCUUGCAAUGUUGCGCUGCAGGUGAUAUUUGACAAUAGCCUCUGGUUUAGUUGCUUGCUUUACAUGCUUCCUAGCUGCAAGGGAUGCAGGGAGGAUUCAUCAGUCUCCAGGCAAAUUUAGUUGCUCUUAAAAAGAAAGAGGCCUGUGUCCAAAGGCGGAUGUGAGAUGCUGCAGAAGGAAAGGAAAGGAAAGCCUAGCGAUCAAGCAAUUUCAGCCCAGGCUCUGUGCUGCUUUUCCUGUGUUUCUCUCUCACCUGCAUGACUUGUCAGAACCACUUUCUGUGAAAGGAGGCUGUUUGGAUACAGGCACGAGCAAUUCACAACACCCUGCCACCUUUCUAAGGUUUCAAAACAGCAGUGCCCCAGAAGAUAUGUGUUUGGCUGGCUCCUCUUUCCCAUCACCAUCCCCCGUAACAUUCAGUCACACUUUGUGCAUUGGUUUCCCCCAAAGCACUGCUGAAAUCUAGUGCUGUGGUUUGCAAAUUGUGUUCUGUCUUUCUCUCUCACUUGCACCAACUGGUAAGGUGAAAGUGGGUGCCUUUCCAAACCAAGUACCGUAUUUUUUGUUCUAUAAGGCUCACUUUUUCCCUCCUAAAAAGUAAGGGGAAAUAUGUGUGUGUCUUAUGGAGUGAAUGCAGGCUGCGCAGCUAUCCCAGAAGCCAGAACAGCAAGAGGGAUUGCUGCUUUCACUGCGCAGCGAUCCCUCUUGCUGUUCUAGCUUCUGAGAUUCAGAAUAUUUUUUUUCUUGUUUUCCUCCUCCAAAAACUAGGUGCGUCUUGUGGUCUGGUGCGUCUUAUAGAGCGAAAAAUACAGUAUUUCUUUGCUGCAUUCAUUUGCCCUGCAAUAAUCUGUUCCACGCAAGCACUUGAAGUUGGUGUGCUUAUAAAGUAAGCGGAACAGUUUGUUUUCCCUUUUCUUUUUAUAGAGGGGGAAUUUAAUAUAGCAGUUAAUCUCACAAUUGAUCUGGCUGUUGUGCAGAAUAUUUGCGGCUCAGUGCUCCUUCAGCAACAUGUGUAGCUCAGGGCCAUAGUUCACUGGUGAGCAAGGGAUGUAGCUCAGUGGCAGACCAUCUGCCCUGUGUCCAGAAGGUCCCUGGUUCAUUCAGGCAUCUCCAGGUAGGUUUGGGAAUGUCUGCUGUCCAGAACCCUGGAGGGCCUAUACCAGGCAGUGUAGACAAUACCGAACUAGAUGUGCCAGUGGUCUCACUCGUUCCCUGUCAGCUUCUUGUGUUGUCAGUUGCUUAGGGCUUUGCUUUGGAAGGGAAAGCGGGCUUCAAAUAAACAGUGACAUGAAAGGAAACAUUUGCUAUCUAGAUGAGUAGCCAUGAGAAGAUUCGAGGGAAGCUGCGAGGUGCUGUUUUGUGCCGAUGCACAGGGAUUUACUGACAUAUUAGCCAGAGUCAACAUAUGCAUUUCACAAACAUAAUGCAUUUUAAAGCACAUUUUACCCAAGUACAUGCAUUUUUGGACACAUUAUUUGGCUGGGGAACAGCAUUUCAAAAUUUGGAGAAGGGCGCGUUUCAAAGGAUGACUGUAUUUUGGUCUGUGCUUUGUUUCAGAAAACAUCAAUUGGAAAAGUUUGUCUUUAAAUGUGAACUGGAUCAAUCUUCAUCUCUACUUAUCCUCUAGUCACAUACGUAACUUUAAGACAUCUCCACCUGACAUGGUUUUUUUCUUUCUUUCAGCUUUUGUAUCAUUGUAGCACUGCGGUCUCACUUGUCAUGGAACAAAAUUGUUGUGAAUGUUUAACUUAUUAUUUGUUACUUAUUUUGGAAAAUUAACAAAAGCAUUUUUUUUUUAAAAAAAAGCACACAUACCUGGUAGUUUCCAAAAUGCAAAACGGGAACAAUAAACAAAUUAUUGACCAGGGACAGACACCCAAAGAGUUACUGGUAAACAGGGGAAGGUGGACCAUGGAUUAGACAUGAACUAGAGGAAAUAUUCUGUCUCUGUUUGCAUACUGCCUGGGGCCUUGUUUUGCUAUGACAGGCGUAUUGUUCCUGGUGGAGGAGGGAGGGUAGGGAGAGCAAAGUAUGUUUUUAAAAAUAUAUAUAUGUCAUGUUCAUUAGCUGUCAUUAAUGUCAAUCACAGCUGUGACAGGCAUUCUUGUGUUCUAAUUCCAUUGCCUUAACUUUCGGUGAGAUGCUGUUUGGUAUUCAUUACCUCAGGUUAAUUAUGGAGCCAGUGAAAAGUUUUGAUUUGACUGACUUCCUCAAGGCUAUCCCUUUUUUAUUGUUAUUUGCUUCUUCCCUGCUUUUUGUAUACAUGCUUAUCCAGCUGACCGCAGGUUUUUCCGCAACUUCAGACUUACCUGCAUACAGAUUUCUUCCCCUCCCAGCCUUUCCCCUUCUUCCUCCCCUAUCUCACCAUCUGUUUAGUAGCUUCCUCUCAAGGUUAAUCUAUUUCAUGUUACAGACUGAAUACCAAGAGGUUACUCAGCAGAUGCAUUGUCUGAAGAAAGAAUUUGCCAUCCUUUUGCUAGCCUCUGGAGCUAGACUAAAGAGUAGAAUAACGGAAUGGGAAGGUACCCCAGGGGUAACCCAACCCAACCCUCUGCAAAGCAGGAAUCACAGCUCACGAAUAACAUUAUCGCCCUGUGCCAAUGCAAAUGUAAAAGAGUGUAUUCACCCAUCUCGUUGACCGGAGGAAAUGGUUCAAAGGUGACCUUUGCUUAUUUACAAAGGUCCCUUAACAUGCACCACGGUAUCAAAGGACCAUCUUAUAACCUUCCGAUGAGGCAUAUGGCUUCACGCUGAAUGAGAGAGGCAUGGAAUAACCCCCAAAGUUGGUCCAUUGAAAUUCAAUAAGGCACAGUGAUGGUUGUUUCUGUUAGUAUUUCAUGCAUCCGAGGCUGCAGAUGUGACUGGUGUAAUUCACAUGCCUGUCUGGGAGGACUAUGGGAACGGAAGACAGCCUUAUCUCUCGUCCGUUGUCUGUACUGUUGGACUGUUCUUUUGCUUUGACUUCGUUCUGUUUUCUCUCGGACCUGAUGAGAGAGGACGCCAUGAUGCUUUUUCUGUACAGAGUGAGUAAAUAAAUACGUAGAUUAGCUUUAUGGUGUCUCACGCUUCUCGCUGUGUAAUGCUAGAAGUUUAGUGUGCAUAUAUCAUUUAAUGAAUGUCGCUGAGCGCACUGGAGAAGAAGGGAAGCGCAUACCGGAGGACGCUCAAACAGCGGGAGCUGCAGGAGCACCGCAGGGCAUUUUCCAACAGUUUCACCCCCUUGUUUCAAAGGGUGCAUUCACACAUAUCACUACACCGAACCAUGACUUCACACAAAUAUAUUAGUGCAUCAGCUCUUGUGUGUGUGGGGGAGAGAUUGCAGCUACUUUGCUCCUCACCUCAUCCUUUUAUAAUAAUAAUAAUAAUAAUAGUAAUAAUUUAUUUAUAUUCCGCCCUCCCCAGCCGAAGCUGGGCUCAGAGCGGCUAACAACAAUGAAAGUAACACAAUUUACAUAAAAUCACAAUCAAGUAAUUGAAUUGCAUUCUAAAAUCAACUCAUUCUAAAAUCAAUUCAAAAUCAAAUUAAUGGCAACCACUGGGCUAGAGUUCUGUGAGGAUUACCAAAGGAAGGGGUCAGGCUGUGCCUUGGCCAAAGGCCUGGUGGAACAGCUCUGUCUUGCAGGCCCUGCGGAAAGAUGUCAAGUCCCAUAGGGCCCUAGUCUCUGGUGACAGAGCAUUCCACCAAAUCGGAGCCACAGCCGAUAAAGCCCUGGCUCUGGUUAAGGCCAGCCUAAGUUCCCUGUGGCCCGGGACCUCCAAGAUCGUUUUGUUUAAAGACCGUAAGGUCCUCCGUGGGACAUACCAGGAGAGGCGGUCCCGUAGGUACGAGGGUCCUAGGCCGUAUAGGGCUUUAAAGGUUAAAACCAGCAUCUUAAACCUGAUCCUGUACUCCACCAGGAGCCAGUGCAGCUGGUAUAGCACCAGGUGAAUGUGAUCCCGCGGUGAGGACCCUGUAAGGAGUCUCACCUCAGCAUUCUGCCAUUGCAGCUAAGUCAAGAUUUGGCUUGAUGUGCCAUGCAAACAUAGACUCCUAGUUGAGGUCUCUCCUCCUUAGCCACAAGCUGUAGUCCUAGUUUGUUUUUGUCUGUAAUUUGUGUUUGAGGAGGACGGAGCUUAACCACGAUCCCAGGUUUGGAUGAUGCAUUAAGCCAAACUUUGCUUUAGCUGCUGCACUAGGCUGAAAGGACUGGGGACGAGCAACACAGACAUGAGCUCCUCUCUGGAAGUCGGCACAUUUGCACGGUCCUGAUAAGCCAUAGUUUGACUUACAGUCAGGCCAGACUUUCUUCAUUCACUGAAUGCAGGUUAGGACCUUGGCUUCUUUGGACAUGAAAAAUGAUAAUAGGAUUGAUUCUUAGAAACAUUUUGCAGGCUUGCCCAAGACACACUGUGGAUACCAGAAUGCACAAAGCACACCAGAUGUUCCCUUAUGCUGCUGCUUUAUGAAAUGCUGAUGGGGCCUCAUGAAUUUUCAGUCACGGCUCUUUUUGAAUGGUGGCAAUUACUUUUCAACAGAUUGAUUUUUCGUUGUGUUGCUGCAAAACUAUGCUGAAUUCCCUUCGUUUUUAUUUUUUUAGUUCUGGCUUUUUAGAUGGGUUUGUCAAUUGCGGUAAUAGAAUGAGGAAGUAAGAAUGAAAGGGGAUAAUUCAAUUUAUUUGCUCGAUUUAUUUUUUAAAGAAAUUCAAACACAUAUAGAAUAUCAGGUGAUGUUUCCUGAAAAGCACUGCAGAAAGGAUUAUGGCAGCAUGAAAUUUGAGAAUAACUUUUAGUCUACCAGGAAUGAGGGUUUUCUGUAAUUUUAACAUCUGUGUAUCUCAUGUACUCUGUGCGUGUGUGCGCGCGCGCGCUAUUUUCCUAGGAAAAAGGGUGCCAGAACUCACCAUGGAACUCCUCCUUUGUUCUCUUACAAUGGCAAUGGCGCUCACCUGAGAGGUUCCAAAACUGAGUUCCGGUGAGUUCUGGCUGGAAAAAAAAGCCUUGGGGUGUGUCAUUUAUUGUUCUUUAUUACUUCCUCCCAAAGGAGCCUGUUGAUGUUGCAGCUGCUGUUGCUGUUCCAUAGGAGACUCCCUUUUGUUCUUGACUAGCAAGGAAAAUUAUGUAUGGAACUUGCACCAAUAAUUUAUGGUAUUCACAAGAUUUGGUGAUGGUCACUGCCUUCUUGUUGUUGUUGUUUAGUCGUUAAGUCAUGUCCGACUCUUCGUGACCCGAUGGACCAGAGCACACCAGGCACUCCUGUCUUCCACUGCCUCCCGCAGUUUGGUCAAACUGCCUCCCAGCCACUCUAAAUCUGGUGCAAUAAAGAAUGGGCAACUUGAUAUACUUUUAUUGAUGCUGUUAGACAAAAGGGUGAGAGGAGGAACCCAUCAAAGACUGAUGGAAAACUGCAGAAAGAUAUAUUUGAUUAAUAGGAAUCUAAUAAUUCUCAGUAAUAUGAAUGAGUGUUAAGCUUUUUAUUAAUGUGUUUUGGUGAUAGAUUUCAAUGUUAUCAUUGCUUGUGGUCCACUCUGAUGUUUUGUUUGUGUGUAUGAGAGAUAGAAUGAAAGAUUGAAUUUGGAGUCAUUUUCAUGCAAGGUAUUUGUUCUACCACUGAACUGUUGUUGUUUAGUUGUUUAGUCAUGUCCGACUCUUCAUGACCCCAUGGACCAGAGCACGCCAGGCACUCCUGUCUUCCACUGCAUCCCGCAGUUUGGUCAGACUCAUGUUUGUGGCUUCGAGAACACUGUCCAACCAUCUCGUCCUCUGUCGUCCCCUUCUCCUUGUGCCCUCCAUCUUUCCCAACAUCAGGGUCUUUUCCAGGGAGUCUUCUCUUCUCAUGAGGUGGCCAAAGUAUUGGAGCCUCAGCUUCACAAUCUGUCCUUCCAGUGAGCACUCAGGGCUGAUUUCCUGCAGAAUGGAUAGGUUUGAUCUUCUUGCAGUCCAUGGGACUCUGAAGAGUCUCCUCCAGCACCAUAAUUCAAAAGCAUCCAUUCUUCAGCGAUCAGCCUUCUUUAUGGUCCAGCUCUCACUUCCAUACAUCACUACUGGGAAAACCAUAGCUUUAACUAUUCGGACCUUUGUUGGCAAGGUGAUGUCUCUGCUUUUUAAGAUGCUGUCUAGGUUUGUCACUGCCUUAGAUGACUUUUAAAAAAGUAUCAUUCUGGUCCCCCUAUGACAAUGAUCUGAAAUAUAGUUGUCAAAGUAAUCAAAGCUAGCAGAAGAUUUGGGCCUGGCACCUAAGGUCAGAAAAGUGGAAAUCUGCCCAAAGACCUGCUCUGACCAUAAUGCAGUAAAGAUGGAUAUGACACUACUACCAACUGGAUCCUUUAGAUGGAAGAUGAAUGACAAUUUGUUUAGAGAUCAGGAAAUUACCAAGAAGGCCCAAAAAGUUUUGAAGGACUAUUUUGAGAUAAACAUGAACAAUUCGGUGGAAAAGAAUCGUCUGGGACGCAAGCAAAGCUGUAAUGAGGGGAUUCUUGAUACAACAGAAUGUAGUAAAGAAAAGAACACAAAAUGAGAAAAAGAUAAGAUCUUGGACAAAAUAAAAGAAUUAGAGAAGAAAUUAAGAGUGAACCCAAAGUCACAGCCAACUCUGAGAGAAAUUAAGCUUUAUCAAACACAAUAUUCUAAAUUGAUAAAUCAGGAAAUUGAAUGGAAGGUUAAAUUAAUGAAACAAAAAACGUUCGAGUCGGCGAAUAAAUGUGGAAAACUGCUAGCUUGGCAGUUGAAGAGAAGACAAAGAUUAAACACGGUUACAAACUUAGAGGUUGAUGGAAAAAAACAUUCAGAAUCCAGUGGAUAUUAGAAAGUGUUUCCAGAGAUAUUUCAAAAAUUAUACACCCAAGGGCCGCAAGACGAAGUGGAGAUUAAACAAUUUUUGCCAAAAAUGGACUAUCUAAAUUGUCACAAGAAAAUAGGACAAUUCUGAAUUCUAAAAUAACACGACAGGAGAUUGAACAAGCCAUUCAGAACAUGCAACUUGGCAAAUCUCCAGGGCCAGAUGGGCUGACCUCCAAGUAUUACAAGACAUUAAAAGACUAUUUGAUACAACCUUUGAUGGAGGUCAGCAAUGAAAUUAUGGAGGGGAAGAGGGCACCGGAUUCGUGGAAGGAAGCGUUUAUCACAUUAAUACCAAAGUCGGAAGCUGAAAAGACACAACUUAAGAACUACCGCCCCAUCUCCCUUUUAAAUGUGGAUUACAAAAUAUUUGCAGAUAUUUUGGCAAGUAGAUUUCAAAAGUCUUAAAUGAAGUAAUUCAUAAGGACCAGGCCGGUUUUCUCCCAGGUAGACAUCUGUUUGCUAAUACAAGGAACAUUAUUGACAUUUUGGAACUUCUGCAAACAGAUAUAAAUACAAAAGCAGUUUUAAUUUUCAUAGAUGCGGAGAAGGCCUUUGACAAUAUCUCCUGGAAAUUUAUGAUGGGAAAUUUAAAAGAGAUGGGAGUGGGACGGGGUUUUGAGAAUGGGAUUGAGGCGAUAUAUUCAGAACAGAAAGCUAAACUGAUAGUUAAUAAUGUGGUCACAGAAGAGUUCAAAAUUGAAAAAGGGACACGACAAGGUUGCCCUAUCUCCCCUUUGUUAUUCAUUUCGGUUCUGGAAGUGCUAUUGAACAUGAUUAGAGGGGAUCGGUUGGUGGAAGGAAUUCAGGUCGGUCAGAAACAAUAUAAACUAAAAGCUUUUGCAGAUGACCUGGUUUUGACCCUGCAGAAGCCAGAGCCCAGUACGAAAAGAGUAUUACAAUUGAUUAAUGAUUUUGGUCGGGUGGCUGGAUUUAAAUUAAAUAAACAGAAAACUAAGGUUUUGGGGAAAAAUUUGACUGAUACAGAGUCAGAACGGUUUCAGAAUGAGACGGAACUCAAUGUGGUUAAAAAAGUAAAAUACCUAGGGGUAAACAUAACAGCAAAAAUCUAAGUCUAUUUAAGGACAAUUAUGAAAAAUGCUGGACAGAAAUUAAAAGAGACUUAGAUAGUUGGUCAAAAUUGAAACUUUCUUUGUUAGGCCGAAUUGCUGCUAUUAAGAUGAAUGUAUUGCCAAGGAUGUUGUUUUUAUUUCAGACACUUCAGGUUUUGGACAAAAUGGAGUGCUUUCAGAAGUGGCAGAGAGACAUUUCUAAGUUUGUCUGGCAGGGCAAAAGCCCAGAAUUAAGUUUAAGAUAUUAACUGAUGCAAAACAAAGAGGGGCUUUGCCCUGCCAGACUUAAAGUUGUAUUAUGAAGCCGCAGCGUUCUGCUGGCUAAAAGACUGGCUACUUCUUGAAGACACUGAUGUGUUAGAUCUGGAAGGGUUUAACAAUGUUUUUGGAUGGCAUGCAUAUUUAUGGUAUGACAAAGUUAAAGCAAAUAAGGCCUUCAAGAACCAUAUUGUCAGAAAAUCACUGUUUAAUGUCUGGACAAAAUAUAAAGACUUGCUGGAAAAUAAAACACCAAGGUGGCUUUCACCUUUGGAAGCUAAGGCCCGAAAAAAGACCCAAUAUGGAGGCUAAAUGGCCAAAAUAUUGGGAAAUAUUAGAAAAGGAUGGAGACAAUUGGAAAUUGCAGAGUUUGGAGAAAAUGAAAGACAAAGUGCGAGAUUGGUUACAUUACGCUCAGAUUAAAGAAGUUUUUAAAAAUGAUAAGAAAUUAGGGUUCCAGGUGGAGAAAUCGAAACUAGAAACAGAAUUGUUAGAACCAAAGAUUAAGGUACUUUCAAGGAUGUAUAACUUGCUGUUGGAAUGGAAUACACAAGAUGAAACGGUUAAAUCGGCUAUGAUAAGGUGGGCACAGGACAUUGGGUAUAAUAUUAUGUUUGAGGAUUGGGAAAGGUUGUGGAGUAAUGGAUUGAAGUUUACUGCAUGUAACGCUCUGAAAGAAAAUGUAAUGAAAAUGAUUUAUAGAUGGUAUAUGACCCCAGUCAAACUUGCAAAAAUUUACCACCUGUCUGAUAAUAAGUGUUGGAAAUGUAAAGAGUCUGAGGGAACGUUCUUCCACCUCUGGUGGACUUGCCCUAAAGUGAAGGCGUUCUGGGAGAUGAUUUAUAACGAAUUGAAAAAGGUAUUUAAAUAUACCUUCACUAAGAAACCAGAGGCUUUCCUUUUGGGUAUUGUCGGCCAAGGGGUGGCAAGGAAGGAUCAGACAUUUUUAUGUAUGCAACAACAGCAGCAAGGAUACUUCUUGCAAAACAUUGGAAAACUCAAGAUCUACCCACACUGGAAGAAUGGCAGAUGCAACUGAUAGACUACAUGGAACUGGCUGAAAUGACCGGCAGAAUCCGUGACCUGGGAGAAGAAAGGAUUGAGGAGGAUUGGAAGAAAUUCAAGAACUAUUUACAAAAAUAUUGCAAUUUGAGUGAAUGCUAAACAAGAUGCUAGACCAAAAUAACUGAGCACCACUAAAUUUAGAAGUUUUCUAUGAAAAUAAGUAAGACUGUGAAAAUUUAAUUCCCUUUGAAAAUUAUAAGAUUAUGAAAUAUAGAAGCGAUAUAAGAAUUUAAAUAAGAUGAUAAAUUGCUGACAAAAUGUUAUAACGAUGAAAGUGGGAGCGGGAGAUGUGAGGAAGUCCAAAGAAAAUGUGAAAUUAUGUCAAGACAAAGGUCAUAUUGUUUAAUAUGUUUAUUUUUAUUGUAAAACCCAAUAAAUUGCUUUAAAAAAAAAAAAAACAAAGCUAGCAGAAGAUUUGGUAUAUAUUAUCUUCUGUGACAGCCUUCUUCUUUACAACCAUUUAAUGGUUCUCAUAAUAUGGGAUAAAUUGGGCUGCCCAAAUUGCAAGUCAGGUUGUGUGAGUGUUUCUUCUUCCACUUGUACAAUUGAGCCAGUGACUUUUCUCCUCUAUUUUAAAUGUUCAGCAAUGGUUGGGGGUGUUUAAGGCUUCCUGUAGUAGGAACAUGUUGCCAUAGACACAUCUUUUUCUAAGCAUUUAAGCAACACUUUAUUGAGUAAUAUCCAAGUAAAAAAUUGAAUGGGUAUUUUACAGCAACCUAAAAUCAUUACAUGGUAAUAAGGUAAUUAUAGGGAAUCAAAAUUUUUGACUUUCAGGGAAGAAUUGGUUGUGAUUUUGAAAUAUUUGCCCCAUUAUGGGUGCAGAUGAGGCACAAUAGCUAUGAUUUCUUAUUUUCAUGCAAAGUGUACCUGAUUAGCAAGAAACUAUUCAAUAUUACUCCUAAACUUGGUCUAUACAGUUAGUCACAAUGAUAGAAUUUCUGGUUGAUGGCUGCAGUGCCAAAUCCAUUUAUCUGAGGAGGAGGGGAGCAAAGAACUUUGAGUCAGUAUCAUGCAAGGGGAAAAAACACACAAAUUGAAUAUUAAGUUAAAUCAUUGCUGCCACAAGAUACAGUGAGGGCCACCAAUUUAGAUGGCUUUAAAAGAGAAUCAGAAAAAUUCGUGGAGGACAGCACUGUUGAUGGCUGUUACGGUAGUUAUGGUGGCUACUGCUUCCAGCAACAGAAGCAACAUGUUCUCGAAUACAGUCGUACCUUGGAAGUCGAACGAAAUCCAUUCUGGAAAUCCGUUUGACUUCCAAAACGUUCUAAAACUAAAGCGCGGCUUCUGAUUGGCUGCAGGAAGCUCCUGCUGCCAAUCAGAAGCUGCGGAAGGCCUGUCAGACGUUUGGCUUCCAAAAAUAGUUUGCACACCGGAACAGUCACUUCUGGGUUUGCGACGUUUGGGAGCCAAAAUGUUCGAGUUACAAGGCGUUCAAAAACCAAGGUAUGACUGUACCAGUUUCUGGAAGUCCCAGGUAGGGAAACUGCUGUUGCAUUCAGGUCCUGUUUGAGAGUUUUGCAGUUUAAGAAGAGGGUCUAGAUGAGAUGGGGUCUGUGGUCUGAUCCUGCAGUACGGCCCUUCUUACGUUCUUAAGACUUAUAGAAGGCAAACUGUAUACAUUCAUUUUCCUUUCCUUCGAGACAAAUUCCCAGGAAAGCAUACACCAGACAGAUCAAAAUACCCUUAAAAAAACAACCUUAAAAACCAAAAGAAAACCUCCCACAAAUUUUUGCUUCCUACAUUCCUUUCAAGGAAUUCAAGACAACCCCACAAUUGCAUUUUGCCCUCACAACAACCCUUUGAAGUAGGUUAGUCUGAGAGACAACAACUGACCCAAAGUGUGAGUGUCAUGGGUUGUUGUUGUUUUUUAAAUUGAAAACCACCCCCUGCAAGCAGAAAGUUAGCCCAUUGAGUUUGUCCUGCUUUUCAGUCCAGAGGGAGGUUCUUUUUUAAAAUGCAAUAGAAUGUUAGAAAUGGUAUUUCCCACCUGCUGUCUGAAGAGGUACAAUCAAUUCAACCACCUCGUUUUACUACAGGCCUUGAUCUGUUGAUGAGGCACCAACGAUGAAGCCACACAAAUUAUCCUGUCCCUUUCCUUAUUCUUGUAAGAAUCAUCCCAGCAGGACAGAAGACUAACUCCGGGGCAGCGUAUCAUCAAAUCUUGUGGCUCCUGAUCAGGUCAGGUAAAAAGCAACAACAGUUCUUGCCAGAAAUGUUUAUUUUUGUUGUUGCUUAUUUUGGUCUCUUGUGACGCAGGGCCCUGGGGGAAAAAAAGGCUGACAUUGCUGCCUGCAAUCUCCCUUUCUUCUCUGUGCAUGGAGCAAACAUCCUGAUGGUUUAUCCCCUUCCCUCCCUUUUUUCUUUUUAAAGGAAUGAAUCAUUGUGGCGGAUCCUCCCCUCUCCUACACUGCAAAGGGAAUGCUAACUUUUUAAAUACUCCAGCCAGCUUUGAGCUGUUAGCAGGUGUCUGUGGCCUUUCACAGAUUUCAAGCGACAGCAAAACAUUGUGGGCAAGCGGCCUUUUGAAAUUCGCCACCCUAUUUGUGGGUGGGGAAAUCCCACCAACUUUUUCCAUGGGGAGGAGAAAUGCAACAGUUCAUUUCCCUUUCUCCAAGGCUUAUAUUGCAUUUGGCUGCUGUUGCAAGUGCAGCUGCAGUAGGAACUGCGCUGAAAGCCUGGCAGCCAUAACACUUCCAUAUCAUUGAGUGGAGGCUCAAUGGAGGGCAUAGAAUAAGUGUAGAAUUGGAAAGAUCCCAAAGGAUCACCUAGUCCAACCCAUACAUUAUAUCUAGUCCAAUACUAUAUGUAUUGAACUAUACCUAGGGACGUGGGUGGCUCUGUGGGUUAAACCACAGAGCCUAGGGCUUGCCAAUCGGAAGGUCGGCGGUUCGAAUCCCCGCGAUGAAGUGAGCUCCCGUUGCUUGGUCCCAGCUCCUGGCCACCUAGCAGUUCGAAAGCACGUCAAAGUGCAAGUAGAUAAAUAGGGACAGCUCCAGCGGGAAGGUAAACGGCGUUUCCGUGCGCUGCUCUGGUUCACCAGAAGCAGCUUAGUCAUGCUGGCCACAUGACCCAGAAGCUGUAUGCCGGCUCCCUCAGCCAAUAAAGCGAGAUGAGCACCGCAACCCCAGAGUCGGUCACGACUGGACCUAAUGGUCAGGGGUCCCUUUACCUUUAUACCUAGUCCCACUAUUGUGUAUUGAAAUUUGCAUUUUUUGCAGUGCAGUUUCCUAUCCAGGUAACCUGCACAAAAAUGCACACAAGAAGGAAAAACACGCGUCAAAUGCAAACAUUGGUGAAAGUUGCAUAUAAAAAUGCAUUAUUUUAGAGGAAGUUGCUUGCAAAAAAAGAAAAGGUGCAUAUGAAAUCAGGCCACUGGUUCAUGUCGCUCAGUACUGUCUGCUUUGAGUGGCAGCUGCUCUGCAUGGUUUCAGGCAGAGGUCCCUCCUAGCCCAACCUGGGAAUGCUGGGAUCGGACCGAGGAUCUUCUGCAGACAGAGGGGAUGCUCUGUCACUGAACUACAGCCCUUCUCCCCGGAGAGGAGUGAGCUGUGAAUUCCUAGGUUCAAGUCUCACCUCACUCACGGAACUUUUUGGUGACAGAUGAGCCAUUGACCUCAGGCUUCCAUCUGCAAAAUGGGAACAAUAACAGGUUUGUGGUACGGAUUACUAAGAUAAUGCCUAUGAAUCACUUGGAACACUCAAAAGUGUCAUAUAAAUGUUUCUCCCUCUGCCUGUUAUUGUACUGCAGCAGUGUGGGUGCCUUUUCACAUGGCAAACUUAAUUUCUGUGGAACAAUUUUCCAUCUGGUUCCACUGAUUUCAGCCACACCGUUGUAAACUUCUUACACACCCACACACAACACACUCUCUCACUGACAAUUCUGUUUUGUUUCACUCAUUUUAAAACACACCAUGCGCUGAGCAUCCUGAUAUAGGCAUGCUAGCGAGGCCUGGAUUCAUUUUAUUAUAGUGUUGAUUUUUUGUUUUUUAUUUAAAAGCCCAUAUCCCAGCCUCAUGUUUUGACUGUUAUGAGAAGUGGACAUGCUAUCAUUUCCCUGGUUCUUGGCGUGAAAACAUAACCCCACUACAUAGCGCUGAAGCAUCUCCAUUAGUUACCAUGGAGACACAAUUUCACUAAGAGGAAUUACGUACAUUAACAACAGCUUUUGUUUCAGUGGCGGAAGAAUCAGAGAUCCUAAGUGUGUCUAUUCAGAGGUAAAGCCCACUGAGCAGAGUGGAACCUUUUGCCAGGCAAGUGUACAUGGUGGUGAUGGCCAAUAGCCAGAUGUUCAUUUAUAUAGUAAAUUUAUGUAUAAAAUUUGUAUCCAACUCUUCCUCGCAAAGGAGCCCAGGGUGACAAACAUCAGAAAGUUAAAACAAAGUAACAUAUUUAAAACAAUUUAGAAACCAACUAAAAACAACCCAAAGCAAUUUUUAAAAAACUAUCUAAACACCUAAAAGGGACGCGGGUGGUGCUGUGGGUUAAACCACAGAGCCUAGGACUUGCCAAUCAGAAGGUUGGCGGUUCGAAUCCCUGCGACGGGGUGAGCUCCCGUCGCUCGGUCCCUGCUCCUGCCAACCUAGCAGUUCGAAAGCACGUCAAAGUGCAAGUAGAUAAAUAGGUACCGCUCUGGCAGGAAGGUAAACGCCAUUUCCGUGCGCUGUUCUGGUUCGCCAGAAGCGGCUUAGUCAUGCUGGCCACAUGACCUGGAAGCUGUACGCUGGCUCCCUCGGCCAAUAAAGCGAGAUGAGCGCCACAACCCCAGAGUCAGCCACGACUAGACCUAAUGGUCAGGGGUCCCUUUACCUUUACCUUUAAACACCUAAAAGCAUUAAAAAAGCAAACACACCGUUGCCAAUCUGAAGGGUGCCAUGGCCAGUCUCUUUCAACCAUCAAAUGCUUGGGUGAACAGGGAUGUUUUUACCAAAAUUUCUCCUGAAAGUCAGUAAUGAUUGGGAGAGAUGCACCACAUCAAGGAAGGCAUUCCACCAACAGUGAACCACUACCAAGAAGGCCCUGUCAUGGGUCAAUGGCAAUUGGGCAGCAGCUGGAAGCAGCACUUUCCUGGUUGCCUUACAUUUGCCACAGUCAGGGAUGAUGGAAGUAGGUGUCCCCAAGAUCUGGAGGUUCAGAACCAUGCUGGCUACAUGGGAAAAGCAUCUGUUCCUCCAGCGCAGCCACCUCCCUCCACUAGUGCAAUUGCAGUAUAGGAUUGCUCUGUUAAGCCCCUGCUUUAUCUCUCCCAUUGAAAUCAAGGCGUCUGGAAAGCACUUAAUUUAGUGAGGAUCACACCCAGCAUGUACUGUCCUGCAUUGAAUUGAAGAGCCAGAGUGGGGGGUGGGGGGUAGGGGGGAGCGAUCACUAAUGAAAUAAUACAUAGGUGACUAAAAUCUCCUGGUUUAUUCUACGGACAUAAAACACUACAGAUUUAUCCUGCCCAUCCGCAGCUCCUCUGGAAAUUGGCAAAAAAAUAACUACCGAUGUCAAGACUUUAUGUGGCUCAAUAAAAUGAUUGUGAAUUAACAAGUCGUUCCCUCGCUUUAUGGACUGUAGAUCUGAGGCAGACCCCUUAAAAAGUGUAAGAUCCAUAUUUCCAUAGUAACAAAAGCAACAGCCUGCUCACAUUCUUAUGCACCAGUACUUACAAUUACAUAACAAGAUCUCUUCCAUUCUUUCUGAAAGAUUAAUUAGGGUGUUGGUUCUUGUCCUCCCUCACCCCACCUGCACCCCCUUGCAAUGGGGGUUUAUUUUAUCAAGGGAAGGGGAGAAUAAAGUUUUCUGAAAGCUUGCCAGCAAAUUGACUUCCCCCCGCUUUUGGUAAAGAGUGGCUGGGAGAAAGCUUUUACACCCCACAGACUGAAUAUUUUAGUCUUUCUGAAAUUGCUUGGAGAACCUGGACAGUUCUCCUCCACCCCACUUCUCUGUAACAACAGAAAAUACACUAAUAAUCCAUUUUAAUAUAUGAAUGUAAGUGCACAGGUUCAGAGAGGGCUUAUGGUUCCCUAGGCAUGCCCUGAGCUCUUCCAGAGUUCAUCUCCACACAUACUUCUACAUGCUUUAUGUGCUGGCACAUUCUUUGAACUCCUGAGAACCUCUUGGUGUGAAGCAACUGUGAAGAGGAGGGUGGCGGGAGAUUAUUACUUUCAUGACCUGAUUGUCUGGGCUUCCUAGUGGCAUCUGCUUUCCUACUCUGUGAAAGAGGAUGGGAAUUUUGCUCUGAUCUAGAAGGGGUCAAAGUUAAACUUUAGUCUCAGAAUCAUAGGCCCUCAGAGUUGGAAGGGACCAUGAGGGUCAUCUAGGCCAACUCCCUGCAAUGCAGGAAUAUUUUUGCCCAACAUGGGGCUCAAACCCACAACCCCGAGAUUAAGAGCCUCCAGACAGCAUCUUAAAAAGCAGAGACAUCACCUUGCCAACAAAGGUCCAUAUAGUUAAAGCUAUGGUUGUCCCAGUAGUGAUGUGUGGAAGUGAGAGCUGGACCAUAAAGAAGGCUGAUCGCCGAAGAAUGGAUGCUUUUGAAUUCUGUUGCUGGAGGAGACUCUUGAGAGUCCCAUGGACUGCAAGAAGACCAAACCAAUCCAUUCUUAAGGAAAUCAGCCCUGAGUGCUCACUGGAAGGACAGAUCCUGAAGCUGAGGCUCUAAUACUUUGGCCUCCUCAUGAGAAGAGAAGACUCCCGGGAAAAGACCCUGAUGCUGGGAAAGAUUGAGGGCACAAGGAGAAGGGGACAACAGAGGACGAGAUGGUUGGACAGUGUUCUUGAAGCUACCAGCAUGAGUUUGACCAAACUGCGGGAGGCAGUGGAAGACAGGAGUGCCUGGCAUGCUCUGGUCCAUGGGGUCACGAAGAGUCGGACAGGACUAAACAACUAAACAACAACAAGAAGCUCUACCAAGUGAGCUACACUGCCACCCCAAGACUGGUCCAGUGAGCUAAUUUCCUAGAGAGGAAGCAUCCAGAACCAGUGACGUACUGGAAAGCAUGUCAGACUAGGACCGGGGAGACCAGAGUUCUAAUCCCUAUGGCACCAUGAAGAUCACACAUCUUGGGCUGUCUCUCAGCCUGACCUACCUCUCAGGGUGGUUGUGAGGAUCAAAUGGGGAGGAGGAGAAUCUUGUAUGCCACUUUCAGGUCCUUGGAGGAAAGAUGGGAUAUAAAUAGAAUAAAUAAGUACGCAAGCAAGCAAGCAAGCAAGCAAGCAAGCAAGCAAGCAAGCAAGUCAGAUUAACUUCUGCACGAAAAAGAGUUUCUUGAAUCAAACCAAGCUGCAAAUCUGGGCUUUUAAGAGGCAGAAACAAUUUAGUGAAUCUCUCCCCCCCCCCCAUUCUUUCUCUCCUGCUUUAUUUAGUUGUGAAUCUUGUGCCUGAGUGGUCUUAUCACAUUGUAGUUCUGAAAUGCUGCCCGCAAAGACUCAAUUCAUAAAGAAUACAUACAUUUUAAAUUGAGAAGAAAUUGCUUCUAAGGAAAUUGCAUGCCUUUUACUCCAAAUAUCCCAUCAAACGCUUCCCCCUUCCCACAUCACAAAGAAUACAAACCAUUUAAAGAGCAACAUGAUCCAGAAAUGGGUGUUAAGUGCUUGACAGAGGAAUGCAGUAUUUACUGUAUUCAGAAAGGGGUGAGAGUUGAAGGAAAGAAAACAUAAAGAAGACAAGCUGCAAAAAGGUUGGCAUUCAUUAUUUGCUGGUCUUCAAAAAUGCAACAGCGGGUGGGGAGAUGGAUUUGCCAUAGCAACCUUUGCAUUAUAAUGAUAGCAUGUCAGCGACGCCUCUGUAUAUCACAACAGAUAGAAGAUGUGUAAAUAAUUUAUCCAGCCGGCCUCUGUUAAAAUUCAAGAUCAACUAAGUUCACAACAUGUUCCAAAUACUUUGGCCAUUGUGGUUUCCAUUGCUUCCUUCACAGUUUGCAGAGGUGGGGGUGGGAAAACCUCUUAGUCUAAUCCACAACUAGGUUAAGACUGCAAAAUUAUAUACAGUUACUCUGUUAAUUUCAUGGAACUCGACGGGUCUUUUUUCUGGGUAGAGAUGUAUAGUAUUUUGCUGCAAAUUGCAAUAUAUGGAUUGAAGCCCUUUUUGCGCUAGAAACAAGUAGGGAUGGGGAGAUAAAUUAAGUUUGGUUUUCAUUUUAAUAUGAACUUGCCCAAUAUGCACUUCUUGAAACAGUAUGCAAAUUGAAACACUGUGAUCUUUCAAAAUACACACUUCUUUGAAUUUUGCAAUUUUUCUCCAACCCAGCAAUAUGUACAAUAAUGUGCAUCCUGGAGGAAAGUGUGCGUAACAAUAGAUGCAUUAGUGAAAAUAACAUACAAAUGUGCAUUUUCAUAGGGAAGAUGCAUGAAAAAAUGAGUAUAUUACAGAAAGUUGCAUACAAAAAUGUGUAUAUUGGGAGAAAUUUGUGUUAACUUGCUGAUGAAUUUUCAUGAGGGGUCCCCCCCCCACUUGCAAGCUAAUGCAGAAAUGUGGACAACUGAACUGAAAAGACUGGAUAAACCAGAAACAGAGACAAACUGAAACAGAUCAGUUCAUCCAUCUCUAGUGACCAGUAAAGUAGGAGAAAAGAAUCUAUGUCCAGAGCAGCCUUAGGUUAGCAGAGCCCUCCUGCUCCUUUAUAUGUUGUGUCGAAUUCUCAGUUGCUACCCGAUAUGCAUAGAGCUCCCAUCCUGAACUUAUGUAUGGUCCCAUUUCCUGUCUUUCAAAUUCCUCCUCAAAACAUAUCUUUUGUUUGAUGUGUUCUACAAGCUAUGGCUUUGGUCCUCAUUCCCGACUAUAAAAGGUAAAGGGACCCCUGACCAUUAGGUCCAGUCGUGACCGACUCUGGGGUUGUGGCGCUCAUCUCGCUUUAUUGGCUGAGGGAGCCGGCGUACAGCUUCCGGGUCAUGUGGCCAGCAUGACUAAGCCGCUUCUGGAGAACCAGAGCAGCGCACGGAAACGCCGUUUACCUUCCCGCCGGAGCGGUACCUAUUUAUCUACUUGUACUUGACGUGCUUUCGAACUGCUAGGUUGGCAGGAGCUGGGACAGAGCAAUGGGAGCUCACCCCGUCGCGGGGAUUCGAACUGCCAACCUUCUGAUCGGCAAGUCCUAGGCUCUGUGGUUUAACCCACAGCACCACCCACGUCCCUUAUUCCCAACUAUAGCAAAGCUCUAAAUACAUGGAGUUGCAUUUUCCUUCCUUCCUUCCUUCUUUCCUUCCUUCCUUCCUUCCUUCCUUCCUUCCUUCCCUUCCCUUCCCUUCCCUUCCCUUCCCUUCCCUUCCCUUCUUUCUCUGUCUUAGAUUAUCUAGUUAGGGUUUGGGGACCUAUUUUACCAGUGUAACUCUGUACUUGUGUGUAGAAGAAGAGAAAGACUAGCACCAUACAACACACAACAAUUUCUCAGCAGAGCCACCUCAAAAACCCCAUCAUCCCUGGCCAUUGGUUAUGCUGACUGAUGUGCUUGGGAUGAUGACAUGCUCUGAAAUGGGUAAAACACCCAUGUAUUGAGCUUGUCACUUGUGAUGAACUACCUAUUCAGGCAACAGCAUGCAUGGAGAGUUGUCCCCAGAUGAGCCUAGAUGUUAUUCAAGAAGCACUGAAAAUAUUACAGAAGGCAGCAAUAGAAUCUGAAAACAUGUUGAGGUUGUUCAUUAUGAUCUGGUCCAUGCAUAAACCUGCCCCGCAAAUGCAGGCUGAAGGAGACCAGUUAUUGAGAUUGUUUCCAUUUGGACCAUUUCUUAUUCAAGUGGGAUAUUUUGGUUCACGAACAUCCUGCUGCUCCCCCUGAAAGGGGCAGAGUGCGAGUGUUCACAGAGAACACUGAGUUUUUUUUAAGUGUUUAGCAGAAGCAGCCUAAGGCAGUUGCCUCACUCUGCUGAAUGGUAGCGCCGGCCUUGCAUACUCCUCUGGAAAUGUUAGAAGUGCAACUAAUUAUUGCUGUAUUUCCUGCUUCCAUGGAAGCUGUUGUCUUCCACCACCAUUUGGAAAUUUUGUAGGUGUUGCCUUGAGUAGAGUAUGUUUCUUUUUUGAAGUUACAUUUUGGUAACAAAUCAGUACAGUGGUAGCUCGGGUUAAGAACUUAAUUCGUUCAGGAGGUCCGUUCUUAACCUGAAACUGUUCUUAACCUGAGGUACCACUUUAGCUAAUGGGGCCUCCCACUGCCGCCGCACGAUUUCUGUUCUCAUCCUGAAGCAAAGUUCUUAACCCGAGGUACUAUUUCUGGGUUAGCGAGGUCUGUAACCUAAAGCGUCUGUAACCUGAGGUACCACUGUAUUGUGGUCCCUAUCUCCAUCCUCUCACAACGAGCCUGUAGGCUGAGAUUAAGUGAUGGGCCAAGCUGACCCAGUGAGCAAGGAUUUGUGGAUCUCUCUGAUGAAAGUUCAAUACUUCUAAACAUGACCUUGCCUUAGUUCUGACUACGCUCAGUAUUCCUAUGACAUAGACUACUUCAUUACAUUUUUGCUACUAUUCUGUUUGUGGCUAUCACUCUGGAGUGUACUUCAUAGCAGGACUAGAAUGGCGAAGGCCAAAUGAUAAUGACAUCAACAUUGCAUUGUUUCAAAUCUGUUUCAGUGAGAUUCUUUGGGCAUGAGAAGCACCUGGUCCUAUCAUGCAGCCGCCGAACCUCAUUUGUAUAGCUAGAUGCUAUCCAGUUUGCUAAAGUCAGAAAAAACAGUUGGUGAAGCAGUGGUUAAUGGGUCAGAACAGGACCAGAGAUAUCUAGUUCAAAUCCCCAUGAAACUCCAACAAGGACUCCCUCUCAUUGUGAGGAUAAAAGAGAGGAAAUGUAUGUGUUAUAUAUUUAUUGCAUUUUCAUGGGGUGGAAUCCAACAUGACACUCUUCCGAUUGUUAACAGAUGGAUCGACACCCCCCCAUGUGCUGUUUGGUAGGUGGAGGCUCUCCCAACCCCCCCAAGACAAUUUUGUGGGGCACAGAGGGAGAAGGGGGGAAAGCCUAAUUGUGCAAGUAGGAGCUCUUGCAUAGGGUUUCUGCUGAUGGGGUUGGUUAAGUGAAUCCCACCCAUCCUGUAUACCACCGAGGCAUGCUAUGAGAGAAAGGAUGGCAUACAAAUGGAAUAAUAAAAGGAAAAAAAUGUUUUCUUAAACCAUGUUAGAUGAAGGCAGGAGAAAAAUGCAACCCAUCACUAAAAUGUGAUCUCCAUUUCCUGCUUUCCGCUUGCUCCCUGGAUGUGAUUAUACAUCUGCUGUCAUCAGAAACAGGAAGGUUAAACCUUACACGACAAUGUUGAAUUCUUUGAUCGUUGCCUGAGCUUGGAG